GGAAGUUCUUCCAAUAAUCCGACACCUUUUGCCCCUUUUGAUGGUCCUCCUGUUGAUAUCUUGCCUAACAGGGAAUUCAUGCUAUAUGGACGAUCUGCCAAUAGUCCCCCAUAUGGAGGGCCUCCUAAUGAUCCACCAUAUGGAAGACCUGCCAUUGAUCCACCAUAUGGAAGACCUGCCAUUGAUCCACCAUAUGGAAGACCAGCCAUUGAUCCACCAUAUAGAAGACCUGCCAAUGAUACAUCAUAUGGAGGGUUGAACAAUGAUGGGCCUCGUGAUCCUUACACUGCGUAUCCUGUAGAGUACUUCUCUAAAAGAGAGUACCCUAGUGGAAAUAGCAAAGUUACACCAUCUGCUUCAUACGACAGAUAUGCAGCAACUACUCGCUUGCCUAAUAGAGAACUGCCCUCAUCUAUUAGUCCUGGUGCCGAUUAUAUGUCCCGCCGUUCUUAUCUUGACCAAGUACCUACUGAUAGGUACUCUAGUAGGGGUACACUACAAUUAGGCCUCUCGAGAGCUGGGAAUAGUAAUGUGCAACAAUUAGGAAUCACCAGAGCUGGAAAUUCCAAUGCUUAUGAUUAUACCGAGGUACAUUUCCAAUGCGUUAGCUUGCCUCUUCUUUGCAAAUGGCCCUCGCCUGAUAUGUUUCCAUUAGAAACAUGAAACCAUAUAUAUGACUGUUGCAUUAUGUCUAUUUUCUUCCAUGAUGGUUCAGAUGUCUGAAAAAAGGACCAAAAUAUUCUAGAAUAUGUCAUGGUGAUCCAAAUAUAUCCUUCUGUCUUGUGCCCACUCUAAUAUCUAUCAUUGGUAACACUAUUCAAUUGUUACGAUGUUGUUGCAAACCCUAGAUUCAGUUAUUCAGCUGUUCUCUGCUGCUGUUGCUUACCAGUUUUCUUAGUUGGGUGUUGAUCUUUUCUCAUUUUUUAUUUCCUUGUUUCCUGGUUCACCUGAUGCCUCUCUGAUGCAUCUGAAUGUAUAUUUUUGUUCUCUUCAGUGCUUAAUAGAUUUGAAUUUCAUUCUUUUCAGGCCGCUGAGCAGAUCCAUGGACGUGAGGAUUACCGAAGACUGUCAGGUCUCACUGGGUAUGGCUUAUGCAAACUGAAUUUUUACAGGACACAAACGUGAAUUUUGUCCUCAUAAUCAUUGAGUGAUGAUCUCUUUGCAGGUAUCCAGGUGGCUCCGUCGAAUUUCGGAUUCCAAAUAGUUAUCUGGAAUCUGUCAUUGGAGCUGGUGGUGUCAAUCUAGCUGAGAUCCGUCAGGUAUAGCGUAUGCGAAACAUCACGCACUAUGCCCAGUCUUAACCAUGCCCCAAUGGCCUCCAAUAGUUUUCCUCAUGAAAAUCUCCCCUUGAUCCCAGAUCUCUGGCGCGAGAGUGAAGUUGCACGAAGCCCAUCCCGGUUCUUCCGAGUCCAUUGUGGAGAUCCAGGGCAUUCCGGAUCAAGUGAAAGCCGCACAGAGCCUUCUGCAAGGCUUCAUCGGCGCAAGCAGCAACAGCAGGCAGGCGCCCCAGUCCUCUCGCAUGGCCCAUUAUUUUUAGUAAGCUGGAGGACAUUCGCAACAGGGGGGUCACUGCACAGCUGAGUUUGUUCUUCAGUUCAACUGCAGAAAAUUGCGGAUCGGUUGCCAUAGUUGCUAGAACGGUACAUAGAUGCCACCUAACUGUAGUGAGCGGCAUAACUUUCAUAUUGUGUUUAUCGACUAUCUAGUUGAUUUUAGCGGCAAAAGCUGUACUGCCCAAUGUUGUCUCUCCUUUUGUUCAUGGAUUCAGACUUGUGACUUGAUUACUUGUAGUCCUUCAUGGAUCAGACUGGAGUAAAAAAAGAAAGAAGACAUGGGUUUAACAGGAAGCUCAAAACGGUGACAGUAGUAAAAUAAAAAGGGUUUGUUCACUUUAUUUCCAACAUCAACCUUACCAACAUUGGGCAAUACCAAAUCUUGGUGUUACCCAAUGUUGGUGGCAUUGAAUAUGCUAGUUAAUUUGGAAUCUCUCUGAAAUCUGGUAGUGUUUCUGAGAGGAAACUUCCGGAACAUCUAAAUUUUGGUAGGGUAAAGAUGUUGAAAGUACAAAUUUAGUUGGAGACCCUAUUAAAAUUUGGUAAGGUCGAAAGUGGUAACGGAGCGCAGCCCAAAAUGCUAUUAGCAGUGAAGCGGUGGAACUGGAAGCUUAUGCAGUUGGACAGAGGCUGCAAGCCCCCAACUGAGUGAUUAUGCCAUAACAAUUACUUAGCAUUAUCAGGGAAACUCAUUUUCCCAUCAAACUGAACCUGUAUUGAUUCUCUGACAACGAGUACGCUAGCAGCUGGUUCAACGCUGAAUACUACCCCAGUCCCCAAAUAUAAGUAAAUCACAUGCCCCAUUUGCGCUGAUAUUUACAUCAUCUAUAAAUAAACACAUACAUAAUAUAAAUGGUCUAGAACAUCAGGAGUACAAGUUAAAUAGUGACAACAAUCACCAGCAGUAAAUUGAAAGAGAAAAGGUCAAGUGCAAUGCACCGAAUCAAUCUGUCAUUCCCAGUGCUUUCAGGGAAAUCAGUCUUCAAGCCGCUUCAAAGUCUUAAAAAAAAAAAAGAAGUCUUCAGGCCGCUUCUUCUGCUCUGCAUCGAUGUACAAGGGAGCAGACCAAAACGAUGCAUCAAAUUGAGCUAGAAAACUCAAAACAACUAACAUAAGUGUUCUGAAAUCAUAUACAUCCAGAUCUCGUCGCUGUGGCAAACCUUCCACACGGAAAGAACAUGAUGCGUCUUCUCAAACCGCGGACAUACAUAGAUCACUUCACACAGGAACUGCAGAAGUUACAGGCAAUUCAGAGCUGAUUGAUUCCUUUCUCCAUCAAUGCAACAGGUCAACUGGAUAUCCACUGCAUGAAAAUUUCAAGCAAAGAAACAGUAGAAUAAGAAUUUUAUCUGUAGAUCUAGAACAGUACCAAAUAAACAUUCCCUUCACUCUCUGCCGAGAGAAAUUGUUAGGCAUUCUUCAACAGUGCAUUUAACACAAUUUUUUUAAAAAGAAAGAAAUGAUCUGUUCUUUGCAGACACAAAAUAUAACAUGGCCAAAGGAGCUUCCACUAGCAUUCAACUUCAUAGAUACAAUCAGUUAAUCAGAAUCAUUGCAACAACCCUUCUAUAUAAGAUUUACAGCUAUAAUCUGUAGGUCAAAGACCAUGCACCAAAAAACAUUGGCCUAUAGAGGCAAACAAAAGAUGCUGUCAUGUUUUCUGCACAUCACAUCUACUGAGAAGAUAAAUGGACAAGCCCUUGUAAACUAAUUUAAUUGCCAGCAAAAUGCAGUAAAAAUAAUCAGGGUUGCACUUCAUCAGGAGAUAGUUCCGUGAAAAGGAAGAAAGAGAACUGCCCGCAAGAAGACUAAAUUCAAAUAUAAAAACAUGAAUAUUUUAUAUUUCCUAGUAUGCAGAGUAGGACCAUAUGUAGAACAAUCAUAAUUUAAAGCAUGAGAUUUUAAACGUAAACAGAAGUCACCGACAUGAUUAUCAGCAAGAUAAUACAAUACCAAAAAAAGACCCCUAACCUAUCAUAAUAUAGGGCUGAGACUUGAAGUAGUGUAAACACACAAUAUCAACAUAAUCAAUAAAAGACCAAUAUGAUCACUUUAGGAUAGGUAAACCCCAGCCCUGCCUACCUGCCCUUUGUGAAGUAGCUUCCUAACUGUAGCAUUUAUCCAUUUUUCCUAGCAACCCCUGUUCUAUAACACUUCCAUUUACUUGUACAUCCAAUCAUCUGGCACUAAACCAUUAGCUGAGAGAGAAGCAAACAAAUCCUUGGCUUCAUCCUUUCUGCCAACUUCAAGCAACGCACCAAUCGUAAUGUUAAAGGUCCUAGUUUCAAGCUGCAACUCCAACAAACAUAGCUACUGAAACAAGCGAAGUGCAUCAUCAGUGAGAUUGUUUUUGCAAAGUCCUUGACGGAUUAUGUUGCACGUGCUAAGUUCAGUCUCUAUUCCUCUUUUAACAAUCCUGACGUAGAGCUCUUUCGCAGCAGCUAUUCUCCCUGUCUGAAACAAACCAUGCAGAAUUGUGUUGUACGUGAUAAUAUCAGGAAUAACACCAUUGCUCACCAUCUCUAUGAAAAGAACCAACGCGUCCUCCAUCCUACUACCUUUACAAUAUCCAUUAAUCAAACUGUGGUAAGUAACACAAUUAGGUUCCACCCCAACUGAGACCAUGCCAGGGAGUAAUUUCAUUGCUUCAUCCAUCUUACCGGCUGUUAACGACAAAAUUUGGUAAUAUCAGUAUCGGAAAAGGGGAUUAGGUUGAAGUGGAGACGGAGGCGGAGAUCGAUUCGAGAACCGAGCAAAAAUCGGCUGGAGUCCGAAUCGGCUACGAUCAGGAUCAGCUGGGUCCGAGUCAGACUGGGUAAGCCGAUACAGCCGAUUCCGACAAUAUGACUUGGUGUACAACAUCGGGUUGAGUUGAUAUGCUUCACGAUGAUUGCCGUGCAUGGAUAGAGUCCUGGGAAGGUAAUUGUAUCUAUUAAUUAGGAUAUUUUAUAUAAUUUCCUUAGAGAUAUGCUUGGGCAAAAGUCUGCCGCAAAGACUUAUGGUAUCUUAGAGUUUGUUAGGGAUAAGAGUCGUGUCCGGUAUGGACAUAUCUUGUAAUUCUCGGGUAUAAAUAGACCCGAACCCUAUGUAAUCGAUAACACACGUUCAAUAACAAUCUCAGCGCAUCGCCACCCUUUUUUGCUUUAGUUUUAUUUCGACGAGUUCUUGCUUUCGGGUUGAGCUGCAUCGGUUUCGAUCUUUAACAAGAGGUAAAACUUGUUAUGGCGGCUUGCGUUCUCGGGAUUAGUGCUUCCAUCUUUAUGACACUCUAAUCUUGUUUAUGUAAUUCGUCGAGUUAUCAUAUAUCUUACAUAAUCUUUGGCAAUAUCGUUAUCUAACCUCUAAUCGGCUAACGUCUGUUACUAGAAGGCAGCCGAUUAGGUUAAAUACCGACGUUGACUUAGAUUAUAUAGGAUAUCCACCACUCUAUGACAUAUCCAACGGCUUGAUUGUCUAGAUAUUAUCCUUCUUUUCAUACUUAUAGCUGCAUCAGUUGAGUUUGAUCUUAUGAGUCGUAAUUAGAAUCUCAAUCUCUAGUCUGUCUUUGGUUGCCGAUUAGGGUAGUAUCGGGGUUUCAGCCGAUCUUACCUGAUUUAACUACUUUUAUCCUAUAUGCUCGAUUGACAUGUUAAAUCUGCCCUUUAUAUUAAGAUAUUGCUGCAUUUAAGUAUAUUAGGCUUUUGUUUAGUAUAUUCUACUUGCUUUAAUAUCUUAAUAUAGAGUAGUAUCGGAGUAUCAACCGAUACAUGCUAGAUCCAUCUGAUCGGCUAUGCUAUGAACGUAUAUAAUCUCAUUAUUAAUAUAUAUUUCGAUCUAAGUGAUUCAUACUGUCUCGGCAUGGAGUCCGAUCUAUCCCAAUCACUUGAUUUAAGUAUAUAUCGAUAUAAGGACUAUAUAUUGUUAAUAUCUACAGCCGAUCGAAUAGAUUUAGUCCCUUCUUAUUUAUUAAUGACUGCCGAUCGAUGCACAUAUGACAUCGGCUCAAAGAUAAAUGAUAUGUCAUCGGCACCUAGCCGAUCGUCUAUCGUUUAUGGAUUUAACCGCGGUUUCUUUGUCUUUGUUUCUUGUUGAUUGCAGGAUCAAAUCAAUUGGCACGCUAAGCAUACCCGAAGGCGAGUUUUGGACCUGCACUGGAGUUAAGCAGAUCUCCCAGGCCUCGUGUUUUACGUCAACACCGGCUAGGCAAUAUCCACUGAUGAGUGCAUUGUAUGUAAUGACAUCAGGCUUAACACCAGUAUGUGCCAUCAAGUCAAAGAGUUUUUCAGAUUCUAUAACUCUCCCUUCUUUGCAAAAAUUAUAAAUUAUUCUACUAAAGAAAAUGGUGUCUGGACAGAUGCCUUGAUCCAACAUUUAAAAAAUUAACUCCUCAGCCUUCUCCCAUUUGUCACAGGUACAAAAACCAUGAAUUAGGGGGGUAUAUACAAUGAUGUCAGGGGUUAGUCCUUCAUUGAUCAUCUGCUUUAAGGUAAGCACUGCAUCGUAUACUCUGCCUAGCUUGCAGAGUACAUCUAUGACUGUUCUGUAGUUCACUGCAUUCGGACUCAAUCCUUGCUGCCUCAUUUUGCUGAAUACAAGCAUCGCCUCAUCUACUUUUUCUUGUUUAGCGUAUGCACAUAUUAGAAUGUUGAAUACAUGAUGAUUAGGUUGGAUACCGUUCCAUACCAUCAAAUCCAGGAGAUCAUGCAUCUCAACAAGGGCUCCUUUGGUAGCAUACCCCUGAAGCAGGGUACAAUAGGUAGUAAUAUCAGGCUUUAGGCCACACUUGGUCAUAGAAUUGAAAAUCUUUCUAGCUUCCGUGCAUCUUCUGUUCUUGCAAAGAUAAUCCAUCAGCAAGUUACAAGUAACAACAUCUGGUUCGACACCAUCACUGCACAUCAUUUUGAGAAAUCCAAUAGCCUCUGUCAACUGCCCUGAAGAGCAAUAUCCGUGCACAAUACUAUUAUAUGUCCUGCAAUUAGGCAUGACACCAUUCUUAACCAUGGUGUUAAGUACCUCCAUGGCCUUGUCCAUAGCUUGAGCCUUGCAUAAGGCAGCGAUAAUAGAGCUGUAAGUCACAACAUCUGGCAAAAUCCCCUGGUCAAACAUUUCAUGGUAUGUAGCGUAAGCUUUGUCCGGAUCCCCCUCUUUGAAGAAGCCAUUGAUGACGGUGUUGUACAACACCACAUCAGGUGGGCAGUCACCUCCAUCAUCAGGCAUCAUUUGGAGCAGCUCGAGAGCUUCUUGGCUUCUGUUCUCAUCACACAGACCCUUGAGAAGAAUGGUGCAGGAGAAGACAUUUGGUAUGCAGCCGAGCUGGGUCAUUCUGCAGAGCACUAUGUCCAUUGCGUCGCUCGUCCUCUUGUCGGCACAGAGGCCCUUGAGCAGAGGAGUGAAGGUGAUGGCUUCCACUCUAAAUCCCUUCUUAAUGACAUUGCCCAAGGCCGCGAAACCGAGGUCCAAGCGGCCCGCCCGGCAGCAGCAACCGAUGAGAACGCUGUAGGUGUACAAGUUGGGAGUUACCUCGUCGGCGCCGGCUCGGGCCAUGCGGUUGUAGCGGGACACGGCGGCCGCGGGGCUGUGACGCGCGACGUCGUCGAGGGCGCGGUUCAAGCCGUAGAUCGUGGCGCCCUUGCCACGCCGAAGCAAUUCGUCGAACACGUGGCGUGCGUCCUCGGCGCCAUUGCCCCCCGCGCGGCCCCCUCGCCCUUGGAUCGAGCCCUCCGAGCCAACAGCGCGGGAAGCGGCGCGGCGCGCCAUGCCCGCCCUAGCUGACAGGUGCAGCAGCAGCAGCAGCAGCAGCGGCGGCUGCGAGGCCUGACUCCCACACACAGGCACACGUGCCCAGUGCGAAGCUCGCCGAUCCGCGCCGUCCUCUGAUCUGCGCCGCCCAGAUCGAGGCCGCCGCGGGCGCCUGGGGAAUCUCAACCCAACCCCAGCCCCAGCAGGAAUCUCAACGUGACACCUCCCCCGGUGACGCGGCGAAGCAAAUCCUCUUCCUCCUCACUAGGAGUAUGCCCGUGCUAACGCUACGGUGACAACUAAUAUUACAAAUGAAACAACCAAAUGACAGCGACACAAUAUAUGCUUCAUCAAUGGUACAUAGAACAGAUAGUUAGGAAAAGAGCGAUAGAGUUAUUAGAAAAAAAUUAAUCAACAUGCAUCCACAAUAUCAUCUAAGAACAAGCCGUCCCUUGCUAUGCUAUAAUAAAGUACAGGUAUUGCUCCUCUCAAAUACACAAAAUAAUAAAUAUCUAAAAUUAGCUUGACUUAAGCCAUCCAUUUCGCCUCCUUCUGCAGCAUCUCUUCGGUCUGAACAAGUAAUUCGUUCGCCGCCGAUGACAUGGCGGCCGCCGGAGGGAAGAGAUCGGGGCGGCGGCGUUGGAGUGCUUUGCGGCGAAGGAAAGGAAAGAAAAAAGGAAAAAGUAUGAAUUACCCCCUGAACUUUUGCGGUCGACCGAAUUACACCCCCGAACCCGAAAACCAGACAUUUUUCAUCCCAAACUUUCAAUACCGGACGAAUUACCCCCUCGAUCCAAUCCAGAGCGGUUUUGUCCUACGUGGCGUACACGUAGCAAUCCAGUCAGCAUUUUCUUUUUUUUUUUAAAAAAAGUGGGACCCACAUGUCAUACGAAGCCCCUCUUACUCUCUCUCUUCACUCUCUCUCUCUCUCUCAAAGGGCAGUGGCAGGAGGUGGGGGCGGCCGAGCAGUGGCCCACCUCCGCCGCCGCCGUCUUCAUCAUCCCCUCCUCCGCCAUCGCGACCUCCGCCACCCCCACGCCGACGAGCACACCGCCCGCCGCCGCGCCGACUUCCUCGCCGCCAACCGCGCCUGUCGCGCCCGCCGUUGCCGGUCGCGCCGCCGCCCACCUCCUGCCACCGCGCUGUGUGAGAGAGAGAGAGUGAAGAGAGAGAGGAUGAGGGAAUCCGUAUGACAUGUGGGUCCCACAAUUAAAAAAAAAGAAAAUGCUGCUGGAUUGCCACGUGUACGCCACGUAGGACAAAAUCGUUCUGGAUUGGAUCGAGGGGGUAAUUCGUCCGGUAUUAAAAGUUCGGGGUGAACAAUGUCUGGUUUUCGGGUUCGCGGGUGUAAUUCGAUCGACCGCACAAGUUCAGGGGGGUAAUUCGUACUUUUUCCAAAAAAAAAGAGGAGAAAAAAAUUGGGGGAAGUUGGAAGCCGUCGCGGUAGGAGUAGUCAGUCGUUUGUGUUGUGUGAUCUUCUAAUCUAUCUAUCUAUCUACCCUAUAAUUCACCAACUCACUCUUACACCUACGUUACUCAUUCAUCAAAUCCAACGGACCAGAAUAUCUCCCGAUCAUCUAACGGUCCAGAUCACUCCUCCUCCCCCGCGUGCGUGUUCUCUCCCCAAAACCCGCUCCCCUCGCCGCCUCGCCCGCUCGCUCCCUCCUUCGCCCAACCGGCGUGCCUCCCCCACGUACUCCCCCGAGCAAACCCUAAUCAUCGCACUGCCUCUCCGGCGCCUCCAUCCCCUCCUCCUCGCCGUACUGCCUUCACAUCGUCGCCGUCGCUCCUCCUCCCCCUACUGCAUUCCUCUUGCGGCCGUCACCAACGCACUCUCCACCAAAUCCCUAUUGCUCAAAGGACGAACAAAAAGAAUUAGAGCGAACAAAAAGAAUUAGAGAGAUGGGGAUUGGAAUCAAGAGACAGAUCAGUAAGGACCGACAAGCCAGAUUCGUCGACAGAUCACAACCGAUUUUUGGGUUUGAUGUCUUCCAUUUGAUUUUUGGCGCUCCUCCCUCCUUGCUCCGAUCUGGCCUAAGUGUUGCCGCCCGAUUUUCGCGGUCGAUCCCGGCACCAGCCCCUUCCUCCGGCCGUGUGUGAGUCCGACAUUCCAAGUCCCCGCGGUCGGAUUUCUCAACCCCGGCAUCGGCCUCGCACUGCAACAAGGUAAGUUAUUAUUGGGAUGUUUAUAUCUGAAAAUUCAGAUAAUUUCUUUUGAACUUCAUUAAUUGCUUGGUCAGCAACAUAGCCCAGGAAACCAAUUAAAUUGAUACACAUGUUGUGUGCUCUCUUUAGAGAUCACCAUCCAAAUUGACAUCCAAAUUAAAAAGAAGAAUUUAAUUAUCUAAAUCAUGAUGCCAAUAUUGAGAGCUUCUUUUACUUUCCGUUGUAUACAUUAUUCUGUGAUGUGUACCGAAGGUUAUAUACCUCAAUUCUGGAAUUGUGCUCUAUUGAACCACUUGUAUUCAUACUGUAGUUUACCUUGUGUCGUUUAAGUUUGUCUUUGCAUAUAUUAAUGAAUGGCAUGCUUGCACACACACGGAAAGUUCUGAUUUGUGCAUGCAGUGACAAUUUUUCCCUUUAAAAAGUCAAAUUUGGUUUACAUUUUUAUUCAUGACACCUAAAUAUGUAAAAUGUCGUGCAUUAGUAAUGUGCAAGCACUUUCGAUGUAUUGUCUAAACUCUAAAGGAACAACUUACCAGUUUAUUAGUGAAUUCCGGUUGCCACAGAGCAUGCAAGCCUAGAUGAGUACAUGGAGAAAUGGUUUGGACUGGAUCAAUACUGGGCAUGCAACAAAUUACUGCGACAGCACGGGCAAAGGUUAAUUAAGCUUGCCUUGCGUUCUUUACUGAAUGGUUUAUGCAUCUGUUUAGGUUUUAUGAUUACAAUUUUGAGUUUGCAAAUGUUUCAGUAGUUUUACUCAAUGCCCUGUAACCAAUCAUGUAUUUGAUCCAAUUUAGUAAUUUACGCAAUUGAGUUUAGAAUAGUUUCACAAAUCAAUUCGGAGUCAAACUAUCAAUUGUUUUUGGUGUUUCAGGUCUUCAGACUGAAGUUUCAAAGUAGCUUCAUCAAAUUUUUGAAAGCUUUCAGAGUGAUUGUGGAGGUAGCCAUCUUUGCCCUCCUUGUUUCAGGAUUGAGUAUAUGAGAGACUGAAGUGAAGGAGGAUUUGUGCAUGAAAAAUAUUGCAGAAUUACUUAGUAUAGAAUUACAUACAUAGUAAUAAAAUUCUCUAAAAGAUAAGAGUAAUCUGCUUCUCUCUUUCUUGCAGUAGCCUUUGGAACUAACACUACUAUCAAACGAUUAGCUCUACUAACUUUCUUCCUUGCAGGAGGCACAAUUAGCGGUGCAUCUCUCAUGCUCUGUGUUACUUCUUUUGAUAAGAUAAACUACAGUGAGAAAUUAUUUUCAUGAUAAAAUGUGCAAAAUUCCAUAUGUAGACUGUAUUUUGCUUCAUACUGUUUUGCAUGUUCAAGAAUUAAUUGUAUUGUUAUUUACUUCCUCAAGUCAUAGAAAAAUCCUUAUAUGAAAAAGGAAUAUGACAAAUUAAAGAAAGCGUGUUAUACAAGACCAUAUUCAUGCUUCUAUGUUAAUCUUGUCAAUAUUGGAAAGCCUGGAGGUUAGUGCUAACUAAUAUAAUGCCUUUUUCACUCUUACCGAGUUUUGUGCCCUUGCAUCUAUUAUAGAUUACCGAGAUAUACUGAACAAUCAGUAUUAGAGUUUGACCAGUUCAAAGGGCAGUGAUGUUGAUAUUCAAGGUAGAGUAUAUGGAAUUUUAUCUGCUUGCUAUCUUUGCUUUCCUGUUUGGCAUAAGCAUCUUUAAAUCAUUUUCUGCAGCAUGGCCUAAUUAAUAAUUUCUUUCGCUGAUCAGACAAGGAUUGAUUACCUCCACAUAAAAACGCAGACAAGUCUAGGCUUUAUGUGGAGUGCUCCAUGGUUACUGAUAACUCCAAUGCUAACAUAUCUUCUGAAGAUGUUGAUUUUUUGAAAUGUAAGGUAUAUUUCAGUCCCCUUAGCUCUCCGAGAUAUGUUGUAUGGCACAGUGAAAAAGCAUCUGAUGAACUCACUUCAGAUUGUUUAUUUUCAAGAUAGCUGAACGCCUGAACCUUCAACUAGACUCAAGUAUGAGUCUGUAGUAGGUUUCAAAAGUGAAGGUUUUAUUAUAGACUAGAAAGAGUUACUUCUUAUUUUACAGUAUUCUGCUUUGAUUGGUAUAUAUUUUCCAGUGCAACAGAAAAGUGCCUCAAACCACAAUGUGUUUUGUAUAUAUAUAGCUGCAGCUUUGAUUUGAGACAUUGGAGAGUCAUGAUAGUUUGAUCAUUAACCACAUUUUAAAAAUGUAAAAUGUAUAAAAUAUACAACAUUGUAAUUUUACCCCUUGUGACGCGGGUUCCACGUGCACACAAAUGGUUUCUCUUUGUUUAUUUGCAUAUUCCACAUAAGUCCUCCAUAUUUAGUGAUUCAUUGGUUCAUAAAUUACAAUAUAAAUGCAGAAACUUUAGUCAUAUAUGUGCAUAUAAUUGUAAGUGAAAUGACAAGACAUGUAAUUUUUUGGGCAAAAUUUAGCUAUAUCGGCUGUUUCCCGUUGUUUAUUUCUACACAUAGAUGAAAACACCGAUCAACUGACUUUGAUUACGAAUGUAUUAAAUGAGCGUCAAUUUUAGUUCAGAGGUUCAUUCGUUAGUCAUCCAAGAGAGUCCACCUUGCUUAUCACAGAAGUUUAUCUUCAAGUUAUGAAAUGACCAAUAUUCUUUUUUGUGUAAAUACAAAUAACUACAGUGAUAAUAUACAUUUUGGUUGUUUUGUAGCCUUGUCCAGAUAAUCAGGACCACAUCAAGCGGAAUGGAUGGCUUAAGUCAAGCUAAUUUUAGAUAUUUAUUAUUUUGUGUAUUUGAGAGGAGCAAUACCUGUACUUUAUAGCAUAGCAAGGGACGGCUUGUUCCUAGAUGGUAUUGUGGAUACAUGCUGAUUAAUUUUUUUCUAAUAACUCUAUCGCUCUUUUAGCCUAACUAUCUGUUCUAUGUACCAUUGAUGAAGCAUAUAUUGUGUCGCUGUUAUUUGGUUGUUUCAUUUGCAAUAUUAGUUGUCACCGUAGCGUUAGCACGGGUAUGCUACUAGUGAGGAGGAAGAGGAUUUGCUUCGCCGCGUCGGGGCGGGGGGGCGUCGCGUUGAGAUUCGUGCUGGGGUUGGGGUUGGGUCGGACAGUCCGUGCACCGCGUCCAUGUGUGACCGGUACUGGUACCAGCUCCAAAUCAUCUGUAGUGUUCGGAUGCCCCUUUUCCAUCCUCUAUACGAAAGUUGCUUAAAAAAUCAAAUUAAUCCAUUUUUUUAAAAAAAAUUAGCUAAUACUUCAUAUAGACAUAUAUAUGAAUCUAAACAUAUAUAUAUAUGUAUAGAUUCAUUAACAUCUAUAUGAACGUGGGCAAUGCUAGAAGUCUUAUAAUAUGAAAUGGAGGGAGUAGUACUUAAUUAAUCACGUGCUAAUGGACCACUCUGUUCUCCGCACGUACUGUUCCUAGUUGGGAACUAGCAACUGCGAACACACCCUCAAUUCAUACAAUAGUUAUAUGUAAAGGUAUAUCUUACACUAUUAAUAUCUGGUCACGCCUGUUAUACGCACAUUGCGUCGUGAAAUCUGUGUUGCAGCUGGCUACAAAUCUGUAGCCCGCUACUUAUCUCUCUCUUCUUUUAUCUACUCGAUAUGUGUUUAUAGCUGACUUAUAAUCUAAUAUUCUACCUGCUCUAAGGUGGUGUUUGAAACUAAUGAAGAUGAAGAUGAAGAUUAAAUAGAUGUAACGUAAAACGAGAAAUUCAUUAGCACAUAAUUGAUUAAGUUUAAGUUAUUACAAACUUGACAAAUUAUUAAUUGAAAAAAAUUCUAACGGAAAUCGAGAUAAAAUCUAAAUCUCUUUUGCUACAGCUAUGUAUCUAGGAUUUUUUUAUAAGCUGGAUAUUUCUAGCAACAUAAAUUCAUGAUAUAUAUCUAUGACUACCUUGAUAAUAUUUAGAUAAUUUAUUUUAUACACAUUUCAAAUAAUUUAAAUUUUAAAUCACAUUAAUGUAUAAACUUUAAAUUUACCGUGGAUGUGAAAUGGGAUAACUUUAGACGCACUUUUGGGUCAAAUUGACGUCCGUUUUCGGGUCGAAAGUUAUAGGAUGAUUUUUUUUUUUGAGAAUUACACAGUACAACGCAGACACUCACAACGCACGCACACUCAUCCCUAUGAAAGUACGCGUGCAAAUCCUACCCCUAUGAGCAUCUUCGAAGACUGGGCCGGCAAAUCAUCCUUGAAAUUGACGAAGUCUCCACAGACGCCUCGCUGUUGACCGGUAUGUCGUCUACCGCUGAAAGUACAAUGCCGUUAAAUACUGGAAAAUUCGCUCCCAUGGGGAGUCGAACCUAGGACCUAAGGUCCUACUGAGGCAUCCCGCGGUAGCGCGAUAACUGGUCGGUUUUGGGCCAAAUUUGUGCGACCAGGGUUUACCUUAUCGUUUGGGCCGGGGUUACCGUCACCCUGCGGUAGUGCGGUAACCGUCUAAAAUCGUACAAAAAUCACAUCCAAAAUUUCGAAUUCAGAACUUGGCGGUUUCGGGAUUUCACCGUGGUUACCGCACGGUUUACCACGAUAUUCGCACGGUUAUCGCGAGCUGUGUAGCUGAAAUCAUGUAAAUAAAAAAUAAAUAGGAAAAAAAUCGAAAAUACGGUUGAAUAUGUGUAGAAAACUAAAAAUUGAGAAUAAUUGGAAGAAUAUGUAGGAUACUUAAGGCCUAAUAUUGUCUUCCUUUUUCCAAUUUGUAAACUAUUUUCAGUUUUGUCCUUAAAUUUGAAUUUAGCUUACUCUAUUUCAAAAAAUUUCUUCACCAUUAGCAAGUACAAAUCAAGAACUAUAUCCAUGAUUUUUUUUCCAAUUUUUUUUUUCCAGAAUUUUGAAUUUGGUCAAAAUUCAUCUAAACCAUAUCGCCGGUUUCUCCUACCGUACCCCCGCGGUAAGCGCGAUAACCGCCGCGCGAUAAGUGAAACUGUGCGACACUACCGACCGAAUUUGUGCCAGGUUUAGGCAGAUUUUGGGACCACUUUGGGCCUAACUCACAGGUGCAUUUGGGCUGAAAUUACAAACACUGAUGGGAUGAAUUUACUCUCGUUAAAUUUGCCGGUAAUUAAACUGAGCAACAAUCAAGAGCACAUAUCAGCUAUGAGCCUAUCUGUUAACAACAUAUACUAUUCAGUUUCUCCGGUGCGGCACCAAAUAUUAGCUCAACAAUCUGUUACCCUAAUACUACUAAUCUUCAGGCGCAAAGCCAUGUUGUCCCCCCAACGCGAAAUCAGAGGGAAGCAAACGCGUAAUUUCUUCAGAAAUUACACCGAUUCACUCCUAUUACAGGACACUGAACUGCACGCCUCGUAUUAUAGGACACUCCUCUGGUAGCAAACGUCCAGCCUUGCAAGCACACCACCAUCCUCCCAUUAAUUUCUGAUAUCAAUCUGCCAAAAAACAUGCUUGUGAUCGAAACUAAUGCAUCAUCAAAUUAGUAGUAGUAGGAUGUGACUUCGAAUAUCCAAUUGAUAUCAUAAAAGAUAAACAAUUUAUCUACCCGAGAUAUGGACAUCUUGAUUAAAUGGAAAGUGCAAAGGACUAUCAAACAUAACUGGCAUUCAAACAUUUGAAAGCAAAAUGCCCAGCGUUUCAGUUACUUCCGUAUUGUAGGUUACUGUUUCAGCUUUCAAGCUAUUGACCCAGCAAUGUCAUGCCUGUAGCCUGCCUAUAAAACCAAAAUAAACUUUUCUGCAUGCAUUGUUGGCAUAAUCUAAACAAAAUUUCAGACUUUCCGUAGCAAUUUUGGAUGCAAUCAGCCAAAGGAUAUUUGAAGUCUAUACAUAUUAAAAGUAAGCAGCUUAUCCAAACCUGCUUAAUUAAUUUCAAAUUUACAGACAAGUGUCUGCAGAACAAACAUAAAAACUAAAAAGGACAUUUUGAGCGUUGCCUUCUUCUCUAACAACUAAUGGUUAGCUUGGAAGAAAGCUAGUAUUGCUAAUAUAUACAUGUAUACUUCAAGCUAGUAUGGAGUUUUAUGAAUUCAAAAACUGAAAAUGGACAGUUUUGCAUCGGCAAAAGUAAAUUUAAUAGCAUGCACCUCCUGACUGACAGCUAACCAAAUUUGAAAACAGGCACUAAAAACCAUUGGCCAAGAUUAUAUAGCAAUGCGUGGGAAUCAAUUUACACCGAGAAACAUGCUAACAUUUACACCAAAAACCGGUGGAAAACCUCUUGGAAAAGAGAAUAAAAAACAGGCACUUAAAAAAUAUAGCUUGGUGGCGACAUUGCUUCUAAGUUCUAACUGCCAAGACGUGUGUAUAUUUUAUAGUCUCUUGGUUAACAUGAACUAAAACAGACAUGAGGUGAUCUGCUUGCUAUUUACACAAACAGAGAAAAGAUACCUCCUCUAGUACAACUGUAGAGUGUAGUAGAAAAGAAUUCCAACUCAGAACUUCAAAGCUGCAAAAAGCUUCGAAGCAGUUCAAAGAUUCUAUAGAAGCCUCGUAUUUUUCAGGGAAAAACCUACGAUAUUCUUGAUAUUUGCUCCCAGACGAUUGGGGAAGAUUCUAACAAGAAGGAAGCAGUGGAUGCUUCGAGGGAGAAGUGCUUCUCAUCAAUCAUGAACAGGUAAGUGCCAGCCCUGGUUAUAUCACCCCUCUGUAACAGUUUCCUAACAAUGGAAUUUAGCAUGCGGGAGUCGGCGGAACAGCCAUUCUCCUCCAUUGAAAGAAAUAGAUCAUCCAAUUCUUCUAGCGACCCCUGCUCUAUAAGAUUUUCUGCCAUUAAACUGUAGGUCCUAACAUCUGGCACUAAACCGUUAGCCGAGUGAGCAGCAAACAAAUCCUUAGCUUCAUCCAUUCUUCCACAUUUAAGUAAGGCACCAAUCAUAAUGUUAAAAGUCCUAGUCUCCAGCUGUAAAUCCGUCAAACAUAGGUUCUGAAACAUUCGAAGUGCCUCGUCAGUGAGAUUGUUUUUGCAAAGUCCAUGAAGGAUUAUGUUGUACGUGCUAAGUUCAAGCUGUGUUCCACUUUUGGUAAUACUGACAUAGAGUUCUUUUGCAGCAGCAGUUCUUCUGGUAUGAAAUAAACCUUGCAGAAUUAUGUUAUACGUAAUAAUAUUAGGACUAACACCACUGCUCACCAUCUCUUUGAAAAGAGCUAAUGCGUCAUCCAUCCUGCUAACUCUACAGUAGCCAUUAAUCAAGGUGCCAUAGGUAACAAUAUCAGGUUUCACCCCAACUGAGACCAUGCUGGCAAGUAACUUCGUUGCUUCAUCCAUCUUACCAGCUAAGCAGCAUCCAUCGAUGAGUGUAUUGUACGUAAUGAUAUCGGGCUUCACACCAAUUCGUACCAUCAAGUCAAAGAGUUUUUCAGAUUCUAUAACCCUCCCUUCUUUGCAAUGACUGUCAAUUAUUGAAUUAAAGAAAAUAGUGUUCAGACAGAUGCCUCGAUCCAACAUUUCAAGAAUUAACUCUUCAGCCUUGUCCCAUUUGUCACAGGUGCACAGACCAUGAAUUAGGGAGGUAUACACAAUAAUGUUAGGGGUUAGUCCUUCAUCGAUCAUCUGCUCAAAAUAAAGCAUAGCAUCAUCUACACUGCCUGACUUGCAAAGUACAUCUAUAACUGUUCCAUAGCACACUACAUUCGGAUUCAAUCCAUGCUGCCUCAUUUUGCUGAAUACAAGCAUUGCCUGAUCUACUUUCUCUUGUUUAGCGUAUGCACAUAUUAGAAUGUUGAAUACAUGAUGAUCCGGUUGGAUACCAUUUCGUACCAUCAAAUCCAAGAGAGCAUGCAUCUCAACAAGGGCUCCUUUGGUAGCAUACCCCUGAAGCAGGGUACGAUAGGUAGCAAUAUCAGGCUCUAGGCCCCUCUUGGUCAUAGAAUCGAAAAUCUUUCUAGCUUCGGUGGAUCUUCCAUUCUUGCAAAGAUAAUUCAUCAGUGAACUAUAAGUAACAACAUUUGGUUCGACGCCAUCACUGCGCAUCUUUUUGAGUGUUCCAAUAGCCUCUUUUGGCUGCCCUGAAGAGCAAUAUCCAUGCAGAAUACUAUUAUAUGUCAUGCAAUCAGGCAUGACACCAUUCUUAACCAUGGUGUUAAGUACCUCCAUGGCUUUGUCCAUAGCUUGAGCCUUGCAUAACGCAGCAAUAAUAGAGCUGUAGGUCACAACAUCUGGUAAAAUCCCCCGGUCCAGCAUUUCAUGGUAUGUACUGUAAGCUUUGUCUGAAUCCCCCUCUUUGAAGAAGCCAUUGAGGACAGUGUUAUACGACACCACAUCAGGUGGGCUACCUCCUCCUCGAUCAUCAGCCAUCAUGUGCAGCAGCUCGAGAGCUUCUUGGCUUCUGUUCUCAUCACACAGACCCUUGAGAAGAUUAUUGUAGGAGAAGACAUCUGGUAUGCAGCCGAGCUCGGUCAUUCUGCGGAGCACUAUGUCCAUUGCGUCGCUCGUCCUCUUGUCGGCACAGAGGCCCUUGAGCAGAGGAGUGAAGGUGAUGGCAUCCACUCUAAAUCCCUUCUUGACGACAUUGCCCAAGGCCGCGAAACCGAGGUCCAAGCGGCCCGCACGGCAGCAGCAGCCGAUGAGGAUGGCAUAGGUGUGCACGGUGGGAGUUACCUUGCCGGCGCCGGCUCGGGCCAUGCGGUUGUAGCGGGACACGGCGGCCGCGGGGCUGUGACGCGCGACGUCGGCGAGGGCGCGGUUCAAGCCGUAGAUCGAGGCGCCCCUGCCACGCCGGAGCAAUUCGUCGAACACGUGGCGUGCGUCCUCGGCGCCACUGCCCCCCGCGCGGCCUCCUCGCCCUUGGAUCGAGCCCUCCGAGCGUGGGACGCCGCCGCCGCCACCGCCGCGCGGGCGGGUAGGGACGCGGCGCGCCAUGCCUGCCCCCGCGGGCGCCAGGCCUGACGGACAGCGGCGAACAGAUCAGCGCCGCCGCGGGCGCCAGGGGAAGGGAGGGGUGCCCUCACGUUUGAUGCUCGAGUGAGGGCAAUGCUUUUAUCCCUCACUCCCAUGUUACAGUACUAACAUUGAGGGGGUGUUUGCAUAGCAAGGGUGAGUUCUAUUUCUCCAACUCCAACUUCAGCUUCCUCGUUUUCCGUUAGCACGCUCUUCAAACUAUUAAAUGGUAUAUUUUUUUAAAAAAAAUAUCUAUAUAAAAGUUGUUUUAAAAAAGAAAAUAAAUCUAUUUUUUAAAAUUUAUAAUAGUUAAUAAUUAAUUAAUCAUGUGCUAAUAAGCUUUCUCGUUUUGCGUGCCAUAAAAAUUUGUCUCUAGUAGUUCACAUCAAACGGGGCCUAAAUUUUAGUCCUUGUCACUUUGGAAAUUUAGGCGCUAAUUAAGAGUAUUAAACAUAGACUAAUAAUAAAACUAAUUGUAUAAAUGAAAGCUAAUUAGCGAGACGAAUCUUUUAAAUUUAAUUAAUCCAUAAUUAGCAUAUGUUUACUGUAGCAUCACCCCCUGACUAUAUAUCCUCCCUCCGUUUCACGUUAUAUGAUGUUUUCCAGGUGGUGUUUAGAUCCAGGGACUAAAAAUUAGUCCCUGUCACAUCGGAUGUUUCGACACUAAUUAGAAGUAUUAAACGUAUACUAAUGACAAAACCCAUUCCAUGAUCCUGGACUAAUUCGUGAGAGGAACCUAUUGAGACUAAUUAAUCCAUGAUUUGCCUAAUCAAUGUUAUAGUAAACAUGUGCUAAUUGUGGAUUAAUUAGGCUUAAAAAAUUUGUCUUGUGGAUUAGCUCUCAUUUAUGCAAUUAGUUUUAUUAUUAGUCUAUGUUUAAUACUCCAAAUUAAUGUCCAAACAUCCGAUAUGUCAGAGACAAAAAAAAUUAGUCCCUCGAUCCAAACACAUAUAGUCUCUCCGUCUCAAAAUAAACCAACUUCUAAAGUUUAAAAUUUGUUCCAAAAUAAACAAUUUCUAACUUCUUACCUACCAUCCAUCUGUAAAAUCGAGAAGUUUUAUAUCUUCAAUAACCCCCACCUACCCACCCAUCAAUAUAACUUUGCUAUUAAUUAGGGGUACUUUGUUCCUUUGUUUAUCCUCUUAUAUCCACAUUGGACUUUUUGUGAGACAGAGAGAGUACAAUAUAAGAGAUUUUAAAGGAAUGUGACACAUUCUAGUACUACGAAUUUAAAUAGUGUCCAGAUUCGUAGUAAUGCGAUAUGUCAUAUCCUCUAAAAUCCCUUGUAUUAUGUGAUAGAGGAAGUGUAAAACAUAUGCAUAAAUCCACACGUAAAUCUAUUCAAAACUCAACACGAUUUAUAGUGCGAAAUAGGGGAAGUAAAAAAGAAUACACCAGUAUUAACAAACAUUUUCAUUAAAUCUAUAAUUAAAAUAGCUCUUAAUAACGUAUUUAUUUUAGUAUUGCAACGUUAAAUCAGUUAUUAAAUCCAUAAUUAAAAUAGGUCAUGAGAAUGUAUUUAUUUUGUAUUAUAAAUGUUAAUAUAUUUUUCUAUAAACGUGAUGUAAAAACCUUGUUAUAUUUAGAACAGAGGGAGUACCUAGCAAAAUCACAUAUUUUUGUGGAUCAUUCUCUAUUAUUUUUGUAAGUAUCCUCCUUUCAGUUAUUGUGCAGUUUGUAACUUCAAUAUCCCUAUGACAUCCUUCGCGGAAAAACGUCAGGAUGGUGUUCACUGACAAGUAGUACAAAAUUUGGCAAGAGAGAGAAAUACUGCUCAACAAUGGCACAUAUUAAUGGGGAUUGCAGGCGCGUGGCCUGUAUAUAUCAUAUUCAACAUUAUUAAUACGGACCAAAUGAUACAGGCUAUUGUCUAACCAACCUGACACCAAUCGAUAUUACACCACCUCACUUUGUAAGCAGUACACCAUAAAACGUAAUUCACAUAUGCGCAGUCUGAAGAAAAAUAAAAAGAGGCACACAAACAUGUUCUGCCACAUCCCAAAACCAUCUCUCAUUGAGGCCUGUAGUAGCUGCUCUGGUGAGGAGGGUAAGAACCCUGGGCAUUGUACGGUGGCUGAGGAUAUGGCGGCUGUGGCUGCGGCUGUGGCUGAUGUGGAUUGUAGUACUGCCCGCGCCAUCCUCCAGGAUAUGCUUGUUGGCCAUAGUCAUGGUUGGGAGGUUGCUGGUGUGGUGGCUGUUGGUAGUGACCAGGGUGGGGCGCGCCAUAAGGUGGCUGUUGCGACGGCGCACCAUAUGGAGGCUGUUGCGGUGGCGCGCCAUAGGGCGGGUAUGGCUGUGAGUAAGCAGGUCUUUGCUCGGGCUGAGAGUACCCGGGUCUUGAAUCGCCUCCGGGUGGAACACCAUAUGGGCCCUGAGCAUGGGGAGCAUGCGACGACGGUGGUGGUGGUGAUGGACUGUUCUGAUCUGGUGGCACAGAAGUAUUCCUCUGCAUGCUUGCUUGGCUGGAAGAAGAUGAGAAGCUGAAACCUGCUAGCUUCUUCUGCACAUCUUCGAUCAUUUCACGGCAUUGAAUGUUUCGGGUCAUUAUGAAGUCACUGCACUGCUGCUUUAUUUUGCCAAUUGCUUCCUGCACAAAAGGACCAUUUCAGGAUAUAAAUACAUAUACAGUGGUCCUCCUACAUACAAUGGUAACUGUCAUCAUAUAUAUCCUAACUACAGUAGAAACAGAGACGCGCAUUUACCUGUAAUGUCACAUAAAAAUUGAGGCCUUCAUUAAUGUUCUUCUUAAUAUCUCGGUAUUUAGCAACAGCCGCAGCAAUUUGCUUGUAACAUCUCUCACGAGCAACUGAAAACAUGCUUCACAAAUCAGGCCUACACAGCUCAUUGCUUACAAACCAGGAUACAUACUUAAAAACACUGAUUGUGGUACUAUUUACAUGAUAAAAUAAUUGUAAAUUAGAAUUAAAGAGACCAAGUUCCAGCAUCAAUGGUUCUUCAUAUCUUAAAUUGAACUAGAACUAGGAGGAGAAAAUGUAUUCAACGAAGAAACAUAAUUGAAUGGUUAACAGAGAAAAACACAUGCAUACAAACAACACAGCAUUCUGUUGUUUUAGCUAGCAGACAAUUUGAUGACUAGGUAUGUGUAUAUAUAAGUUCCCAACCUUAUUGGUAAGUGUAACAGAAAUAAUUAUCCCACAUCCAAAUCAUUAGUUGCUACCUAAGAAUGGGCAAAAAUCCAGCUAUCAAAGUCACUAAGCGCACAAUAUAAUCCAUUGAUGAAUAAAUCAGAAGGGAUACCUUUGUAAUCCUCUAGGUUGAACACCGCAGCAAACUGUUCAUUUUGUGCCUGUGCAGAAAUCCAAAAUAUAAAUAGUGUUAGACAUAAGGACGAAAGAACAUGAAAUACAGUAUAGUUAACUCUUCAAAAUAUUUUCUGGUUGUUCUUUCUUUGCUAAUACCAACUAAACCAUUGAUGCUAUUAGACGUUUAAAAAUUUCAAUAUAAUUACAUUUUUUGGGGGAUGUCUAUCUAGAUUUUAGCAGAAAGGUGUUUACAUUGAACUUCUAGAAUAAGAGAAUUGCAAAGGUGGACUAUAUCAAUCUUUAUCAGGAAUGGUGGCUUACCUGUAUUUGUAGCAGCAGUUGUUCUUGCGCCACAAUGUUAUCAGCUAUCUCAGCACAGACAGGAUCAUACUUUGAAAUCUCCUUCUUAAAAAGAUCAUCGUGUGAUCCAACACCGGCCAUCAAUUUAGGGAGUAUGUCAUCCUGAUAGAAAUAUUUGUAUGUCAUAAUUCUAAAUGAACAUGAUGGCAUCACAGGUUAUAUGUGUCACUAUCAGUCAUGAAUACAGAUAUUGAAUUCGACCGUUACAAGGUGCCAAGGACAAACAAACUUUGAAAAGAAAAUGCAAGACCUCCCUGAAAACUUGUCAAGUGGAAGUUAAACGGAGAGCACAUGUAUAGCUUUUAAUUGGUUCCUAGCAGGUUAUCACAUACACGUACAAGCAUAGGACUCCAAGAACACCACAUAUCAGGCAUGAACAUGAUCCAUCCAUAGUGAAGAUCAAUGGGCAACUGGUUGUAAACUAAUUUUAUUGCCAGUAAAAUGCAGUAAAAAAUAAUGAGUAACACUUCAGGAGAUAGGUCCAUACAAAGGAGAGAGGGGGGGGGGGGAUGAAGCGAUCGCAAGAAGACUAGGUUCAAAUGUAAAAAAAAAAAGAGUGAUGCUAUUUGUGGAAGGGCUUGUGAGCCCUUGGUUGCAUGGCUGGUUUUUUUCCUUCUUAAUGAAAUAAAGCAGCUCUCCUGCAUUCUAAAAAAAAAGUAAAAACAUGGAUAUUUCCCUAGUAUGCACAUACGACCAAAUGUAGAAGAAUCAGAAUAUUUGCAUGAGCUUUUAAACAUAAAACAAAAGUCAACUACAUGAUUAUCAACAAGCUAAUACUGAACAAAAGAAAUUCCUAAUCUGUCAUAACAUAUGUCUGGGACUUAUAGUAGUUUAUGUACACGAUAUCAAAAUAAGCAAUAAAAGAUAGUACCUUUCUCUUCAUUUCUUUAAGCAUGUCUUCAAGACCUGCUCUCUGUGCUCCUAGAGAUUCUAGUUGCCUCUGUAAAAGCACAUCAAAUUGGUUUUUAAGUUUUAAAACAAGUGAAGCUUUACAUCAAACUUGCCAGCUAACAAAAACAAUGUAGAUUACCAAGCUUUGUUUAAGGGCUCCAACAAUAGCAUCCUCAUUCCCAUCCAAGGACAUAAUAGGCCUAGAAAUACUCGGUAGUGCAGACUCUAUCUGCAAUAUAUAAUAGCAAUAUGUAACAGACCAAAUAUGAAAAAAAAAAGAGUGUAGGAUUGAAUAACAUCAUUGAAAUUCAUAAUGAAGCAUAUCAAGAAAGACAAGUUGAAGAAAAAAAAAACAAGAACACUAUCUAGUAUAAUGUAUUUUUAACUCUCACCGGUCUUCUGUCAAGAAUAGAUAUCAAUGGAUAGCUCUCCUUCAAACCUCGCUCAAUCUGAGAAUCACUAUCACCAGCUGUCUUAAGAUUAGAAGCAAACAGAUUCAAUCGGUCUUGAAUGUUUUUUGUUAGGGUGCUAGAUUGAGGUCUAGUCCAACGACUCCCGAAUUGCGUCCGAAACUGAGCAUCUUCAUUCGCCUCCUUCUGCAGCAUCUCUUCGGUCUGAACAAGUAAUUCCUGAUUGACUCUGCUUAAAUCCCUAAGCUGCUGCAACUCCGCUUCCAAUCCAGCAGGGCCUCCGCUUAUCUGAACAGCCUCAACGUCUUCCUUCAAAUCUAAAGGUAAGGUGAUAUUACCUUCUAAUGAAAGAAUGGAAUCGGGCAAGUCCAUUUCCUUCAACCUAACUCUAGUGAUCUCACUAGCUUGCUGUAAUUUCUCCGCUUGAGUCCUGAUGAUGUUAUCUACCAUCUCAGUGUACUUGGAAAGUGCUUUCAUGCUUCCAUCAGGCACAAGUGAUGAAAAAAGCCUCUCUUUGCUAGCAUCUAGAACUUCAGCCAAAGAUGUAGGCUUUACAAGUGAUGCUGCAGGGAGCGCGCCAAGAGAACUAGCAUCCGGAACCCUCAUCAGAUAAACACGGUCAUUCUCUUUCAUAGCCCUCUCCAAGUUGGUCUUCAUAUUACUCUCCAGCUUAUUAACAGAAUCAAGAAGUGGGGCAGCAACUCCCCUGGCCACCUUCUUGGCAUCUGCCAAAGCGCUAAUUCCAAUCUUCAGACGUGCAAUUUCCUGUGCAAUUUCUUCUUUCUCGUGAAGAUCCAAAGAACACCUAUAGCAAGCAUCAGCAUAGAACUGAGCUGCCUUCAGCUGGACAUGAGAAACCCAUGUCUUAUCAAAGUGCUGACUGAGAGGAGCUGCGCUAAGAGCUGCAUAGGCUUCUUCAUAGAAUAUGCCCACCUGAAAAAGGGACAUCCACAAAUCAAUCCAAUAGCACAUCUGACACCAAUAUUACAAAAAGGUGAAGAAAUAUUUGUAUCUUGAAUGUUUGUAAAAGCAGUAAACCCUGCAAAUUGUACUUUAUUUAAUCAAAUAAACUGCAAGACCUAAUCUAGCUUCUAUUUACCACCAGGAGAGACACAUGAAUGCUACCAAAUCAAUCAUAUUGUAACCAGUCAGUUUCAUUUAAAAUAUGAUCACUCCAUGGGAUGAUGCCACAACUCAAGUUUAUCAUGCUAUCAAGACAGACUUCAUGCCCAAUGGUUCACCAAUCACCAUAGCAAAGUCCAAUUAUUAUUAUCAACACUAAAGAUAGCAUCUAAAGGAGCACUUAUUUAGACAAAUUCCCAAAACUACAAGUUGCUAUGUUAAGUCACCUGUGGAUGGUAAUUACAGACAGUAUCCCCAUCAAACGACUCCACAAAAAGCAUUCCAAAAUACUAGCCACAUAAAUCGAAAUAAGCUCCCUCACUACAUUAUUAUCAGCUCAUAUCAUCGAAAUAACCUGAACAAGAGGAGGCAGAGCAAGAAGAGGCUCACCUGCCGGGCAACCUUGGAGCACAGCGCGGGCGGCUUCCCACCGGCUAUCACCUUCUCGAAGAAGCACUCCUGCGCCUGCGCGAGCAUGAGCUUCUCCAGCAUGGCGGCGCACUCGGGGGUGACGUCGACGGUGGUGGCCCCGGCCGCGACGGCCUUGGCGGCGACGCCGCUCUCCCUCAUCCACGCGAACGCCCCCGCCGCGCUCUGGAACGAGCCGCACGCGGUCCUGAUCCCGACGUCGGUGGCCCGGUCCGCGGCGAGCGCGAUCUGGGAGUAGACGGCGGCGAGGUUGAAGAGCACGGCGGCCUUCUCGAGGUGGAUGGAGGCGACGCUGGCCUUCUUGCCGGUCUUGAAGGCGUCGUGCCAGGUGAAGGCGAGGGAGUGGACGUGGGCGCGGUCGGAGGAGAUGGGGAAGCGGGGCUCGACGAGGGACAGGGCGCGCGCGUAGGCGAGGAGCGCGUCCCGCCUUCGCUCGAGGGAGGACGGGUCCGGGAGCGACGGCUGCUCGACGUCGGCGCGCAGGUCGCGCACCGCGGCGAGGUCGUCGUCGGCCGCGGCCGCCUCCCGCUCCGAGUAGGCGGAGGCGAUGUAGAGGCGGAGCGGGCGGUAGAGGUCGGUGGGGGUGGUCCUCUUCUCGUGGAUCGCCAGCAUCACGUUCGCCGCCGACGACAUGGCGGCCGCCGGAGGAAGAGAUCGGGGGCGGCGGCGGCGGUGGAGUGCUUCGCGGCGAAGGAAAGGAAGAAAAAAAAAAGAGAGAAAAAUUGGGGGAAGUUGGAAGCCGUCCACAGGAGUAGUCAGUCGUCUUUGUGUUGUGUGAUGAGGAGGAGGAGGAUUGCUUGCUUCGCCGCGUCGGGGCGGGCGCCCCCGCCGGGGGGGGGGCGUCGCGUUGAGAUUCGUGCUGGGGCUGGGGUUGGGUCGGACGGUCGGCGCACCGCGUCCGCGUGUGACCGGUACUGGUACCAGCUCCAAAUCAUUUAUACUCGGGCUGUGUUCGGAUGCCCCUUUUCCCAACCUCUCUUUCUUGUUUUUCACACGUACGCUUUUCAAACUGCUAAACGGUGUGUUUUUAAAAAAGUUUCUACACGAAACGGAAGUUACUUAAAAAAUCAAAUUAAUCCAUUUUUUAAAAAAAAAAUUAGCUAAUACUUCCUCCGUUUUAUAUUAUAAGACUUUCUAGCAUUGCCCAUAUUUAUAUAGAUAUUAUGUAUAGAUUCAUUAACAUCUAUAUAAAUGUGAGCAAUGCUAGAAAAACUUAUAAUAUAAAACGGAGGGAGUAGUACUUAAUUAAUCACGUGCGUACUGUCCCUAGUUGGGAACUAGCAACUGCGAACACACCCUCAAUUCAUACAAUAGUUAUAUGUAAAGGUAUAUGUUAGACUGUACGCACAUUGCAUCGUGAAGUCUGUGCUGCAGCUGGCUAUAAAUCUGUAGCCCGCUACUUAUCUCUCUCUUCUUUUAUCUCCUCGAUAUAUGUUUAUAGCUGACUUAUAAUUCAAUAUUCUACCUGCUCUAAGGUGAUGUUUGAAAUAGAUGUAACGUAAAACAGAAAUUCAUUAGCACAUAAUUGAUUAGAUUUAAAUUAUUACAAACUUAACAAAUUAUUAAUUGAAAAAAUGCUAACGGAAAUUGAGAUAAAAUCUAAAUCUCUUUUGCUACAGCCAUGUAUCUAGGAUUUUUUUUAUAAGCUGGAUAUUUCUAGCAACAUAAAUUCAUGAUCUAUAUCUAUGACUACCUUGACAAUAUUUAGAUAAUUUAUUUUAUACACAUUUCAAAUAAUUUUAAAUUUUAAAUCACAUUAAUGUAUAAACUUUAAAUUUACCAUGGAUGUGAAAGGGGAUAACUUUAGACGCACUUUUGGGUCGAAUUGACGUUCGUUUUCGGGUCGAAAGUUAUGGGAUGAUUAUUGUUUUUUUAGAAUUAUACAGUAUAACGCAAACACUCAUAACAUAUGCACACUCACCCUUAUGAACGCACGUGCGCAAACCCUACCCCUAUAAUCUUCGAAGAUUGGGCCGACAAAUCAUCCUUGAAAUUGACGAAGUCAUCACAGGCGCCUCGUUGUCAACCGGUACGUCGCCUACCGUUGAAAAGCACAAUGCCACUAAUUCCUAGAAAAUUCGCUCCCAUGAGGAGUUGAACCCAUGACAUAAGGUCCUACUGAGGCACCCCGUGGUAGCACGAUAACCGGUUGGUUUUUAGGUCAAAUUUGUGCGACCAGGGUUUACCUUAUCGUUUGGACCGGGGUUACCGCCACCCCGCAGUAGCGCGAUAACUAUCUAAAAUUGUACAAACAUCACAUCCAAAAAUUCGAAUUCAAAACUUGGCGGUUUCGCGAUUUCACCGUGGUUACCGCAUGGUUUACCGCGAUAACCGUGACAUCGCACGGUCGCGGUUAUCGCGGGCUGUAUAGCUGAAAUCAUGUAAAUGAAAAAUAAAUAGGAAAAAAACAAAAAUAUGGCUAAAUAUGUGUAGAAAACUAGAAAUUGAGAAUAAUUGGAAGGAUAUGUAGGAUACUUAAGGCCUAAUAUUGUCUUCCUUUUUCCAAUUUGUAAACUAUUUUUGGUUUUAUCCUCAAAUCUGAAUUUAACUUACUCUAUUUCAAAAAAUUUCUUCACCAUUGGCAGGUACAAUUAAAGAACAACAUCCAUGAUUUUUUUCAAUUUUUUUUAUUUUUUCUGGAAUUUUAAAUUUGGUCAAAAUUCAACUAAACCAUAUCACCGGUUUCUCCUACCGUACCCCCGCGGUAAGUGCGAUAACCGCCGCGCGAUAAGUGAAACUGUGUGACACUACCGACCGAAUUUGGGCCAGGUUUAGGCAGAUUUUGGGACCACUUUGGGCCUAACUCACAGGUGCAUUUGGGCUGAAAUUACAAACACUGAUGGGAUGAAUUUACUCUCGUUAAAUUUGACAGUAAUUAAACUGAGCACACAAUCAAGAGCACAUAUCAGCUAUGAGCCUCUCUGUUAACAACAUAUACUAUUCAGUUUCUCCGAUGCGGCACCAAAUAUUAGCUCAACAAUCUGUUACCCUAAUACUACUAAUCUUCAGGCGCAAAGCCAUGUUGCCCCCCAACGCGAAAUCAGAGGGAAGCAAACGCGUAAUUUCUUCAGAAAUUACACCGAUUCACUCCUAUUACAGGACACUGAACUGCAUGCCUUGUAUUACAGGACACUCCUCUGGUAGCAAACGUCCAGCCUUGCAAGCACACCACCAUCCUCCCAUUAAUUUCUGAUAUCAAUCUGCCAAAAAACAUGCUUGUGAUCGAAACUAAUGCAUCAUCAAAUUAGUAGUAGUAGGAUGUGACUUCGAAUAUCCAAUUGAUAUCAUAAAAGAUAAACAAUUUAUCUACCCGAGAUAUGGACAUCUUGAUUAAAUGCAAAGUGCAAAGGACUGUCAAACAUAACUGGCAUUCAAAAAUUUGAAAGCAAAAUGCCCAGCGUUUUAGUUACUUCCAUAUUGUAGGUUACUGUUUCAGCUUUCAAGCCAUUGACCCAGCAAUGUCAUGCCUGUAGCCUGCCUAUAAAACCAAAAUAAACUUUUCUGCAUGCAUUAUUGGCAUGAUCUAAACAAAAUUUCAGACUUUCCGUAGCAAUUUUGGAUGCAAUCAGCCAAAGGAUAUUUGAAGUCUAUACAUAUUAAAAGUAAGCAGCUUAUCCAAACCUGCUUAAUUAAUUUCAAAUUUACAGACAAGUGUCUGCAGAACAAACAUAAAAACUAAAAAGGACAUUUUGAGCGUUGCCUUCUUCUCUAACAACUAAUGGUUAGCUUGGAAGAAAGCUAGUAUUGCUAAUAUUCUUCAAGCUAGUAUGGAGUUUUAUGAAUUCAAAAACUGAAAAUGGACAGUUUUGCAUCGGCAAAAGUAAAUUUAAUAGCAUGCACCUCCUGACUGACAGCUAACCAAAUUUGAAAACAGGCACUAAAAACCAUUGGCCAAGAUUAUAUAGCAAUGCAUGGGAAUCAAUUUACACCUAGAAACAUGCUAACAUUUACACCAAAAACCGGUGGAAAACCUCUUGGAAAAGAGAAUAAAAAACAGGCACAAACCUGAUGGAUAAGAUCUUUGAUCUCUCUCCAUUGGGCCAAAUGCUUAGCCCAACUCAUCAACCGCGGAAAAGAUGCAUGCUUCCUGAAAGGCACGCGUCUUCACUGUUUUCUUAUCUACCUGCCAGAAAAAAGUACCUAUUAAAAGGUUUUUCAAAGUAGUGCUCCGAAAGGAAGUGUUGUAUUACGAGAAAAUAUACCUGUUUAACACUGAACAGAUUCACAGCUUUGCCUACAGCAUCUGGUUUCCCUCCAAGUUCUUCCAUUUCCAGCAUAUCAAGCAGCAGGGAAGACACCAGAAAAAUGAAAAAUAAUUAAUUAAAUAGUUUUGUGUUACAUCAAAGUCAUCAUCGUCAAAUCCCAAGAGCUCUUUAUCUCACUUCUCCAAAUACUUGUAGAACUCAGGAUCCUACAAAAGAAAUAGCUUUGCAGCCAUCAUAAGCAGCUGACAGUAAUAUAGCCGCACAGGUAUGACAGAACUAGGGAGGGAAAUGAUUAGCUCAAGAAGAACUAAUUUCCUGGUUGUCGCUGUGUUAACAAUGAUGCAUACAGAUAAGAAUUUCAGCAAUAAAUUGAACAAUGAUAAUUAUCAUCUAAAUUUGUAAAAAGCCAUCUAAUGGUUAUAGCCAUCACUAACAGGAAACAGAAAGUAUAAAUUAUUUUUAGAAUAAGACUGAGGAAACAGAAAGUAUAAUGUUAGGGGUUAGUCCUUCAUCGAUCAUCUGCUCAAAAUAAAGCAUAGCAUCAUCUACACUGCCUGACUUGCAAAGUACAUCUAUAACUGUUCCAUAGCACACUACAUUCGGAUUCAAUCCAUGCUGCCUCAUUUUGCUGAAUACAAGCAUUGCCUGAUCUACUUUCUCUUGUUUAGCGUAUGCACAUAUUAGAAUGUUGAAUACAUGAUGAUCCGGUUGGAUACCAUUUCGUACCAUCAAAUCCAAGAGAGCAUGCAUCUCAACAAGGGCUCCUUUGGUAGCAUACCCCUGAAGCAGGGUACGAUAGGUAGCAAUAUCAGGCUCUAGGCCCCUCUUGGUCAUAGAAUCGAAAAUCUUUCUAGCUUCGGUGCAUCUUCCAUUCUUGCAAAGAUAAUUCAUCAGUGAUCUAUAAGUAACAACAUUUGGUUCGACGCCAUCACUGCGCAUCUUUUUGAGUGUUCCAAUAGCCUCUUUUGGCUGCCCUGAAGAGCAAUAUCCAUGCAGAAUACUAUUAUAUGUCAUGCAAUCAGGCAUGACACCAUUCUUAACCAUGGUGUUAAGUACCUCCAUGGCUUUGUCCAUAGCUUGAGCCUUGCAUAACGCAGCAAUAAUAGAGCUGUAGGUCACAACAUUUGGUGAAAUCCUCCGAUCAAGCAUUUCAUGGUAUGUACUGUAAGCUUUGUCUGAAUCCCCCUCUUUGAAGAAGCCAUUGAUGACAGUGGUAUACGACACCACAUCAGGUGGGCUACCUCCUCCUCGAUCAUCAGCCAUCAUGUGCAGCAGCUCGAGAGCUUCUUGGCUUCUGUUCUCAUCACACAGACCCUUGAGAAGAAUGGUGCAGGAGAAAACAUCUGGCAUGCAGCUGAGCUCGGUCAUUCUGCGGAGCACUAUGUCCAUUGCGUCGCUCGUCCUCUUGUCGGCACAGAGGCCCUUGAGCAGAGGAGCGAAGGUGAUGGCUUCCACUCUAAAUCCCUUCUUAAUGACAUUGCCCAAGGCCGCGAAACCGAGGUCCAAGCGGCCCGCGCGGCAGCAGCAACCGAUGAGAAUGCUGUAGGUGCACAAGUCGGGAGUUACCUCGUCGGCGCCGGCUCGGGCCAUGCGGUUGAAGAGCGAAACUGCUGCGGCUGGGCUGUCACGCGCGACGUCGGUGAGGGUGCGGUUGAAGCUGUAGAUCGAGGCGCCCCAGCCCCGUAGCGGCAAUUCGUCGAGCACGUGGCGUGCGCCCUCGGUGCCACUGCCCCCCGCGCGCCCUAGGUCUUGGGUCGUACCACCCUGCGCGCUGGGGACGCCGCCGCCGCGGGCGCGGGUGCGGGCGCGGGUAAGGGUGGUGACACGGCGCGCCAUGCCUGCCGCCGCCGCCGCCGCCGCCGGCGGCGGAGCUGAAGAAAUGGAGAAGCCAGGGAGCGAACGACGCUACUGAAUAUUCCGGCUUGUACGGUCACCGACCUGGCAGUACAGUAAUACACCCACCGUCCGAUUGGCUGGGCGGCGCGGAUGGACGGCCCAGAUCGGUCUCCGCUCCGGGAGGCUGAGAUCGGCCCAAUCGGCCCAGAUUGGGGUGGGCCGGACGAGCUGCUGCUGCAGCUCGGGCCGCCCGGAGGCACGCCUCGACGCGAAGUAGACCGGCUUUGCCUCCAUGUGCGCCGCCCACGGCCGGUAGUCGGCGUGAUGCCGUCGCAGCUCGGGGCUCUCCAGCGCGGCGCUCGGGAACACAUUCGGCCGCCGACGUCGCCACCUCCCAGCCACCGGAGCACCAGUGCCCCGCUCCUCUGUUCCCUCUGCUCUACCUGGAAAAAAAGAAGGAAAAAACGAUAGGGGAGGAAUUAUGGGGAGAGAAAUUUCGAAAUGACGGGAAUGCCCCCUCUACUUUUUUCUAUCUUCUGGAUGCAGCUGAUAUGUGGGCCCGCGUACAGUAUCGUCGUCCUCUUCUCGCCAUCGUCCAACGCCGACCAACGCCGUUGCAUCCCUUCUAAAAUCCAAUCGAUUCCCUCGCAUUUUUCCAGAAUAGGCUGAGGGGAUUUGAUGCUCUCACUUUACUCUUCGAUUGCCCUCAAGAUUCCAUUUUGAAAUCUCGAUCAAAAUCGCUCGGAUUUGAGUAAAGUUCUGUGGUAAACCAUGUCGAGCACGGUGACUAUGGAGAGCCCCCACACCACGGCAACCACGGGCCACAGCAUGAGCGCCGCGACCUUCCAUACGAACAUGGUGGUGAGUAGCAUGGAGGCUGCCCAUACCGCACACGUGAGCCACGCCCUCGCCGGCGCCGCUCGUAGACGCAGAGGCAUGCGAACAGCAGAAGGAGGGCGGCAUAGGAUACGACGACGAAGGCGACCGCUAGCGUCACCACUGAGGCCGGAGCGAGAUGAGAAGGCAAAGGACAGGGGCGGUGAGGGUGAAGAUGUGAAGGUAGCAGUCGGUUGGGCCAUGGAUGAUAGAGGAUUUGGAGUGGAGCGCUGGCAAGAGGAGGAAGGACAACACUGUGCGCGGGCCUACAUGUCCGCUGCAUCGAGAAGAAAGGAAGGAGUAGUGGGGGGUAUUCCCGUCAUUACGAAAUUUAUCUCCUCUCUUUCAGCCCGGAAAUUAUAAAAUAAUGCCUCCGGGUGUCCUACAACUAAUUACACAACUUUUGUAGUUUUCAUCGACAGUUUCACAUUUUUGUUGUGUCUUUCAGUCAAUUACAUGAUUUUUGAGUGUCCGGUAGCAAUUUCUUUUUUUAAAAAAAAACAAAUCCACCUUUUGAGACAGGCCUCCAUGAAAUGCAACGUGCCAACGUCUCGAAACUCUCGAUUCAAUGUAACAAAUACACUAUGAACAGCAAUGUCCAUUACUUCAGCUACGCGCGCGACGGCGGCUAGCCGCCGGCCGCCGGAGCUCCGCCGUCGCCGUGCGUUCCUUGCUGCAGGAUGUUCUCCAAUGGGGUGGGCUGGACGAGCCUCUGCUGCAGCCCGGGCAGCUCGGCGAGCUCUCCGUUGGCCGGAACCGCCAUGUAGUAGAUCAUGCCGUUGUCGUGCUCGGCGCCGGCGAGCUCGGCCUCCACCUCCCGCUUCAGCCACUUGGCGGCGGCGUGCACCGGCGCGCCGCCUUCUUGAGAGGCUUCGAUCCCUUGAGCGUCGCCGCCGCCUGCCUCAGCCGCGCUAUCGCCACGCCGACGUCUCCCUCGGCACGCCGCUCGCGCGCCGCCCGGAGGCACGCCUCGGCGGCGAAGUAGGCCGCCUUCGCCUCCGCGUGCGCCGCCCACUGCCGGUGGUCGGCGUGCUGCCGCCGCAGCUCGGGGGCCUCCAGCGCGGCGCGCACGUCGCCGUAGUCCAGGCUCACCUGCCUCGCCACCAUCGAGCACAGCGCCGGCGGCCUCCCUCCGGCGACGGCGAGCUCGAAGUAGCACUCCAGCGCCUACGCCAGCAUCAGGCCCUCCAGCGCCGCGACGCGCGCGGGCGACAUGCCCGUCGCGGCGCCAGCGUCGGCUCCGCCCGCCGCCUCCCUCAGCGCGCCGGCCGCAUCGCAGAGCGCGGCGCACGCCCGCCGGAUCCCGUCCGCACCGCGCCUGUCCUCCGCCGCCGCCGCCCGCGCCGACUCCGCCGCGAGCGCGAACAUCGCCACCUCCCGCUCGGUCACCAGCGACGUGUGCCACUGGCACGCCGCCGCGCCCGCCGUACUCCACCUGUGCCAUCCCCCCGCCGCCGCCGCCGCCGCGUCGUCCUGCCAGGCAAUCCCGAGCUGCGACGACGACGGCGGCACCGCCCUGCUCACCGCCGCGUCGAACCGCGGGCCGGCGACCGCCUCGAUCUCCGCAGGUACGCGCGGAGGUCGCCGGCGACCCUCUCCGACGACGACACCACGACGAGGCGGCGCGCGCGCAUGAACGCCUCCAGGUCGGCGUCCCUCUCCGCCGCCGAGCUGUCCUGAAGCGUGAAGUGCUUCGGCCUCUUGCCCGCGAACGACAGCAUCGGCAUCGGCGCCGGCGCCGGCGCCGGCGCGCUCGCCGCGCGUCGGAACGGCGACUUCAUGGCUCUCGUAAUCGAUCGAGAGCUGAACGCGACGAAACGUAGUAAUAAAACAGACAUAUUGCAAUGGGAUGAUUAGGAGUUGGAUUAAGUUAAGUAAAAAAGGUGGUAAUUAAGUACGUGACGGAGAAGGAUUAAGCGAGGCUGCUGUUCUGUUUGUAAACUUCGUAUCGUGGCGGGGGCGGGAAGAAGGGAAGCGUGUGGAGUGGGGCCCACACGGCCGUGGUUGGACAUUGUCAACGGCUGGAAUUUCCAUCACGCUGCUUAUAAUCGGUUUAGUUCAAUAUUUUUUUACAUGAUACUUAGUAUUAUAUAUAAGUCGUUUUAAUUUUAAGUUUAAUUAAAUUUAUAAAAAAACUUAGCAAUAUUUUCAACACAAAACAGACAUAUUAUCAUAAUAUAUUUAAUGUUGUAUUUAAUGAAACUAAUUUGGUGCUGUAGAUGUUAAAUUUUUCUACAAACUUGAUUGAACCUAAAGUUUGACUAGAAGAAAGUCAAAACAACUAAUAAUAUGAAAAGGAGGUAGCAGUAUUGUUUAGUUGAAAAUAUUAUAUGGUUUGAAAAUAUUUUUAUGGUUUAGGUUAAUUGUACAGAGCUUUGCAAAUGCCAAGGGCUAGUGUUAAGACAAAUGUCAAGGGCUAGUGUUAAGACAAGGGAGCUCUUAAUUAAGUUAGCGUUGAUAUAUAAUGGUGUGAAUAACUUUGGCAACGGAGCAAAUUGAAAUAAUGAGGCUCGUUGUUCUCCCCUACUGAAUUAUCAGUGAUCUAAAGUCGUGGAGAUUUUGUUUUAGAAAAAGGAAUUAGUCCUAAUUUUUCUCAUGGCUUGGUCAAAUGUAGCUUCAUAUGCUAGUACCAGUUUACAAUCAGAACUGAAAAUCACAGGUCCACCGAUUCAUGGACAAUAAUUUAAGCCGUGCAAAGUAGUGGAAUAUCCCCAUGAUUCGCACUAGUUAAGACUGAUUUCAUGUCUUACAAAGGUUGUAGCCUGUUCAAUACUAUUUUCGCGUUCUCUUUUUUUUCCCCAAGGAAAUUAUCACUUGUUUAACUCAGCACACAAUCUGCCAGAAAGAAAAAUGUAUGGAGCAAAAUCAACAACAUCAGCCAAGCUGAACGAUUAAGCAUACAUAAAUAAAUAAUAACGGUGAAGGAACGCAACGAAAUGGCAGAGGUCUUUCUCAAUUAAAACAAAAUUUUCAUGAUGCGUCUGUUUCUUUCAAAAUUGAAAACACAUCAUCAUCGUUUUCAUUAUCUCUGGCUAAUGCUUCGCCUUCUUCUUGGGAUGUGGGAUUUUCUCUUUUCUUUUUGUUGUUGACGAACCCUUCUUUGAGGGUUGCCGCUUGUUCCGUUUCUUUGAUUUCUCUUUCUUCUGUUUCUUCCACUGGCUGUCUGGGUCGACGAAAUCGUCAUCGCUGUCAUCUUCAACAGGCAUAGAGCCAUCAUCCUCAUCUGAUUCCAUAUUCUUGUCCUCAUCUUCGUCUUCCUCGUCUGAACUCAAGAUCAAAUCCUCAACAAUAUCCUCCUCCGUAGCGACAUCGUCGUGAUUAUGGGCUCGCUUCUUGCUCUUCUCCUUUGGAGUUCUGCAAACCCCCGAAAGGAAACAUAUAACGUCUACCAUUCCAAUAAAAGAAACAAAAAGAGGCAAAGAGGAAGGUGAUAGCGUACUUGGUUUUCUUCUUUUCAGUCAACAAGUUCUUACUGAAUGCAAUGGUGUCUUCGCCAUCAUCUUGUUCAUCCUGUCGCUUCUGUGCUUCUGACAACCUCCGUGAAAAGGUUGAGGACUCUGCCCCCACAAUAACGCUGAUAGGGAAAAGAAUGAUCAGUAAUUUUAUUAAUUAUAUGUACUCGCAAUAUGGAGCAUCAAGCAUAGCUCCACUCACAUGUAAAGACUACUAGAAAAUGUUGCAUGAUAAGACGACGAGGUAAAAAAAAAUUGGUGCAUUUCUGUUUAUAAGUGCUACGACUCAACUGGCUGACUCCUAAAUUUAGAUGAACAUCAAUGAAACCAAGUAACCAACCUUGUGUCGUCCAGAGAGUCCAUCCUGUCCUGACUUCUCUGAUGUAGAGUAGCAACAUAUUUUGAUAGAGGACUUGACUUUGCUUCCUUCUCAACCUGAAAUGAACAUUAUAUAUCUCACAAAAUGACACUAAAUGAGUAUAACAAAUAUACAGUGCACAUCCAACAGGACCAACCAUACCUGUAGAAAUGAAUCCACGGCUGGAUCAUUAGGAGAGAAUCCAAUUCCUGCACGCUUUGAGCUUACAAACUCAGCACUAGCCUUUAUCUGGAAUCACAAAGGAUACAAACAUCAGCAUACAUGCAUUCAGUUAGGUACAAUUCUCUCUUACAUGCUUCACAAACCUGAUGGAUAAGAUCUUUGAUCUCUCUCCGGAAUCUGUCAGCCUUAACGGUUUUGCAAAAGUUUUGAAGCCGGACAAGUGUUAAAAAGGACAUCUCAAAGAAGGCAAUGGAGUAGCUCCAUUGGGCCAAAUGCUUAGCCAACUCAUCAACCGCGGAAAAGAUGCAUGCUUCCUGAAAGGCACGUGUCUUCACUGUUUUCUUAUCUACCUGCCAGACAAAAGUACCUAUUAAAAGUUUUUUCAAAGUAGUCCUCCCAAAGGAAGUGUUGUAUUACGAGAAAAUAUACCUGUUUAACACUGAACAGAUUCACUGCUUUGCCUACAGCAUCUGGUUUCCCUCCAAGUUCUUUCAUUUCCAGCAUAUCAAGCAGCAGGGAAGACACCGGAAUGAAGGUACCAGUAGCUUCAGCAAUGCGAUUAAGCAUCUUCACACAUCUCAGGCGUACAGGAAAGUAACGCGCACUUGGUACCAGGCAUGCCACACCAUGUAUUAUCUGGGUUAGUGGAUAAGCCAAAGGUCGAAGGUCUUCCUCAGAACUACAUCCACACACAACACUUGUCCAAAGCUCAAGGCAGAAUAUGUAUUGCCAAUCAUAAACUUUUUGGUAGGAUUUCUACACAAGAACAAGGUCAGCAAAUAACAAGUCAGAAAAGAAAGGCUCAGUUAGAGUAAUAGAAUAUAGAAUAGAGAGUAAAACUAAACUAACAUAAGAAAGAAAGCAAUAGUGUUAUCCCAAAGUGGACUCUAUUCCUCGAUAGUACAUAUGCAACAUUGGAAUAAUGACAUACCUCCAUCCGUUUCUUCGUUGGUUUGAUACUUUCUUUCUGCUUUUUGUCCUUCGAUGUCUUGCAAAAUGAAAUAGGGACCACAAAACUUGUCAGCUGCCAAGUAAAUAAUUACAUUGCAGUAUAUGAUCAUCAGAGUUCAACUACACAUACCUUUGGUCCUCUUUCAGUAAGAGCUCCCCUUAGGAUGACUGCCAGUUGACGGAUGAAAACAAAAGCAUGCUGAUAUGCACUUUGUGGGUCCACAUUGUACAAUUCUCUGACACAAUUACCAAGAAAUUGAAUGUGCUGCAAUUUUGAUCCACUGAUUGAUUUGGACAAUUUACAGUUCACCAAAUAAGCCUUGUAGAUACCCUUGAGGGACGUAUCAAGGCACUCCGAACCUAGUUGAAUGCACAAAUCUCGAAGGAACAAAAAUGAAACAAGAGGCAUAGCACCUCGUCCUCUAGACCAGGUAUGCAGCAGAGCCUGUAAUCGAAUUAGUCAAGUGAAAAUAAAAGAAAUUACAAACUCUGCAGAGACAUCAGAUGACACGAAAGGUUACUAAAGAUGGAUGAGGAGCCAAAGCUACAAACCUUUACAUACUUCCUGAGGAGUGCAGGGAAGGCCGCCAGAAAAACAGCAGAAGCUCUGACACGAUGUACAGUAAAUGCUACCAUUUGCUCAUCAGUCAACUCUGUUAUCAUGUGGAGUGCAUUUACAAGGUAUAACCUCAUUAAUCUCCCAUGCCUCUUCCAUUGCUUAGUAAUCAUCAGCUCACUAACUGUCUCUUUCUUCCCCCCAAAGCUAGGUGCAUCAAGUAAUUCACGAAGGAUUCUAUCCAUGUUUUUCAAAACAAAGUGCAUGACUUUGUCAAGUACACUGCCAGACAUGACACUAAAUUUCGGUGCAGAAUUAUUUCCACUUUCUUCACCAUAAUGGCAGGCUUUCCGGAAUGCUUCGAGAAUAGACCGGAUAGAACCUAUCUUCCCAUCUUCUGCUCCUUGGCACCAGGAAUCAACCAUUUGCAUUGUAAUAGGCUUUACAAUUUCUUUCGGUUCUUCUUUAGGAACAGAACUAUGUUUCUCAGCACUUCCUUCAUUAUCCUAAACAAAAUAUGCAGCAAACAUACAAUGUAUAUAGUUCUCUCAAGCAAGAAGAAAAAAAAAUGCAAAAUAAAUGAAUAAAUAGUUUUGUGUUACAUCAAAGUCAUCAUCGUCGAAUUCCAGAAGCUCUUUAUCACACUCUUCCAAAUACUUGUAGAACUCAGGAUCCUACAAAUAAGAGUUUUGCAGCCAUCGUAAGCAGCUGACAGAAUACAGCAGCACAGAUAUGACAAGAACUAGGGAUGGAAGAAAUGAUUAGCUCAAGAAAAACUUCCUGGUUGUUGCAGUGUUAACAAUGAUGCAUACAGAUAAGAAUUUCAGCAAUAAAUUGAACAAUGAUAAUUAUCAUCUAAAUUUGUAAAAAGCCGUCUAAUGGUCACUACCAGGAAACAAAAAGUAUCAAUUAUUUUUAGAAUAAGACUGUCCAAAAGUCGAGUCAAUAACAUGUUCUUUAUUCCAAAAAAGAGGGCUAGUUCAAAGUGCAAGCAACUAAUCUGAAAGUACUUAAACUGGAAUCUGGAUGUGCUUAACACAUAUGAUUUCUUCAGUUUCAUCUGUCCCAAUUGCAAUGCCAGGGCCGCUAAACCAGAGCCAUAGGUUAUUCCACACUAAAAGUGCAAGUAGAACUGUAGAACUACCUUUAUGUAUAAACAGCUAUAAAUCCAACGUAAGCAGAAAAAAAUCAUAACAGUACUGAGCUACGUAAUUCUAGAUAUCAAAAGUACUCUUUACAUACCAGCAAUCCCUAUGACAUUACAACUAGCUUCCUGAGGGCAAGUUUUAUAGUGGAGGUGAGUGCCACAUCUAAUUUAAACCAUGUCAUCUUCUCAUUACUUAAGAGGUAACAAAUACAACAUGUCACAUCUAGUACACAAACCCCAAUAUUAGUUUACUCUCACGUCAUCUUACAUUUUUCUUGGAGAUUGUGUGGAGGUUGCCCCUUGCAUGAGGGAUGGCUCAUUCUCUCUCUCCUAACUUCUCUCCUCCAACUCAUCAUCUAAUCCUAUGUGGCAAAUUUAUGGGCAAUAAAUAGGGGCUUAUAGUACUUGCCCUGAUUACCAAAUGCACAAUCAGAACUUGAGAUUUAGUUUACCAUCACCUUCUUCAAAAUGAUCAGAAUGGCUAAAAUAUAUCAUUAUAUUUGUUAAGGAACUUGUAUGCCUUGCUUAUAGUACUUAUUUGCAGCAACCACGUCACUAUUCAGUACUCUGCACAAACUUCCGCGUGUAAAACUCGGAAGAUUGCAGUCCAUUUCCAAAAUCAAUAAAAUCAAUCAACAAGGGCCAACCAGACAAGUUUACCAAAUGCAUACGAGAGCGAGCCAAUAUCCACCUAUUAAGCAUGCAAUAUACCUUCUAACAUUCACUGCCUUGCGUGCUCAGUCCUAGUAUAAAUAUAAGAAUAAAAAACACAUACCAGAAUAACACAUACCAGAAUAAAAAACACAUACCAGAAUCCCCAAUCCUAGUAUAAACAGCCCAAAGCUAAAUCAACAUAGGCAUUACAUAUGGAAUGGAGCCGAGCAAUUCAGAUGCUACUUUUGAUGCUUACUAGUAACAAGUAAUAAUAGUAAGCAAUAUAAGCUUGGGAGAAGGGUGCGCGAAUCGUAGGAGACGGCGAGGACGGAGACGAACCUUCUCCUGGAGCCUCUUGAGCUGCUUCGCGUGAACCUUGGCCUUCUUACGAGAGCCCACCUUCUCCUCGUCCUCCUCCGACUCCCCAUCCUCCCACUCCUCCUCAUCCGACACGGGCAAGUCGACUAAACCCAGCAAAGCCAAACGUUGUCAAAACUAACACAAACAGUGCAUAGAGGAGAGGACGAGGAGAAGAAGCGGCGGGGAACGCACCGUACUCGUCGGAGUCCGACAUGGCUGACGGCGGCGGCGGCGGCGGCGGCGGCGUGCCCUAGUGGAGGCGGCGGCGGCGGCGGCGUGCCCUAGUGGAGGCGGCGGCGGCGGGUUGGGGAACUGAAGAGAGAUGGCGGGUGGAGGAGGAAGGGGAGUUUUAAGCCCGGCCCAUUAUACUGAUACAGCAAGAACUGUGGGCCUAAGCCCACUCAUGAGUGGGCCCAGUUUAAUCUCGAGGGGUCAUUCCGAUAUACUCCCUCCGUCUACUGUGUUCUACGUUUCUUUUUCAAAAUUAGGUUUUGGGCAUCACGUAUCGAUCAUUACUUUAUACGAAAGUAUUUUUCAUUAUAAAUUUACGAUCGUCAUUUUCAGAGACCAAAUAUUACUCCCUCCAUUCAAAAAAUAAUCAAUCUAGGAGAGGAUGUGACUCCUCCUAGAACAAAUAUAUCUAGACAGUCAUAUGUCUAGAUAUAUGGUUAUCCCCUCCUAAGUUGAUUUUUUUUUAGGUCCGAGGGAGUAAUCUUUUUUUCACAACACAUAUAUCACUUCAGAAGAGGGAACCGGUGUUGCCAAAUCUCUCGAAUAAAGCUUCGUAUUUCACUAUUUCAGAUGUGUCAUUGCAAUGCACACAAGUUCAGUUACGUCUAAUGUUAUAAAAUUGGUAUAAUCAUUGAUGUUUUGAUACAACAGACUCUGCCUUUUCAUGAAACAAAACAGCAGUGACACACAACAAAACUGGAGACAUCCUCUAAGCAAAACUUCUCAGUAUCCCCCAGGACACUGCCGCGGAUGGCAUGACUGCACACUUGUGCCCUGCCAGCUCCAGAUGAACCAGUGAUUAUAAUAUCUUCAGAGUAGAUCUACCAAGACAAAUCAUUCAGGAUUCUUCGCUGGUAGUAGUAGGAUGCUCUGUUCUAUUGCUGAGCCGAAGCUCCAACUUUAUGUUCAUGGCCGCCAACUCGGAGGCCAGGUAUCUGAAGACGUAAGGCAUGGCGACGGUCUCCAUCCCUUUGCUUGUUUUGCAGGCCUGGCAGGCAAAGUUCUUGGGAGGUUUUACGGUGGGGAGCCCGAGCAUGUCGCGCUUGGCUUUCUUCUGGCUUUCGGAUUUGAUCACCGUCGCCGUCAGCAAGCUCCCGCAGAUGGAGCACACGUCCGCGAUAUGGUAGUCGGAGCAGGAAUGGAGCCUGUCAUGUAGGAGGUAAGAGGCACCAUGAGCGAGAAGCGCGUCUCGCUCCAUCUCACCGAACCGAAUCCCUCCACCGUAUUUCCUUCCUCCUAUUGGCUGUCUUGUGAUCUGAUCUAUUCGCCCUGUGGUACGAACCUGCGAAACCCAACACAUCCAUGAGAAUCUACAAGCAAUAGUGUGGAAACAUUGGUGACUAGAUAAAUAGAGCAAUGAAUACUUUUGAUGCAUAGCAUUGUAGAGAUCUUCAAUCCGAUAUCGAAUAGAAAAGGAGGAAAAAUAAGCCAGAUAACGACUUUAACUAUACAUAAUAAGAUGGUACACAAAUAAUGAUUGCCCACCUGAAAUUUGUCUGAGACCAUAUGACGAAGGCGUUGAUAGUAUACAGGUCCAAGGAAAAUCUCACAUUUCAUCUCAGUGCCAAAAACUCCACUAUAUAGAAUUUCUGUUCCAUGGUAAUUAAAUCCAUAAGAAGCAAGCAUGGGUCCCAGUUCAUCCACAAUGGAAUUUGAUCUCUCUUUAACUGAGCUUGCAAAAGGCGUUGCAUCAAUGAACUUCCCUUUCAGACUUCCGGCCUGUGAAGACAAGACUUCAGUGAGUAAAGAAAGUACCAAGACGCUAUCAUACUUAAAUGAGAAGAAUUGGAAACAAGGAAUCUCUGUCUCUCUCUCGCAACAAUCAUGAUAUUUCUUUCAAAAUGAAGAAAAAAAUGCAAGCUUCUCUCAACCUAUGAAAGAAGUUUGUACCUUUGCUGCUAUCGACUCUAAGAGCAUUGCUAUAGUCAUUCGUGAAGGAAAUGCAUGGGGAUUAAUGAUGAGAUCUGGCCUCAUCCCAGUAUUAGCAGAGAAUGGCAUAUCAAUAUCAGGCCACAACUGCGAACAAACUCCCUUUUGACCAUGUCUGCUGCUGAACUUGUCACCAAUUAUAGGAUUUCUCACGCGACGCAGACGAAUAUUAGCCUGACAAAAACAUGCAGUAGUGAAAAGCAUGCCAAGAUGACAAAAAACAAAUUAGAACACACUUUCACAAACAAUAAUCCUACUAACAUUCAAGAAAUGCAUUGUGUAACAUACUAAAGUUCAUUGGUUCCAAAAGAGGCUGGGUUUUUUUGUAGUUUAAAGAAACUGAAGGUAUUUCACUUUUUUCUUGCAUUUAAACAAACACAGGCACUUAGUCUGCCCUUUUUUAACAAGGUGAAUAGGGAUAUCCACACAUUAUUGCCGAAGAUAAAUUUCAUCCAGCACAGGAUACUGGAGGUGGCCAUGGCCUCACCUUUUGUAGACGAUCCUUAAAAUUUGUCCCAUUGACAGCAACAUAAUCAAUAGCUGCAGGUUCUGAGCCCUUCAGUUUGAUAGGCCUUACUGUACCAGUGAGAUUGUUACAGACGCUGUAGUACUGCUCAUUUGGAAAUAUGUUCUGUUUCAUACACAUACAUUUGAGUACGGGGAAUAUCGUCAAGAAGAAAUUACACUGCUACCACUUCUCCACAUGGUAAAAAAUUAACUUAGUACGAGCACAUAACUACCUCUCCAAUCCGAGGAAGGCCAUCUGAUUCGAUUGCAGCGGUAGUGUCCCUCGAAAGAUUACUCUUGCAAAAGAACUCCGUAACAUUAUCUCUACUUUUUGCUGAUAAAUCAAUGCACUCAGUCUGCAGAAAGAGUACAAAGGAUAAAAGAAACUAAUUUUAGGUUUUGUCAAACUUAAGGUUCAAUCUAUACCAAGUUAGAUCAUCCAAUCAAGAUUUUUCCAAAGGUACUCUCUGUUGGUGGAUACUAAACGUGCAUACUGAGAUGGCAUUCCGAAUUGAAGAAUCCAAAUCUAAUGCUCAGGAUUAUUCAAAUAUAAAAUAUAGAUAGGUAAACUAAUUUUGAUAUUUGGAUGCCUAGGCACCAACAUCCACGUCAAGAACUGUCUGAUACAUCUUUACAAUCAAUAGCAACUUUUGAAGAAAGAAAACUUAUUGAACUACUUUCAAAUUAAUGCAACUGCAGUUUCACAAAAAUAAAUCAAAUAUGGAUUCAAUAUUUUGCAGAACUGAAAUGUCGCAUAUAUUUGUGUAAAAGAUACCCAGGUUAAAGCCACAAAUCUCAAAAUAGAUCAAUGGGUAAUGAUUCAGAUGCCCAGAAAAAGGCAUCCCAUCAAAAUUUGGGAUGGAGAGUACAUUAAAGAUGUGCGUAUGCCAUUCGAUACACAUUUUGACAUUAAAUUCUUAUUAGUGUUAAUGAGAUAUCUUCAAGAGUCACCAAAAAAGGGGAAAAAACAUUUACUUACCUGGAAAAUAUGCCCACGGAACAUCCCACGAUCAACAGCGGAUUUAUUCAAAAUCAUGGCAUCCUCCAUAUCAUACCUAGAUUGCAAUACCAGUUCUAUGAUUUUAUCAUGUUAAAGUUCAAACAAAUGAUCAUUACACAACAUAAUGAAAUGCUCACCCUGUGUAUGAUAGCACCGCAACAAUAGCAUUUGUUCCGGAUGGGAACUCAUCCAUGCAAUACUUGCUAUAUGUAGCUGUCCGGACAAUUGGUGUCUGAGGGGUCUGAAAAAAUAUUUAUAUGAGCCACCUGACUGGUUAUAAAAAAGGAUUUUCAAUGCAAUCAUUUCUGCAUGAUAUGUUGUCACAUAAUUAAGUACUUAGAAACAGACAAUUUCAUUGAUUUUGGGACAAUUUCAAAAGGCACAAAAUUAGCAAACCUGCCAAGAGCAGGAUGACAUACAUCUGCCACCAAUAAAUGAAAAUAGUACCAAUUAAAACACUUGAUACAACAGAACCACAAAUUAUCUUUACAUGGCACAAACCAUUUGCUCCUAAGGUUGUCAACAUGUUAUUGGGCAGGUACAUAUUCAACAGAAAUAGAGCAACUUCUAACAACCAAAGAAGUGUAGCUAAUGAUAGUUGGUUAGUAAUUAUUGCACAGGAAAACAAACCUGUAGAUGAAAUGCUUUUACAUCAGUACGGAAUUUUAGAGCUUGGCCACAGAAUCCCAUGGUUUGCUUUGCCAUCUGUGAACAAGCAAGCAGGUUAGCAGGUCUAGAAAAAAAAGGUCUCAGCAUUCAUUAUGCGUGAGCAAUUUUCAUUAUGCAUGAGAAAUUGAUUUACAGUAAGGGAAGAUCUGGCUACUGACCUGACAUUGGUACAUGUUCCGAGGACUUUGAUUGUGAUCAGACCAAGGUGUCAAAUUUGCAACUACACUAAGAAUGGCUGUAGGGUGGAUUUCUUCAUGAGUUGCAGGAAAUAAUUUGUUUCUUCCACCAUCCCCACCAUCAGGGCAUCGUAUUUCCAUGAAUGCCUAAUGUAGAAUGAAAAAUUAGUCAUCUUGUAAUAAUAAACUAAUAUAGGACCAUUGAAGUGGAUAAAAGGGAACCUGUUCAAAUGGUCCAAUCAGCUCAAUAUUUGGCCCUCCAUUGGAUAGACCUAAGAGACUUCUGACCGGACGAAGAAAUCUAGCUGGAUUGGUGAAAAGGUAUAGUCCAGGAUAAGCCCCACCAUGGCUUAAGGGUACAUAACCCACUUCCAAAUCCUCUGGAAUCUAAACAGAAUUAAAAGCACUGAUAUGAGAUAGAACUUGAGGAAAAAUAAACUAUCUAGGAAAAAUAACAGCAGUAUUAGAGAGCAGACCCCUGAAUGUGGAAGCAAUUUUAAACUUCUAAGAUGAUUUACUACUUCUUCAAUCUUAGCAGAAGCGAUGGAACCAACAAUGCAUCCAUCCACAUGGACAUGUAGGACUUCUGGAGGACCAGUUCGCUCUAUCCUCGGCAACAGUUGGGCCAUUCCAGCGCCAACCAAACGAGCAAUAAGUGACAUCUUUAUUUUCUGAAAAUCUUUAGUUGCCCCUUCUGAGUUGUAAAAGGAUGAAAUACCUGUACAUUCCAAAUUUAACUGAUGACACUCUCCCCCAAAAUGAAAAUCACACACACACACAACAGCAUUUAGUGUAGCAGUUUCUUACGGCAUGUGGAAGUCAUAUGGUUCAGUAAACCACAAGGCUCUCCAUCAGGUGUAUGAACAGGACAGAGGAAACCCCAUGACCUACAUGAUAAUUUUCAGUACAAGCAAUAUCGGAGCAAGACAAGAACAAUAAAUUGGUAAGGUAGUUUAACAUACUCUGGAAGCAACUUCCUCACAGAUGUCGUACGCAUUUUAGCAAAACUAGAACCCCUAUGCACAGACCGGAAAUGCGAAAUAUAACGAUGAAAGUUGAGCCGUUCAGCAUGAAUGGUCAUCCCAUCUCGCUGCAAAUUUAAAAGGUGCUUAUCACAUAUAAAAAUGAUCUGAGAGGACUGUGAACACAAACAACAUUGAACUUAACUGAAAAUGAACGUUCUUGCCAAGAGAUUUUACUACGAACAUAUAUCAUAAUCUGUGACUCGUGUCAAGCAUCUCUUAAUCAGAAGAGAAGGAAUCAGUUACCAACAAAUUACUUGGGAUAUAUUGUCUGAAAAACUAAAAUGUAAAUUGUGGGUAAGUGAUGCCUUCAUUAUUUCAAAACAGCCUAUAGCCAGCAUUGAAGCGGUGGGUUAGUGGCCGGUACCCCAUGGCCAUCUCCAGCACUGUGCUGCCGCAGCAUGAUACCUUCUGCUGUAACUCAAUAUAAUGUGUAGUGAGCAGUGAUACUUUUGAACAGAUCGUUUUCAGUUUUUGACGUAAUUCAUUUUGCAUAUUGUUAUCUUUCAUCUUGAAAACUUACUUGAAGGGUUGACAUAUACACAGCAUUACGUAAUUUUUAAUAUUCCCUCAGAAAUUAAUAGGUGUAAUUGAGUGUGAAAAAGAAUUAAGGUCGAAAAAUAGGAGGGUGGACAUGAUAUCCCUGCUCAAAUACCUUUGAAAGAAGAGAUAAUAGUUACUAGGGAAGUUACUUAGACAUGCAAGGGAGAGUGUGAUGCAAUAAACCAGAGCAAACAAGGAAAACCAUCGACAAAUUCACUCACGAGAAAAAAUAUAUACCUCACGAAAAGGUGAGUAAACUAUAAAUCACUUCACUGCAAAUUGAUUUAGUUCUUUGUUGUUUUUACAAUUAGUGCAUCACGAUGUGUUUUUAUGCUAUAUGACUUUGCCAGUAUAUUAUCGCCAAAUGUUAUUUAAAAUACCAGAUGCAGUAAGCAUUUGUAAGAGAUGCACCUGUGGCAGAUCUAGCCCUGAUUGUGAAUUUACUUUUCCGACCUUUAUCAUACUCUGAAUAGCUUUGCCAACAUAUGCUGAAGUUUUACUGAGAAAUUUCCUGACCUCCUGUGCUGCACAAAAGAAAAAUAGUCGUAACUGUUAUAAAAGUUGUAGCUGGUAUUUUUAUGGGAUCUGCUGUUAGGAUUAAUCUUGUGGUCUGUAGUUUCUGAUCCGUCAUGUUAAUGAUUACUAGUUCAAGAGUUUAGCAUACUUGUACAACUACCAAUACUAGCCAUAAAUGCAGAGAAUGCAGUGUUCAUGCAACACGAUUUAUUAGACAAAAGCCUGUUUAGGGGUCCAAGGUCUAGGCGUGAUGACUGCAGCAACAAGUUAGUAGUUUAUAAGUGAUUAGUUUCAUUGCAAAUAAGAUUAGAUUGGUCAGUACCAGCAAUUUCUAUAAUGUUAAAAUGUAAUCUGUUCAGAUAGAAAGUUAGAGAUUUGGUUUGUUAGGAUGGUAGAAAUUAUAUUCUUAAGGAUCAAGCCAGGCUUCCUAAAAACAGGACACUACGCACCCAUUAUAGUUCAGCCAAGAGAAUCAAAAGUUGAAGACUCAAAACAGCAGUUAGAUGACCUACACCCAGUCCUCGCUAUGAGAACCCUACCCCCAAUCCUCAUCAGCCAGCAAGGCUUUCCACUAGAUGUCUCAAUAACUCUUGAUGUCCCUUUAACUUGACCCUCCAGAAUAAAAUCUCUAACUUCCAAACAAAUCAAAUAUUUAACUUGCUAUCUAAACCAAAAAAUUCUAUAAAAUAUAGGAUACUAAUUAACAUAUAUACUACUCCCUCCAUCCAAAAAUAUAGCAGCCUAGUAUUGGAUUAGACACCACCUAGCACUACGAAUAUGGACAGAGCCCUCUGUCCAACCCCUCUCUGUCCAGAUUCAUAAUACUAGGUGGUGACUAAUCCAGUACUAGGUUGCUAUAUUUUGGGACAAAGGGAGUAACUAAUAUUAUGGAAAUAGGUGAUACUAACCAAACUGAUCUUAUUCCUAUGGAAAUUAGUCCCAACAAGCAUGUCUAGACCUUGGUUCCUAAGACAAUAACAACAGUGGUGAUAGUAGGCUACCCCUCGUCCACUCCUAUAAAGAGUACACCAGAUGUUGGAACCCAUAAACAACUCUGGGUCUCUGGCCAUAUGAAGACUUGUUGGAUCAUAUGAAUGCAAAGAUCACUAGCAUUCACUCGCUGAUGGAUCAUUAGUGGAUUCUAGUAUCGAUGUAGUAUACUUCAGAAACACAGGUCAACUAAAAAGGGUUCCUGUAUAAAAACAUGGAUAGAGUAAACAUACAGUCAUUGAGAUCAAAGCUUUUAUUUUUUGUAGCCUCUUCAACAAUUAACCGUUUGGACUUUCUCAACCAAUCUUGAAGUCUAUCCUGGAGAUGAUAGGAAAGAAAAACAAGAGUUAGGAAAACAGAACUGGAUGUCAGAAAAGAAAUCAAAAGCAACACCAACAAAAUCUCAGCCAUAAAAUAGGACAUCAAAGAACCAGCGUCAAGCGAUGCUCACAGGGAACAAAGAUGAAACAAAUAGAAUAAAAAAAUAAGCUCAAAGGCACAGCAAAAGUGCGAAGCAAAAUAUGACUUAACUCACUACCUUAGCAAAAUUGGGUGAAAAACAUCUUCGUACUACCUGUAACCACUACCAUGCCUACACUGUUAAUAACCUAGAUCUUCUGUACCAUACUAGGAGCGUGAAAUAAGUACUACCUCCGUUCCAAAGUAUAAGGGAUUCCAAAAUCCCUUAUAUUUUGGGACGGAGGUAGUAGUCAAUAUGAACGCAAAGGACUACUAGCUCAAGCUAUCAACAUAGUAUGUGCUGGAUGACCUGUUCUACCUUAGCACCUAUGCUUGAAGGAACACAUCAGCACCAGCUCCAAGCAGUUUAAAAACAUCCAUCUUGUAACUAACACUGGUCAAUUGGUCAUGGUCCAGCAGUCCAUGCAAAUAUGUAACAGAGAAGGUAGAGGCAGAGAAUUGAACAAGGGUAGAAAGGUUAAGACAAAAAACUUAUGCUAUUUUAUGUUAUAGUAUUGUUUUUACUAAGCACAUAACAUUGAAUGCCAUUUUUGUAGUACUAUGGAGUUGAUUUUCAAAAAGGAAAAAAAAAAGGUCAUGAGCUUGACGGCAGAGGGUUUAGUGACCUUUAGAAAAACUGUUAUCAGGUGGCCAGGCAAGAGAACUUCCUGGUACUGUAGAGCAUCAGCUUUAUCAGGUGACGCAGUUUGAUCUACAAUCGCAUAAAGUUUCUGCAGCAUAAAUCUAAGAAGUGAAAAGUAAUAAGAGAUACACAUCAUUAAAGAGGUUCAAAAGGAUAGAAAUUCACAGAAAAGAGCAAUAAAACUUCAACUUACAUCAAUAAAUUAAAUUUGUCAUGGUUGUUUUGCAGGUGAACAAAAAUAUAGUCCUUAAGAACUGCCUCAGCAACCUACACAAUGUGGAAUGACCAAAGUGAAGCGAUCCAAAUUUCAACAACAUGCAAAGACAAAUGCAGAUUAAACAUCCAAUAUUACAGUUUCAAAAUCAUCUUUCUCAAAUCCUUCCAUCACAGAUCGGAAGUACUUUCCUGCAUUUCAAAGAUAAUUAUCGAUGUCAGUGACUAAGAAGGAUUCAAAAAUUUGUGCAAAUAGAACAAAUUAAACUCUCAGAUACCAAGAUGCAACAAGCAUUCUGUGCGAGUAAAAAGAGACAGGUCUCUGACUUCGUCAAGAAUUAUUUGUGCCCUUUCACCAAUAAGUUGAGUGCUGACAACUCCCUUUCCUCUUUCAUAAUGAUCACUGUAGCAGCAUGUCAAGCUUGUAAAUAUUUCCCGGUCACUAGUAUCAAUUAGGGCCUAUCAUUUGUAAAUUCACAAUCAGGUCAAUGUACUGUUAAAGUUACAUUAAGAAUACUGCCAACCUACACUAAAUAUCAAAGAAUAGAAGCACAAUCAAAAUAUUACUUUUUAAAUAAAAUAGUGAGAGUAUAAAUCAAAUUAUCUGGUAAGGUAACAGAAUAAACUACAGAAAGAGGAAAGAUUAAUGAAACGCUUAGAACAAAAAAAAAGUUUGUAAAAUACAGCUUAAUUACUCAAUAAAUGAAAAAUAUGGAAUAUUUCAAGAAAGGGCUUGAGGUCGUCACUGUAGAUUGCAUCAUCAUCCAACAAUAUAUAGUAGCAAUGAUUUGUAAAACUUGAUCAUGCACAAAGAAAGCUUAUUAACUCAAUUUCCAGUUAGAAAACAAUAAGCCCCAUGAAGGAAAUAUAUACCUUGAGAACAAUCCCAACAGGAAGGAGAAAUUCUCUGCCUCCCAACCUGAAUUUUGCACAAAUUCAAGAAUCAAGUUCCAAAAACUAAAAAGAAACUCAAGCAUUUCCACUCACAAUUUGCCAGUGCAGAACUUACCAGAACCCAAGCCUUGCACUGCCAUUUAGGAGGUAAUACAGCUUUAUUGUCACACUGGACUGAUCAUCUUGGACACAUCUGUCAAAAAAAACUAGAUAUGGAUUAUAACAUAAAAAAGGUACAACUAGAUACACAGACAAGUAUACUUGCAACAGCAAAAAAACUCAGUAACAUAAGCAGCUAUAGACAAGUAUAUGGCACCUUAUGAUCACUGCUUUGUCAGUGUACCCAGCACCACGAUUAACGAAAGAGCCACGGAUCAGGCCCAUAGGCUGAAAAAAUUCACACCAAACCAUUCAUUGCCAUAAUGUUCUCUGGGUUUUUUUUUUCUAAUAUUAGCCUUGCAACAUAAAUCUAAAAGAAAAGCUGAGUAAUCUUACAUAGUUACGUUUUUGUAAAAUAAGAAUCCGUACAAGUCUCUCCAUCCCACCACAUAUGAAGUACCUGAAAGAAAAUUUUACAAAAUGCAUCAGAAUGAAUACACUAACAUAGGAAACAGUGUCAAAAAAUUUGUUCAGUAACAGUAGAAGAAUCAAGAGUGAAUGUGAUAUAAUCAUAACACAAUGAAUCGAUCAAUAAGAUCCACAGGUAGUCUUAACAAGUUGAAUGACUAGACUAAAUGAUCGGUGUACUAAGAAAUGAUAGAAAGGGAAGAAGAUGACAUAAUUAAGAGAAUGUAAACAAAUAAACAAGUUCAUAACAUACUCACCCGCCCAUUUCUGUUGCCUCUUCACCAUGGAAAAUCAAUUUUUCAGAAUCUGCACCUCUUAGAUGGCAAAGCUUUGACUGGAAUUGCAUGAGCAUAAAAUCAUAAACAAGAAUAGAAUACAAUUCACACUAAUUAAAUCAAAACCAUCGGUCAAAUAAGAACAAAUAAGGUGGUGUAGAGAGAAGUGGAACGUGAAAUGAAUCCUGCAUAGCUUCCAGAAGGAAGAAACAAUAAUAGUUGUCUAUGGCUACCACCAAAAUGUGAUGUAUCUGCACUUUUUUUAAUAUCGAUGCUUUGGGUGUUCCUAACUCUACAGAAUUGCAGCAUAGUAUGAUGCAUGCAGAAUUGCAGAUCAGCUUUCACGAACAACUGAUUAUAAAUUAUUCAAAGCAGCUAUUAUUUAUCAUUUUAGUGUCAGAAUUGUAAAGCAGCACUGAACCGCAAAAACUGCAUAAUCAUGCUUAUUAAUUUAGAUUUUUGGCCUAUUAUAAAGCUAUAAACUGACAAAACAUCAUGACACUAAUAAAGUGCAUAAUGUUUGAUUCUUUCCACCCAACUGAUAGAGAAAAGUCUCUUUUUUUUCCAGGUAACUAUAUCAUAUUAGAUAGCUUAGUUUUCAUUUUUUGACUUGAAGAAGCAGAAGUAGCUUUUGUACCAAAGAGACAGGUGAACUUAACCAAGACUUAUUGGGGUGCCAGACUAAUGUAAAAUUGUAGAAACACAAGCUAGAUCCUAAAAGCAGAUAACAAGCUGCACUCAUAUGUGGAUGCUACUACUCAACUAAGCUGUCAGCCGCUCAUUCAAGUUCCAAAAUCCACCUAGAGAAGUUCUUACGAAAAAAAUGUGAUAAGAAGUACAACAAAGAAGGGGUAACAACCAUUAACAUAAUAGGCAAGUAACCAAAAUUGAAGGUUUGCCUGACAGCUGGUCCGUCAUUACAUUGGAUGAAAGUAUCCACUUUAAAUUCCCCAUGAUACGUCGUCCGUGCCUGCCUGCACUGCUCAUCCAAACAGGAAAGAACGUCCAAAGUUUUCAAUAGAUUAAACAAAUGUCUUGUGUUUAAAAUGAAAAUGAUAUGUAAAGGGAUUUGAUAAGUCCAUAUAGCAAAACCUGCUGGGGGUAGAGCGGUGCAUCCAACCGACCAUCCCUCUUUGGUGGGAACAGAUGACCUUUCUCCAAGGAUAGUAUAGACGACGGUUAAGGGAAAAUGAGAUGAUAACCAAGUUACUUCCAUAGUUCAUUCCGUACACAAACAAUUAGCAUCCACAAAUAUAGCAGUCCUUCCAAACCUCAUCUAUUGGUGUCCUCGUAAGAGAGUGAAAACGAAUUCAAACCUGCGCCUUAGUAACUCUAUGUUGGAACUACUGGGUGUUGGCUUUAUUAACAACUUGUCAGCUAAGUUCGGAAAGCACGAGAGCUGUCUUAAGGUAAAUUCGUAGCACAUAAGAAUUGAAUUUUGGAUGCUGGGUGGGGAAAAACUGGUAAAUUCGUACUAGCACACAAAAAACUGGUCCACUGAACUGUAAGCGACGAGCAAAAGGUAAAAAAAAAAAAAAGCAGGAAGGAUAUUUCUGAGGGUGGUGGGGGAGUUGGGGACGGUGAUCUCCACGGGGCGGAUGGACUGAAGCAUCUUGUCGAGCCCCUCGUCGAUGAAGUAGUCGAACGAGUCGAUGUGCGGCCGGUACAGCUCCCGCAGCGCCGCGUACUGGUCCUCCUUGGAGGCCGACGAGCUCUUCCCGGCCGCCAUGGCCGCCCGUGCGGGGGGGAGAGGGGGAGGGAGGGANNNNNNNNNNNNNNNNNNNNNNNNNNNNNNNNNNNNNNNNNNNNNNNNNNNNNNNNNNNNNNNNNNNNNNNNNNNNNNNNNNNNNNNNNNNNNNNNNNNNNNNNNNNNNNNNNNNNNNNNNNNNNNNNNNNNNNNNNNNNNNNNNNNNNNNNNNNNNNNNNNNNNNNNNNNNNNNNNNNNNNNNNNNNNNNNNNNNNNNNNNNNNNNNNNNNNNNNNNNNNNNNNNNNNNNNNNNNNNNNNNNNNNNNNNNNNNNNNNNNNNNNNNNNNNNNNNNNNNNNNNNNNNNNNNNNNNNNNNNNNNNNNNNNNNNNNNNNNNNNNNNNNNNNNNNNNNNNNNNNNNNNNNNNNNNNNNNNNNNNNNNNNNNNNNNNNNNNNNNNNNNNNNNNNNNNNNNNNNNNNNNNNNNNNNNNNNNNNNNNNNNNNNNNNNNNNNNNNNNNNNNNNNNNNNNNNNNNNNNNNNNNNNNNNNNNNNNNNNNNNNNNNNNNNNNNNNNNNNNNGACGACGAGGUGAUCUGAGAUCUCCGGCCGCCGCCGCCGGUUUCGGGUUUCGCGGCGCGCCCCCAUCAUGGCCGACUCCACCAGGGUGCUGGCCGUCAUCCUGGUCGUCGACGUCGUCGCCUUCGGCCUCGCCAUCGCCGCCGAGCAGAGCCGCCCAUCGGUGCGCGCCCCCCUCUCUCCCCCUCCUCCGACGAACUGACUUUCUGUGCUGAUGCUAAUGCUGAUGCUGAUGAUGCUCCUGUGCUCUCUCUCUCUCUCUCUCCGGCGGCAAGGCGAGGGUGGAGACGGACGCGAGGCAGGAGUGGACCUACUGCGUGUACCGCCCCGACGCGGCGACCGGGCUGGGCGCCGCCGCGCUGGCGCUGCUGCUCAUCGGCCAGGCGGUGGCCGCCGUCUCCAGCCGCUGCUUCUGCUGCGGCGCCGCGCUCCGCCCCGGCGGCGCGCGCGCCUGCGCUCUCAUCCUCUUCCUCUCCUCCUGGUACCAACUCCGAUCCCCCCUUCCCCUUCCCCAUCCUCUCCACGAUUCGGCUCUCGCCGCCGCCGCCGCAUUGACCUCCCCGCGUGAGGCUGACGCGCGGGCCCCGCGAGUCGUGCGCUUCGUUUCUCGCGUUGUUUAAUCAAGCAAAGCAGCGCGAAUUCAGGGAUUAUUAGCUUGGGAAUCUCUAGCUGUCCAUGUUUGGGGUUGCCGAAAAGUCAGAAAGAAACUAGAGAUCGGUGCAGGGGAAAGCGCGUUGGAUCAACGACUCAGCCAAACUUGGGGAUUGGGAAAAUUGGGGUGUUGAUUGGUGAGGGUAAAAUUUACACGAAAUCCCUGCGGAUUGAUGCGAUUCGUGCUGAAAUAUACAAAUUAGUUGUUCUAUAUCCGUGAAUCAUCAAUCAUCUAGCUCUAAGAUUUUCUCAAGAAGAGGAAAUAUGCAAAUUAUUUGAUAUUUUCCCUAGAAUGUCAUGUAAUUUGUUAAAUUUUGCUUGCGCAUUCGGAUUAUUGGAUUGCUGAUAUUGUAUGCUAAUUUAUUUAGGGGUGCACACGGGGCAAAAUUGUAGGAAUGUUAGCAUAUAGCAGGCUAUGGUAGAAUACAAACUAUGAUGUUGAUGGUUUUUAAGAAUAAAUAAAUUGACUGGUUGGGAGUUUGGUCUUGAAUUUUGUACAGUUAGCAAUUAGCUUUGGUCAUCUUGGAGUUCUUAUGCUGAAUUGGUCAAAAUGUAAAGGUUGCCAUUUGCUUGCUAUGUCCUUCACAGUGUUAACUGAUCAAGGCUCAACCGUUGAGUUUAGUGCUUUAGUGGUUGUAGAAAUUGUUGGACGGCCGGCUGGACCAAGUCCCACAUUGAUUAAGGGCAAGCUUCAUCAACUAAUCAACGAGUAGCUUUCAGUUAAUACUAGUACUAAACUGUUCUGAUUUGUUGGGUUUGGAGUCGGUACUUUCUAUUGGUAAUCUGUGAGUCCAGUGAUACAGUCUAGUUAUAUGACCAUUUUCCCCCAAACUUCUUGCACAACACAUUGUAAACAAUUAUGACAGUGGUAUAUGUAUGAGCUCUGAAAUUCAGACUACCUGUAUGAAUUGUUUAUGAACCAUUUGUUUCUACACUGACUAGCUAAAGGCCCCAUGCGUUGCAACGGAUAUUAUAAGAGAUAAAAGCAAAAGAAAAACUUAAAUUUAGCAUAGUUAGUUGAUUAGGCAUAAAAUGCCAUAUAUAAAGCAAAAACAUUCAUGUGUAUGGAUCUUAUGGCCCCACAUGUUAGCUUGUGACGUUGGAGGCAGACGCUGACACCACCACUAGCAUCAUUUAAAGUAAUAAUAUAGAUAAUUGCUUAAUUGCUGCAGAAUUAAGUUUAAACAUUUUACCGAACUAACAAGUCAGGCAUGCGUUUUCUCAUGACUGCACCCGAACAACCAUAGUCAAUUUGUUUUACUUAUCAAAAUAAAAUAUUUUUGUUUUGUCUCCAGGCAGUUACUCAGUUUGUUGUAGAACUAGGCGUGUUCAUGGGUUAUCACUUAUCUUAUUUCCAGAAAUAUUAUGCAAAUUUUCUAUUUUGGAAGACCUGGCCCUAACUUUGAUAAUUCCCCUGGCACACAAUCUUUACCGAACGCCCCCUUUAACUGUCCUUUUUAUCUAGAGAAAACAGGGGUUUAUCUAUGAUUCCUCAGAUACGAUUGGCAUUGAUAUGUUUCUACUUGUGUUCUUUCAUACACCUGCUGGUGACAUGGGUACUGUGUUACCUGUUCAUUGUAGCACCUAGUAUGUAUUACAGCAUCUGAAAAAUACUUUUACUGCCAUGAUUCUGUACUAAUUAGACUGCUAUAUGAACGCAUGAAUUUAUUGAAUUCUCACUUUUGCCCCCAAAACAAAAGCAUAAAAAUUGCAAGCAGCAUAAGGCAUAAGAAUCAUAGCAUGACAUCUUCAAAUGCUUCAAUUUAUUCAUCCAAUGAUCUCUAUAUAUCAAACAGUUGAAUUACCCAGUUAAGCAGCCAGCGAAUCUAUACAAAUUUCAUCCAAACCAUCCAGUUUUUGCACACUGGGGUACUGAACAUUCUGCCUGAUGUUCUUCUACUCAGGUUGACAUUCCUCAUCGCGGAGUCGUGCCUGCUGGCCGGGCUGGUGCAGUCCGCCUACCACACCCGCUACCGCAAGGUCUUCUUCGAGAACCCGCCGGACUGCGAGACGGUGCGGCGGGGCACGUUCGGCGCCGGCGCCGCCUUCUCCCUGAUCACCUGCGUGCUCACCGGAGCCUACUACUUCUACUUCUCCAAGUCGCGGGUCUCCUACGCCCGCCGGGAAGCCACCAUCGGCAUGAGCCCGUACAGCUGAAACCCUGAACCAUCACUUCACUUGAUCUUGUCUCUGCUAUUUGUGCUUAAUUAGUCUGUUAUUACAAUGCAUAUUCAGAGAGAGAGAAAUCACUGUGUAAUACUGUGACAGUUUUGGUAACCAUGUGAUUUAAAUUUAUUUUGUUAGGUCUUUUGCACACAAAGUGUUGUUGGUCUGUUGGUGCAGAGGAUUUUUGCCAGUUGUUCUGCUUGCCUGUGGGUUCCCUGCUACCGGUGCUUCUGCUCUCGUGUCUCGUUGCUCAUUUUCAGAGCUAUAUACUGUAGAUGAUUAUAGCAAAGUGCUAUGAAAUCGCUUCACAAAUUGAUGGGGUUAAUAUCAGAGCAUCUAGCAGAAUGGAAUAUACCCACUGGCUUGAGACUUAUCAAGAUAUGAUCCUUGACUUACAUUGAACCAUAACUAGUGCUUUUAUGUAUGUAAGCAAGCACAUAGCAGUCUUUCACUUUUGUUUUUCUGUCUGACAAUUUGCUUUGUACUCCCUCCCUUUCAUAUUAUAAGUCAUUUUAGUUUUUUCUCUAGUUAAAAUUAUUUAAGUUUAAUCAAGUUUAUAAAAAAUAUAGUUAUAUUUUCAACGCAAAACAAACACAUUAUCAAAAUAUAUUUAAUAUUAGAUCUAAUGAAACUAAUUUAGUGUUUUGGAUGUCAUUAAAUUCUUUUAUAAACUUAGUUAACAAAGUUUAACUAAGUUUAUACGGAGUAAUAUUUAACGGUGGGAGUAGUACUUAAAAAAGGGAAAAAAAAAGCAUAACACAUAGAUGCACGUACAAACUAGAAAUGGGCAGAGUCGCACAAAUACACAAAUUUAACUACAGUAGGUCAACAUAUACCCACGAGUUAAUAACCUGAAUCCAAACUACACUAGUACAGUCAUAGGCUCUUGUUACGCUAAUUUAGUAUGCGCAUACGACAUACGUAUAUACUUUCAUAGCGCAUGUGUAUGCAUGUAUGCAUACAUAGGCUAUACAUGCAUAUACACACACAUAUAUAUACGUAUACGUAUUCGGUAUAUAUAUCCGUAGCUCCGUAUACGUAUACGUAUCAAUACAAGCACGGGUUACUUAACAUGAACCAUCUAGACCGGGCAUGUCAUCUUGCAGCCACCCGUUCCAGUACUGCACGCCGCCGCCGCCGCAGUUCGCGUCCGGCGCCGCCGUCGACGCCGCUCCGACCGCGCCGCCGACAUCGCCGGUGGCGGCCUGAGGUGGAGCCGCGAACGCCGCCAUUUGCUGCCACGCGGUCAGGUCGAUGCUGUAGCCGCCUCCGCCACCGGCGGUAGCCGGCGCCAUCAGCAUCUGCCUCAGGAGAUCGGGGAACGACGACGACGUCGGCGGCGCCGCCGCCGGCGCGACGACAUGGGCAGAAGCCGCCGUCGAGGCUGUGGCGCCGGCCUUGCCUCCGCCGGCGGCGCGCUUGCUGUUCUUGCGGCCGCCGCCGACGGGGACGUCGCGGAGCGUGCCGCCCUCCGUCCAGUGGCGGCGGCACGCCUUGCAGAGGUACCGCGGCUGCGUGCGGCUGUAGUUGUUGUAGUAGCAGAACUUGGUGUUCGCCGAGCCGCACCGCGGGCACUGCCUCGGCGGCGGCCUCGGCAGCGGCGGGUGCCCGGCGUGCCUGCCACCCUGCCUCGGCGCCGCCGCCGCGUUCACCGCCUCGACGCCGCCGCCGCCAAUUCCGCCAUUGGCAGCAGCGGCGUAUCCCUGCCCCUGCACGCCAAGAUCGUCGUCGAACACCAUCAGCUCAUCGUCAAGAUCAGUCAACCAUCGAGCUAAUCCGUGACGUACCAUGAGAAGGGGAGGAGGAGGAGGAGGAGGCCUAGGCGGGGUCAGGUAAGAGAGGGGCGACGAAGCGGAAGAGGAAGAAGAGCCCAGGAACGGCGACGACAUGGCUCCCGCGACGCCGCGGCGAGGGCCAGGGUAGCUUCUUGCCGGCGGCGGAGACGACGACGACGAGCUGCGCCUGCGCGCGCUUGCUCCGCGCCGGGGACGACGACGACGACGACGACGAGGAGUAGUAGUAGUCGUACCACGGUGAACCCCUGCGCAUGUCGGACCGGUGAGCCGCCGCCGCCGCCGAUCGAACACUCUCCUUCUUCUUCCUCCCCCCAACCAGCUGCUGCUGCUGCAGCUGCUUAGCAAUAUCAAUUAGUACAGAUUAAUGAAUAAUCUAGCUAAAUCUUACUUCUAGUAGCUGUGUGGUGACUGUGACAGUGUGAGCUAGUAGCUAGAGGGCAAGGAGGAGGAGGAAGCGAAGGUGGAAAGCCAUGGAGGUGUUUCAGUGAAGGUGUCGGGGUUGAUUAUAUAGCUAGGCGAGAGGGGAGGUAUACUCCCUCCAUUGCUCGUAAAGGAAGUUGUUUAGGACAAUGUUUAAGAGGGUGUUUGGAAAUUAGAGACUAAAAGUUUAGCCCCACUUUAGUCCCUCCAACCAAACACCACCUAAGUCAAACCUUGGGAAUAUAAAUCAUGAAUAAUUCUCAAGUUGUUAAGUUUGAAAACGUAAAAAAUAUAUAAAUAGAUUUGUCUUGAAAAAUAAUUUUAUAAAAGUAUACAUAUAUAUCACUUUCUUAAUAAAUAUUUUUAUAGAAAUAAAAAGGUUAAAGUUAUAUUUUAAAGAACGUGUCGCUGUACAAAACAACUUCCUUUACAAUUACCGAGGGAGCACUGAGGUUAGGUGUGUGUGGAAGAAGAGGGGGCUUAAUUUCUUUUGCUUAAUGACUAAGGUCAUAGUGGAGACGAGGGCGGCGAUCGAUGAUCAGCUCGCGCGACGGAAAAGCGAACCGAAGCAAACGUGGACUGAACAAUGUAUGCGUGCAUGCAGCCACCCGACCCUCCUGCUGCGGUGUGUGCUGCAGCAGCGGUGCAGGUGUGGAAAGUGGAGGACCACACUUUUUGGUCCAUCACAUUACACGUGUCUAAGUAGGGAGAUAUACAAAAUCACUACUAGAAAAAUCAUUUUUCGAGACGUGGGCGUUAUUUUCUUUUCAAGCGGGUAGGUCUCUCGAAACUAAAUUGCCGCCUACGAAAAUAAAAACCGUGAGACGAGAUAGUUGUCCAUCUACGAAAAUAAGCAUCUUUAAAAACCUCUCUCCCCUCUUCCCUCGCAGCCAAAGUUUUCUAAGUCCCCUCCCACCUCUUCUCUCCUCUCCCCUCCCCUCCCACCUCUCCUCCCCUCUCCCCUCCCACCGGUGGCAGUGGUGGCGCACCCUGGCGCGGUGGCCGGAGGGAGGGGGGAGGGCAGUGGCGGUGGCGGCUGCUGCUCCUGGCUAUGGCUCCCCUCCCUCCCUCCCAGAUCUGGCCCGAGGAGGAAGGGGGGAGGGCGGUGGCCAGCGGCGCUCUCCUCCCUCCCUUCUAGAUCCAGCCGGAAGAGGGGAACCGGCCGGCGGCGGCAGUAGCAGUGGAGGCGGCAUGAGGGCGAAGGUGGCGGCCACCAGAGGCACGGCGGCGCACGACAACUAGGAGGAGAGUCGGCGGCACCGCUCCCCUUCCUCCGUCCCUCCCUCCCAAAUCCGGCCAGAUGAGGGGAGCCGGCCAUCAGCGACGGAGGCAACGCUCCCUCCUUCCUCCUCCCAUAUCUGACUGGGGGAGGGGGAGGAGAGUUGGCGGCCGAAGGGAGGGGCCGACGGGGGAGGGCGGGGGUGGUGGAUGCGGCGGAGGAGGAGCCGUCUCCCGAAUGGGGAGAAGCCGAAGGGGGAGGCCACCAGUGGCAUUUUUUUUAUUUUCGCUAAAAAUAUUUUUACAAGCGGGUGGAUCAACCGCCUACGAAAAUGAUUUUUGUAGGUGCCGUUGGGCGUUCGCAAGCCUUUACGUACAUGCGCUCCUUUCCCCCGCCUGGAAAAACUACUUUUGCCCGCCUAGAAAAAUGUUUUUUCUAGUAAUGAAUGGUUUUCCGACAUAUUUUCUCCGUAAAAAAAAAACCCAAAUCUGAACAGAGGAGGUUAUAUUCCAUUCCCACCUAGGUUAGCUUUUAUAGACCAAAGAGAAGUAAGAGCUAACCACGAUAGAUCAGUGGCAGAUCAAAAAAAAUAGCAGUGGGGUCUGAGCAAACUAGAUAGAGUUACAAUCCCCCUCCCAUCUAUAUAUGGUAAAAAAUUUUAGUAGGGUCUUCGUGGGGGCUUUCAUAGUCAUCACGCCAGUAGUGGGGGCUCAGAGAGCCCGCCGCUCUCAUGUUAGAUCCGUCCCUACGACAGGUAGUAUAGCGAGGAUAGAGGAACAGGCAAGAACUUAAACGGCGGCAAAAGCCAAGUAUCUAACAGAGAUGUUACUUUAGGCUGCUAGCUAGUUCCUUGUACAAUCUAACUAUUUUCUUAGUUUUUAUCUCUUAUAUAUAUAUAUAUAUAUAUAUGAAUAAUGCCCUUUUCUUCCUAUAUUCUUUUAAAUUGACACUUCUAUAUCUUCUCGUUUAAAAAAAAGUUACACAUGCCUGGUGAUCGGCGGGUAGCUACUACUAGUACUGUAUUGCAUUAAUCAAACAGGUGUAGAAUAGCAUCAAGACAAGUUCCCAAGUUUGGUACCAGUGAUGGACGGUGCAAAAACCCUGAGCUGUAGAGCGAGCACACAAGGAUUGGUUCACCUUUUCGGUUGAGCAACAGAUACGGACUUCUGAUGGUAAUAUGACGGUUUUCGCCAUUUUAAUCAAAUUUUGAUAAGAUUUUGGUCAAGUUUUCACAAUAUUUGAAUUAUCAGAAACCAUUCAAAUUUCACUCGAAAAUCUGCUCUCAUCCCGUGUCAAAACACCUAUACAUUUCGUGGUUUCUGGUUGGUUUUCGUUCAAAACGUGAAACUUACAUAUAAAACCAAUUUGUGUUAACGAUAUCAUCGGACCGAACUAUCGAGAAUCAAAAUUCAGACAUAUGAGGAAGAGAAGACUUCUGCAUGCAUGACAUGUGUAUAAUCGACAUGAUUUGCACUUUGGAAAGAAGAAAAAAAGUGUGAUUUAUUAUUUGAACAAUUUGCAACACGGACUGAUAAGAUAACUUAAAAUCUGUGAGGAGAUAGCGCAAUUAAGAUAUAUACCACUGAGUGCUGCACUCUCUUGAUCGCCGUAGACGGGUCAAAAGUUGGUUAGCCAGUGAUAUAGCAGUAGUAGUUGCAUUUUCUUGAACAAAAUUGCACUCUUGAUUUCUUAAAAAAAAAAGAAAGCACUCUCGAGAAAAUAUACUACUAUCUCCUUUUACAACUAUAACAAUAUUUAAGUACUUUAUCCGUUUCAACAACAUAAAACUUUAUAGCAUUACCCAAAUUCAUAUAGAUGUUAAUAGAUCUAGACACAUAUACAAAACAUACAUACAUACAUACAUAUAUAUAUAUAUAUAUAUAUAUAUAUAUAUAUAUAUAUAUAUAUAUGAUCAAUGGAUGAAUCGAUGUAAAUCCAAAAAGUGUUACAAUGGGUGUGUUCCGCUGCAGGCAAGGGCUGCAGCGCUAGCUACUGUAGCCUAUACGAACAGUGAAUCAAGAAAAAAAAAAGUCCAGCGGCUGGCUGCAGCAGUUGCAGUACAAAUUUAGACAUACUCGUUAAGGUUUAUAACUAAAAUUUGUUAUAAUUCUGGGACAAAAGAAAUACUACAUUAAUUUUCUCUUAUAUAAUUAAAAAGUAAAAAAAAAUGUUCCUGUGCUUCAAUAGUUGAGCAACCACUGUUGACCACCCGCUAACCGCCAAUUAUCAAUUCCAGCGGUUCCUGAACAACGGUCGCCGCCGCUACCGUGAUCAGAGCCGGAGACACACAGCGGCGGAGUUAUAGCUCCCCGGCAUGUCGGGCAGCCUAAAACGAUAUGUCUGUCUCCAUUAUCGUUAACCGUCCACACGUAUAAAAAUUAGUCGGUCAUCGGAAAACGUUACUAUUCACCUCCGCUUCUAAUAUAUUGACGUGCGAUCUUCUUAUGCGUUGCGGCAGUACUGGCUCCGCCACUACGGACAGAUACAAGUGCAGAGUUUUCUUGCGCUGGAAGACUAGCAAAGCUAGCCCGAUUGGUCGGCCCCCACCACGUAGGUAUAUGGGCGUGGUGUAUAUUGGUAGUUUAGUCGCGUGGUGGCCGGCGACGGCGACAGGAACCGGCGAGGAGGACAUGGUCGGCGCGCAAAAGGCACUCUCCCGGCCCCUUUUUUCUCUCUCUCGAUCAGUUCCGUGCUCUGCUCCACGAGUGAUCGCCCGCCGAGUGAGUAGGACUGAAAACAACAAGCGUUUUUGUCGCCUCCCGCCGCCGCCGUCGCCGUCUCAAGUCUUCCACUAUAUACCUACAGUGAAGUCACCACGCGUCCGUCUUGAUCGGCGCAUGCAGAAACAGGAGAUGCAUAUGCCUUUUGAUCGAUCGAUUCUGGCAUGGAAAAGAGAAGAGAAACGUAGCCACCCAGAGCUUAAUUUCGGACCAGCUUCGCAAAAUGGUUCGGAAAUGGGCCAGGAGAUCAUAUGCUUGACCUGCAGUCUCAAUUCCUGGGAGACAAAUCUAAUUUUUGAGAGUAUCUAAAAAACUGUCACAAAUAAAUUUUUUGGGUCAAAAACAUUCAGAUAUAACUAUACCAUAACUGAAGUGUAAUUGCACUGUAACUGCACUAUAACUUUUAUAUAUAACUUAUUAAAACUUGCAUUCAACAAUGGUUUGAUUAGAUAACACUAGGAUCUUAUGCAUGACAUGUAUAAAAAUUUCUUUCUAGCAUUUUUUUCUCUUCAUGCUCAAAUCUCGAGGCGAUCCGAUGGUCACAAAUAUAAAAGUUUUGGGGGCAAAAAGUGUUAGGAAACGAUAGGCAAACAAAUGAUAAAGAAUAAUAGAUCAAUCACAGAAGACACGAGAUUUUAACGUGGAAAACCCUCCCAAAGUAGGAGAGAAAAAACCACGGGCGCCAGCCAGCAAAAUAUCUUCACUAUAUCUAGGGUGGGGUUACAACGCCGCACAACGGCUUACAAGAGGUAUAUAUAUGGUGGAACCCUAAAAAGGAUGACGAUCCGGCCCAAGCCUCCCGGCGACAGGCCUCCGCUCCACUACGGCAGAAGCUGGCCUUUAUUAAGUGCAAAUGAAUUUGUAUCACAACUCAAAAAAAAACUUGUAAAUCCGCUAAUUUAAUCGUUAGAUUCAAGUGUCGAUUGUUUUAUUGCUGGUAUCUUUGGUGUAUAAUUGUUGACGACUAAAUUGGUAGAUCAUGUACCAAAUUAGAAGUUAAUAUUGAUCUUCGGGAUCGAUUGACGUGCUGCACAAGUAUUGCCGCAAUUGGGAUGAGCCCACAGAGGGGCAGUUGUAUCUUAUUAAUUAGGAGCCACAUUGAUCGGCUUUAUUCUUCAUUACCGAUCUAAUGCUAAUACAUCAGCUUAGUGAUUAACGAUAUGUCAUCGGCCCUUAGCCGAUCGGCUAUCGUUUACGGAUUUAACCUUAUUUUCUUGUUUUCCUUUCUUGUUGAUUGCAGGAUCAAAUCAACUGGCAUGCAUUUAAGCUCGAAAGCAAGAUUUAGGAUCUGCAUUGGAGUUAAGCAGAUAUCCCAAGUCCUCGAAAGCAAGAUUUAGGAUCUGCAUUGGAGUUAAGCAGAUCUCCCAAGUCAGUAUGUAUUUUUUUCAUCAACACGCUUUUAAUAAUGUACUCUUUCCAUAUUUUUAAUAGAUUUUACAUAAUAUCUGACCAUUUAUUAUAUUAUAAAAAAAAUAUAAAUAUCAUUUAUUUUCUUGCGGCAUGUUUUAUUAUUAAAGAAAAUUUAAGUAUAAUCGACUUGUAUUUUAUCAUAUUUACACUAACCUUUUGAAAAUCUACGAAUGGUCGGCACUGAUACACGUAUUAAUUUUUUCUUACUAAAUUUUUACUAACAACCAUCUCAACUGUUUGAUUUAGGUAGAUGGAAGUUAUAAAAAAUAUCUAAAUGUACUUAUAGCAUAUCAAUGUUAGUAAUAUUUUAAUAAUAAAAAGUUAGUACGUAUAGCAUUUUACUUUAAAAUUUAACGCCGCCAUCUAUUAAAAAAAACAGAGAUAGGAUAUAGAAAUAACAAAACAGACAUAUAGUUAUAUAAGCUGUUCAAUUAAUUUGGUUCACUCGGCCGUAUGCAAAACAAUGUCUACACUGGCAUGCAUCAAAGCAUUCCACAAGGACAAGUUAGGACCAUGGACUUUAUAAUUUUUCCCUUUUGCUAAAUGGAGGUUAUUUCCCCCAAAUUAUUACUCUAAACAUUUAAUUUGGAGACUGGAAUUUGUAGACAAACUGCUUUAAGAUUAAAGCAUACUCCAUGGAGCAAAACUAGAGUAGAAACUUCCAUCACAAAAAAAAAAGAAAGAAAGAAAAGAAAGAGGGGCAGUCACCUGACAGGCUGACACCAGGCAACAUCUGCAAAGUUAAUUAUCGUCAAUUGACGUGCAGUCAACACUCUUGCACUACGAGGAGAUACCAAUGCUCAAGUACCCCGAUCUUGCUCUCUUACAUUUGCCGUGCUCCAAAAUUACCAGUCAUAUGUUAGCCAAUCAAAAGAUCACAUACAUACUCUGAAGAAAAGGUUUGGAAAGCAUUUGAAGCCAUGAACAGUUGAACACAUACUUUUUUAUGACACCAGACAAUGUCAGCAGAAAAGAGACAUGAGAUUGGCAGAAAAUUCGGAAUUCCUUAAUAAUAGAAAAAAGAACAGGAUUAAUAUUUGGAGACAAAGAAGUUCCUCCAAACAUUCAUUUGAGAAAGAAUUAUGAGCGUGGUUUCAACACAUACCCUUACCACUACACUAUCAAUUGCAUCUUCAAAUUCCAAAAUAGAUUACUAGUUUACUACUGAUUGGCCCACGAAAACAGAAAUAAAUUGUAUUAGGAGUUCAGGACACCAUGUCGCAAUGUAUGCAUUUUCUAGAAAAAGGCUACAGUAAUCCACAUAUGCUAAUGACGGAAUAAUUAUGCUUAAUAAAUUCGUCUCGCGGUUUUCCAUACGAGUUAUAAAAUUAGUUUUUUUAUUCGUGUUCAAAAACCCCCGAAUCCGGUCAAAUAUCCGAUGUGACACCCAAAAAUUUUCUUUUCGCGAACUAAACAAACGCAAAGUUUGCAAAGUAUGCUACUUACAAAACGCUACGAGUUCUAUUGUGCCAAUGCUGCUUAUGAUUCUAUAGCUGAAAUUAAUCACUCUCCCAUUGAAAGACGUACAUAGGGUACCAAGGCCUAUUACUGGAAGCAGAACGUGAAAGAGGUCACCAUGGCGCAGGGCGUGUCGCCGGCGGCGUAGUAGGGAUCGGCGGCGGCGCACCGUUCGAACCGCCGCUCGAACGACCUCCACCACGAGGUGCUCUUCGCGGCGCCGCGGUCGAGCAGGAACGCGAUCCAGAGCUCCCGGUUGGCCUCCGCCUCCGACGCCGCGUGCCUGCCGGCGCCGCGGUCGAGGUAGAACCGCUGCCACGCGUCCGGCCGGCCCUUCUCCCUCCACCCCUUGUUCGGCGGCCGCGGCGUCGGCAUCGCCAUGGCCGCCUCCCGCCCGAGGAAGAACCGGGCACGGCAUCCACCCCCUCGGCCUCUCCUCCGGCGGCGGCACGGACGGGCGCCGGGACGGGUGCAGUCUCCCCCCGCCAUAGACGAUGGCGGAGAGACUCUCGCCGCCGCCGUCGACGUCGUCAUCAGACUCCUCCAUGUCGUCGCCGCCGUUGGGAUCCCCCGAGUCGUAGAGGAGAACCUGCAGGGUGUGGAAUUGAAGCAGAUGAGCAAAUCAAAGGCCAAAAUCAAUCGAUCGAUCGAGUUUUGAUCGGCGGACGGCGUACGUGGGGAGGGAACUGGUCGCCGUAGAGCUCCUCGAACACCUCGAGGAAGGCGUAGAUGGGGUCCGGUGGCUGCUCGUCGGGGUCGGGGAGGCGGACGCCGCCGGGCAUGAGAUCCUCCAUCGGGUGGACGGGGUGGAACGUCUGCCACGACGCCCAUUGGCGGCGGUGGUUGGCCAUCUCCGGUGCCCUCGACGGUGGCGAAGUCGAAGUCCAGGCGAGGCGAGGCGAGGCAAGGCGACACGACGCGGCUCGGAUCGAUCACCGACAGGUUUUAGCUGCCAAAAGUCGGUUUGGAAAAGGCCCAGUGAUGGGCCACACGCCCACGGCCCACGCUAGGAUAAUAUUGUGAAAAAUUGGAAAAAGUACACCGAAGGUCCCUCAACUUCUCAUCGAGUUACAAAAUCGUCCCUCAACCACAAAACCGGAUACAACGCAUCCCUUAACUUACAAAACCAGUACAAACUAGAUCCCUCGGCGGUUUUGACUCCAAUUUUGUCCGACGUGGCAGCUGACUCAGCGUGGGACCCACGUGGGCCCCACACGUCAACACCUACUCACCUUUCCCCUCUUCUCUUUCGUUUCUCUCCUUCCUCUCGCUCUCUCUUUGCUCUCACACGGGGACGGCCCUAGGGCUGCCACCCACAGCGGCGCGCGCGAGUUCGCCGGCCUCCCCGCUCACCUCGUGCGGGCCGGCCGGCAGGGCGAGGUAGGAAACAGGCGGCGGGGUGGCGUGGCGACGCUGCGGCGGCGGGCCGGGCGCAGGCCGGCGCCGCGGGGAUGGGCGCAAAGGUGGAAGCAUGCGCGUGCGGCGGACGGCGGUGGGAGGAGCCGCGUGCGGGCGGAUUCACGAACUUCAUCACCCUGCCAUUGAGCGAGCCGGGGGCGGCGUUGGUAGGGAACGGGUAGGGCGCCGAGUUGAGCAACUCGAUCUCGGCCGUCGGCGACUAGGAGAAGUCGAUGAUGACGUCAAAGAUCUCGGCCAGGGAGAGGAGGUUGGUGACGGUGUCCAGGGCCGAGAGGUACGACGCGUCGGAGCCGAAGACGUGGAUGGGGAAGCUGUUAGAGAGGGAGACGUUGAAGUAGCGGGCGUUGAUGGCGUUUAGGAUGCGGAGGCGGUAGCGGCGGCGGUAGACGAUGAGGAACGGCCAGGCCUUGCCGUUGACGGUGAUACCCUCGCCGAAGAACUCUGGCUGCCAUGGCGCUGGAACGGGGGAGGACGGCCGGAGCGGCGGCUUGUUGGGGACGGCCUCGCGGAUGAGCAACGGCCGGAAGGACAACGGCGGCGGCGGCGGCGACAACGCGUCGGCCGGCCAACUCCCUCCUCGCCGCCUCCAUCCCCACUUCCCUCCCGCUGUCGCCGUCUCCGUCUUCCGCUCCUCCCUCGCCCUGAAUGGGAGUUUCGUCGGAGCGGCAUCCUCCUCCUCCACCUCGCCACCACCGUUCCCCUCCAGCUCCCCCUUCGCUCUACCCCUGUGGUCCCACCACCGACGCUCCUCCCCGCUCGCGUGCGCCGACCUCGUCGACCGGGGUGACUUCAACGGGGCACGCCGCGACGCGACACCAUGCUCGCCGCCGCCGACCUCGUCGAGCGGGGUGACUUUGACGGGGACAAGAGAGGCCAUGGCGACGCCCGACCGUGGCGUGCUCCUCUGCACCGGUGACCGCGCCCGCCGAACCGUCCUGUCGCGCCGCCCUGGCUGCUCUUCGCCGGCCACCGCCCAUGGAGAGGGAAGGAGAGAGGAAGUGAGUUGAUGGGGAGGGUAAGAAGUGGUGACGUGGUCAAUCUAACACGCGGGUCCCAUGCGGACUCAGCUGCCACGUCGGACAAUACCGGGAUCAAAAUCACCGAAGGACCUAAAUUGAACGGUUUUGUAACUUGAGAGAUGUCAUAUAUCUGGUUUUGUGGUUGGGGGACGAUUUUGUAACUCGAUGACAAGUUGAGGGACCUUCGGUGCACUUUUUAUGUGAAAAAAUUGUCCAUUGCCAGGCCUCCUAGUCCUGAUGGUUUUAAUGGCCUUUUUGUCAAGAAGUGUUGGCCCAUAAUUUGUCAGGACUAUUUAUAGGCUAGCUGCUGAGUUUCAUUCGGGGCAUCUUGCAGCGAGAGGUCGAAGUGGGCCUGGGCACGGUGUAGACUUCGAAGUCGUCGUCGACGAAGGCCACCAUCUUCGUGAGGGUGGCGCCGAUGGGCAUGUCGCCGGCCAGAGGACGUCAUCGAGGCCGUCGGGCGCCCGCCCUCCCCCCCCGCAGCCGCCCAGCUCCUCCCCUACCGGCUGCCGCCCGCGCCCAGCUCCGCCCCGCCAGCCGAGCCCCGCUCCGCCCCCGACGGCCGCACCCAGCUCCUCCCCCGGCUCCCCUGGCUAGGAGGGCGGGCGCAGGAGGCCGUGCGGCGCUGCUGCCGCCUCGUCGCCCAUCGCCCGUUGCCGGUCUCCCGCGCUCCCCCACCGGCCGGCUGCCCUGCAUGGGGAGGGGAAGAAGGAGAGAGGAAGAGAGGGAGGGGAAGAAGGGGCUGGCAUAUGGGACCCACGUGGGUCCCAUGCUGAGUCAGCUGCCACGUUGGAUAAAACCGGAGUCAAAACCGCCUAGGAGUCUAAUUUGCACCGGUUUUAUAAGUUGUAUCCGGUUUUACGGUUGGAGGACGAUUUUGCAAUUCGAUGACAAGUUGAGGGACCUUGGGUAUACUUUUUCCAAUCAGAUUCGCUCACUAGCUAAUGGAGUCGAAGUGGAUUUAUUCCAAAUCAAAAUCUCUUCCAGACCAAAUAACAUGGGCACAUCUAAGUCAGAGUCCCGUUCCGGCCCGACAGAUAUGGGCCCCUUGAAUCACGGCCGUACUGACCAACGGACUGGAUCCUUCCGACGCCGGUGGGCGGGGAGGCGGAGACGGCAGCCUCGUGGAUAUUAAUUGUUUUGUUGAAGCAACAGAUGCAGGUGAUUUGGCUGGUGCAAACCCAAUCCUUAGUUGUAGCUGAUAUUGUUUUGAUCCACAAUGUGUUUUGCAUUCUGUCUAGUUGUGAUGUCUUGCAAUGUCUCAACUCUCUACUGUGAAGGCUUUUGCCACAGAUUUGUCUUCAGGCGAGUAUAUUUCUUUAUAAGAUAGUGGCAGGAAUGCCGCUUUGUUGCUGCAACUUUCACAACAAACUUCAGCAAUACACCGCAUUUGACGGCACCUUACAUGCACAGGCUUACAGCUUAUUUCUGCAUAUAUAUAACCAAAUGGCAUCCAUUUCCAUCUCUACCAAUCCUUGCAAAUCGCAAGAGAGAAAUGUUAUGAACUCUGAAUUCUGAAGAGUGAUGUUGUACUUUGAGCUCUGAAGAAAGCAAGUUUACCGCCCAUAGAUCACGAGCAGUGACAGCCACUGACCCAGUGAGUCCAAUGCUCGACCAAUGCGCAGUGAUGGCCUGUUCCAGAGUACCACAUCCUUCCUGUUGUUGCUGAGUGACCUGGCCCAAACCUAUCGACAAAUUAACACAGUAUUGCCAGCUUCAGAGCAUGGAACAAAGACAAGGCUGAAACUUGAAAACCACUGAUGCAGAUGAACAGGGAUUACCUCCAAUCCAUUGUCAGCUUGCAUUUUCUUUCCUUGGACACCUAGUCUGUCUGCACAAAGUUGUUAUAUGAGUAUGGUGAAAUAUCAAAGAAUAUGGCUAGAUCUAAGCAUGUGAAAGAGAAGGCUUGCCUUGGUUCACAACGAUGACCUCCCAGUUGCUGAGUAUGUCUUUCAUCUGCUGGCUCGGGCCUGUUUAGUUUCCAAAAAGAAAAUUUUUUUGUGUCACAUAGGAUGUUUGACCGAAUGUCGGAAGGGUUUUUCGGACACGAAUGAAAAAAAUAAUUUCAUAACUCGCCUGGAAACCGCGAGACGAAUCUUUUGAGCCUAAUUAAUCCGUCAUUAGCACAUGUGGAUUACUGUAGCACUUAUGGCUAAUCAUAGACUAAUUAGGCUGAAAAGAUUCGUCUCGCGAUUUUCUCUCUAACUGUGCAAUUAGUUUUUUCAUUUAUCUAUAUUUAAUGCUUCAUGCAUAUGUCCAAAGAUUCGAUGUGAUGUUUUUGGGAAACUAAACGGGGCCACAUUGAGCGCACAUCACAUCCAAUCAAAAGAGGAGCCUGAACAGUUGAAGCAAAGCUUGCUGUGAGGAAAUGCAACAAAAGAAAAUAUUCAACAUUGCAGCAAAACUGUUAGUACACAAAACAUGCUAUGGUACCUAUGAUUGUGCCCACAGAUACUGAACUGUGAGCGGUACUCCGAUUAAGACAUCUCCCCAUCGCCCACUUCAAGCAUGCCAGGAUCUGCAAUUGAUGUUCAACAGCAUCUGUUGAUCGGUUCGAAGCUCUCAAAUGGUUGAGCAGAACACAUUCAUCUCAAAUUCUUACCGUUCCAUCCACCAGGUCCAGCAUAGGCAGGCAGCCCAUUUGUCGUUUUCGUCUGCACAAGAUGUCAUACUGAAAUAACAGCGCAAUCAUGAUCAGUACUACCUCCUUUUCACAAUAUAAGUCAUUCUAACAUUUUCCACAUUUAUAUUAGUGUUAGUGAAUCUAGAUAGAUAUAUAUGUUUAGAUUUAUUAAUAUCAAUAUAAAUAUGAGAAAUGUUAGAAUGACUUACAUUGUGAAACGAGGGAGUACUGAAAAACUCAAGUAUUAUGUAAAUGAUACUACAGAGAAGAUGAGCAGAACCUGCCCCAGUUGUCAGUGAUGUCAUCAGUUGUUCUCCGGCUUGUUAACCAUGUAGCAAGAUUUUCUUAUCCCCUGUACAGAAAAGGCAUGGGGCCCUAGGGAAUCAACAAUGCUUCGUUGUUCCUUCGACCCAGCCAAUGAUUUUACAGCAAGCCAAACAUUUACAGAGUGACAACAUAAUAUUACUGUAGGUCUUCAUGGCAUUUCUCAUUCUAGUGUACUAUUCAUUAGACAUGAAAACAUUUAGCCAGCAGUACGAUGCAUAAGGCUCACAAAGUUUUGCAGCACACGUAUUGCUUCUAUAAACAAAUGUACAAAAGAAUGGAAUCUUUACUCUUUCCUCCACUAAAAAGUCCUUGAUUGUAUAACCAAGGGAGAGUGAUAUCUACUACAAUAUGAAAAAAAGCACCAAACCACACUGCGUUGGCACAUGAAGAAAAGAACAAUACCGCAGAAGAUUCACACUUCUGAGGUAUUUGAAGAUUAAUCAAAAUGAAUAGAUGAAUGGCAAAAGCGCAGAGAAAAACAGCAUUAUAGAAGAAGCUGCUCUGAAUGAGAUACGGCCACAUGAGGCGAUAUAAUUGAAAUGUUUUUCAAACAUAAUUCGAAUAGGAUCACACAAAAAGAGAAUUAACGAGAUCAGGAAGGUAACAAGUCAUAAAUAGUAGAAAUCCGAAUCGCUUUUAGCACAAACAGAGAGUAACAUGAAGCGUUCGGGUUAGCUAGCCAAGAUCAUUCACAUUUAGGAUCACAACUACUAUGACAAGUACUAUGCCAAUCAGAAUCAAAUCACAGUUGCAAUCCCAUUCAUUCCAAUACGUUAGCAAUUCACUCGGUUUAACUACGAAAGCAGUUACUUGUGAUUCCCACACGUUUAGUUACAAGUAGCAAAGAUACGGGCAAUAAUAAUAACACCAUUAGACAUAGUAAUAUCCUAAUAAUGAUUAAUGAGCAGAAGCACUCUAGUAUAUUUAGCUGGAUCACAGAUCAUUGCUCCUUACCACCAACCAUUAUUGAUUCCCUGCAAGAUUCUAGCUACACCUCGUCGUCGUCGUCGUCGUCGUCGGUGACCUCCUGCUGGAUCUCGGCGUAGCCCUUGGUGCGGUACUGGUAGAGGACGAAGGCGUCGAAUUCCCUGUUCUCGUGAACCUGGGCGGCGAUUUCCUGCCUGAGUUCUUGGUCGACGAACAUGUGCUGCGCGACGCCCGGAUCGAUCGGGAGCGGGCGAGGCGUCUCGCGCGCGAGGUAGGCCAUCACCUCCUUGGUCCGCAGGUAUCCCAUCAGCUCGUCGCUCAGCUUCACCGUCACCAGCUUCUUCUUCUUCCUCUUCUUCUCGCCCUCCGCCGGGGCCUUGGACUUGCUGUUGCUCUCCUCCUCCUCCUUGAGUACGGCUUGUGUCCCGUCGGGCUUGGGCUUGUGCUUGUGCUUGUGCCUCCUCUUCUCCUUCUUCUUCGGUGAUCCCUUUUCGGGGGACUUGAGAUUCUCCUCCUCCUUGGGUAUGGCGUCCACCACCAUCUCCUCCUUCGCCUCGUCGGGCUUGUGCUUGCGCCUCCUCUUCUCCUUCUCCUUCUUCUUCUCAGGGGAGUUGAGCUUGCCGAUUCCCUCGAUCUCAUCCCUCUCCAUCGCGCCCCGCCCGCCGUCGCCCUAAUCUCUCCCUAUCGAAACCCUUCACUCACGUACUCCCUCCAUCAAAAAAAAAAAGACAAACCCUGGUUUCUAUGUCCAACGUUUGACCGUCCGUCUUAUUUAAAAAAAAUUAAAAGACAAGUCAUGCAUAAAGUAUUAAUCAUGUUUUAUCAUCUAAUAACAAUGAAAAUACUAAUUAUAAAAAAAAAUCAUAUAAGACGGACAGUCAAACGUUUGACACGGAAAUCCAGUGUUUGUCUUUUUUUUUUUUAGGACAGAGGGAGUAUGCGUUGCGGCGGCGGCCACUGCGAGGUAGAGAGGAGAGGGUAACCCUAGGCGCUAAAUGGGCUGGACCUUUACCACACAGGUCCAACUAAUUACAUAUAGGGAUAAGUUCACUUUAGAUCUCUCGUCUUGACGUUGAAAUACUCCCUGUCUCAUAAUAUAAGCAAUUUUAACUCACCAUUUGUCUUAUUAAAAAAAAUUGGAAUUAUUAUUUCUUUUAUUUGUGACUCACUUUAUUAUCCAAAGUACUUUAAGCACAAUAUUUCUUUUUUAUAUUUGUACAAAUUUUCUGAAUAAGAUGAGUGGUCAAACAGUGCAAGUAAAAAGUCAAAAUCCUUUAUAUUAUGGGACGGAGGGAGUAACUAAUUUCGUCCUCAAACCGUAAUAAUUGUACAUAUAACGAGGCCCUCCACUUGCAAAACCGGUGUACCCGAUAUUCCAAGCAGUAUAGAGCCUGAUUUUAGCCGAUGUGGUGAGUGGGCCCCACGUGUCAGGUCUAUUUCUUAUUCCUCUAGCCUCCCCUCUUCCCAUCUCCUAUUCCACUCCCAUCUUCCCUCUCUCUCAUCCGUUCCCGAUCGCUGGUGAGGGAGGGGCAAAGGCGACUGGUGGCAGGCCGCCAUCGUUUCGGACAACACCAUCUAUGUCGCAUUGGCCCCAUCAGGGUUCUCUACGUGAGGUGUCCUCUUUGCCAUCGAACUCACAGAACUUGAGCACGUGCUUCGCGCUGGACCUGUUCGCCGAUGUGUAUGUUUGAGCCGUGCUCUACCACCGGGAAGAAGUUCGAGCCCUCCAGGAUGCGAGCGAUCAUCGAUGAGUGCAUCGGUGCGCUUUCCGCUUCAAGCGAAGGAAGUUAGCUAGAGCAGAGCUAGUGACAAUGUCUCAUUGGUGCGCUUUCCGCUUCAAGCGAAGGAAGUCAGCUAGAGCAGAGCUAGCAACAAUGUGACAUAGGGUGUGUUUAGUUCCACGCUAAAAUUGAAAGUUUAAAGAAAUUGGAACGAUGUGAUAGAAAAAAUGAAAGUUUGCGUAUGUAGAAAAGUUCGAUGUGACGAAAAAGUUGAAAGUUUGAAGAAUAAAAAGUUAGAAUCUAAACAAAGCCAUACUCCCUCCGUCCCGAAUUACAUGGCACCCUCUCUCUUUUGAGGAAAAUCAAACUCGAUAACUCUUGACUAAUAAUCAUACUAACACAUAUAUAAGAUAGUGGCAGGAGUACCGUUUUAUUGCUGCAACUUUCGUUACAAACUUCUGAUAUACACCGCAUUUGAUGGCACCUUACAUAUACGCUUAUAGGCUUGCAGCUUAUUUCUGCAUAUAACCAAAUGGCAUCCCAUUUCCAGCUCUACAAAUCCUUUGCAAAUUCCAAACAUUUUCUUCCUGAAUCCUGAUAAAUUUAGGCUGUAUUCGCAGACACGUACUAAUCUGUACUGCUCUCUAUGAUUAGUUUGGUGUCAAGACGCUUGCAGUCAUGAGGCACCACCAAUGCUGACCCUGAGCUGCGAACGACGAGUGCUGCACAAUUGACAGAAAUUGUGUGAGCUCUGAAGAAAGCAAUUGAUGUUCAACAGCAUCUGUUGAUCAGUUUGAAACUCUCAGAUGGUUGAGCAGAACACAUUCAUAUCAAAUUCUUACCAUUCCAUCCACCAGGUCCACCAUAGGCAGCACAUUCGUAGGACGUUCUGGUCUGCACGGGAUGUCAUACUGAAAUAACAGCGCAAUCAUCUCGUGCAUUCGCUCUCAAUGCCCCCAAUCACACAACUUGGUCAUGUUCUUUCCUCCAAUAAAGUUGGAUGAAGAUUAAGAUUUUCGUGACAUAUUUUUUAAACUGCUAAACAGUGCGUUUCAUGCGAAAACUUUCUACAAGAGAGUUGCUCUAAAAUAUCAUACAAAUCUAUUUUUCAAGUUUGUAAUAAUUAAAACUCAAUCAAUCAUACGUUAAUACUACCUCAUUUUGCGUAAAAAACUUAAUCAUCAUCUUCAUCUUCAUUUUUAGAAGAAAAGAACACCACCAACAUGUUCUUCUGCCCCCCAAUGGCAUUCGCUCUCAUUAAGGUUGUUCUGCAUCGAGUACAAUGCUCCAUGUAACCAACGACUAUUUUUUUCUAUAGUUCAUUCUAAUUUGUCAACAAGUGAAAAUAUAAAUCCUUUUGUCUGCUACAACAUGCUUAUUGUUACCUGAUAGGGCACGUGCCAUUGCGAGGCGUAGAAACAUCUAAAUGCUCAACGACUAAUUUUGCAGCCCACAGUUCUAUAUUAACUCACAAAUCUGAUUAUUCUCACGUGUCAUACCACUAAACACUAUCAGUAUGAUGCAUUUAAAUAGAAGAAUUAUACAUAGCAGAGCAGAAACCAGUUAUAUGAAACCGUGUAGAUAAGAUAAACCACAUGACGGCAGACUACCACAGAUCCAUAAAAGAAAACAUUUUGGUUUUUUCAGCUUCACCUAGCAAUUAUGACAAUAUAUCUGGACAACAAGCAGUGGCGGAUCCAAGGUCCGGCAACUCCGGGCAGCUGCCUGGACUCACCGGCGGAUCACACCAUUACAAUACCUUAAAUUUUCAGUGAUUAACAGUGUAUAUAAUUCUUCACAUAUGUAUUUGCCCGGGCUUUAAAAAGUAUCAAGAUCCGCCACUGACAAUAAGGAUAUGCACCAAUCUUAGAACCUCACUACUUUCUUCCCAUGACAAUGCAAAACAGAUCCCACUUUCAUUUACCAGAUAUAGCCUGACAUCAGUUGGUACCGGGUACCCUAAAUAGAAAGAUAUAGAGGCAAAAAGACCAUACUGACCUCAUAGAUCCUGACAUUUCUUUACCAGUUGCCAUCUUUGGUUCCUCAGCAUGUGCCACCCUGUACUUAUAACACCAUGUCAGCUAAUAAGAGUAAAAGUUAAUUUAAUUAAGGGGUACCUAAAAGAAAACAUCAAUAAACCCCUUUACAUUUCAACAAAAACCUCAAGUUUCUCUUCCUGACACUGACCAACCAACUUCAAUUCAUAACAUGAAAAUCCAAGACAGAAGGAAACAUAAUACUCCAUCUGUUUCAUACUAAUUUUUUAUAAGUUUGACCGAGUUUAUAGAGAAACAUAGUAGCAUUUUCAAUACAAAACAAACAUAUUAUCAAAAUAUAUUCAAUGUUAAGUUUAAUAAAACUAAUUUCGUGUUUUAGAUGUUGCUAAAUUUUUCUAUAAACUUGAUUAAAUUUAAAAAAGUUUGACUACAGGAAAAAAAAAUCAAAACGCCCUACAAUACAACGAAACGGAGGAAGUAAAAAUGAAGCACGGAAUGAGAAACUUCUUUCUUUCUGUUUCCGAUGUGUGCGAUGUGGUAGAAUCGGAAUAUUAAUCGGGCACUUUGAUUUGCUAAAAUAUCAUCAUGCAAAAACAAAGGGAAAAAGGCUAGCCAACCUGAAAUCUGCUGCCUGUGACAUGAAUAGGUGGUGCGGGGUGUGAUCAAGCUCUCCUUGCCUUCGGUGUUGCCCUUCCUUGUGCUUCUGAAGCCUUGUGCUCUUAAAGGACCAUGCCAAAACAAAAAGAUGAAAUAUGUUAUGGCAUGAACCAUGUACAUAAUGUUGAGUAUGACACACGAGGGAAAUUAAAAGCGUGGCAAUAAGACAGUAAAGAUUAUACGAGUCCUUAAAUGACUUGGCGUCACUUUAAGACCACUGACUGAACCUCAAUAUAAAUCUGCAAGCAGCACAAGGUACAGUAUGGAAGAAGAGUAAAUUAAUCAAAUACAAGUCUUGAGUAAUGAGCUAUACCGAUUCCAGUUGGCCAUAGCAGCAUGCUGGGUUAAAUAUAUAUACAUAUAUAUAAACACCAGUCAUUCUCAAGUCCCCAGCAAGCACUCAAUUUGCCGUUUUUUUUUGACAAAUUGACCCUUUUAGAAAACUUAUUUCGAAACUAACCCCUGCCAAAAACUUCAACCAAAAAUAGGCCGUCGCCUCAGCGCCAAACACAUUGGCGCUGACGUUGGCCGUGUCAGCGCCAACGAGACUGGCGCUGAUAUUGUGCCACCGUGGCGGCCGGGCCGAUCCCCAGCUGACGUGGCAGCUACCUCAGCGCCAACCGGACUGGCGCUGAGGUGGGACUUGGCCGCAACCCCAAGGCCCAGACCAGCAAGCCUUCUGGAUGGCUUGCGGGCUGGGACCUCAGCGCCAGCCAUAAUGGCGCUGACCGUGGGACACUCAGCGCCAGCCCACCUGGCGCUGAGGUGGGACUUGGCCGUUUCGGCCAUGGCCCAGCCCAGCCGAAACGGCCCAGCCCAGCAAGCCUUCUGGAUGGCUUGCGGGCUGGGACCUCAGCGCCAGCCAUAAUGGCGCUGACCGUGGGACACUCAGCGCCCGUUGGUAUCAAAUGCUCUUGCCCAUUUGACCUUAAGUGGCAUAUGGUCUUCUAGCCACUUCUUUGGCCUCUCUCCGACCACACCCAUGAGGCGUUUUAUCUCAUCUAGGAACAAUGCUUUCUCAUUUAUUUGACAUAUGCGCUCAAGAUCUUUCAUCUGAUCAGUCGUAGCUCCAGCUGUGUAGAAGUUAGCACAGAAGUGCCUCAUGCACCACCUGUGGUGAAUGGUUAGGUGAUGAGGCAUGAUGUGGAUGAUGGAGUUCAAAAUGCCAGGGUGUCUAUCAGAAAUUAUACACACUUCUCUAUUAGGACCGAUCAACUUGUUUCUCAACAUGUUGAUGAACCACUCCCAGUUGGAUGUAUUCUCCUUCUCUACCAGAGCAAACGCCAAGGGAACAAGAUGUAACCCGGCGUCGACCCCUAUUGCCAUGAGCAAUGUACCUUGGUAUUUACCGGUUAAGAAAGUGCCAUCAAUUGCUAGCACCGGCCUCAAGUGCUUGAAUGCUUCUAUGGACUGGCCAAAUAUCCAAUAUGCACGUCCAAAUACUCGCUUCUGUACUCCAUCCACCAUCCUGGACUUCUCGGGAUGAGCCUCAACACGGAAAUGCAUGGUAGGGUUCUUUGCUUUGAUGGCACGCAUCAGUGUAGGCAAGCGAACAUACGCCUCGUCCCAAUAUCCCCAAAUGACCUUCAUAGCAACUUGCUUAGCACGCCAUGCUUUGCCAUACGUAGGCCGAUAGUGCCAUAUUUGCUCAACUGCCUCGACAAUCGCUGCUGGAGAUAAAGUUGGUUCAGCUCGCACAAAUGCCUGUAACCUGUUUCCAAUAAACCUUGAAGUAAGUUGCAAAUGCUUGCCGGUUACUUCCGCACUACAGCAUGUGUGGUCUUCGCCCACCCUAGUCACCCGCCACCUAUCUCCUCCACUCUUCCUUGCAUUAAUCUGCCAUUUGCAAUGGCGAUCGAGACAAGCCAUAGUAUACUUUACUGACGCGUUAGAUUCCUUCACAUGGUACGGCCGGUGGACACGGAUAGAAUAACUCUGUAGCCAUAUUUUCAGAUCAUCCAUCGAUCGAAACUCCAACCCCUUCCUUGGUUCAUCACACAUUGGUUCGAAGGCACCGUCAUAUUGUGGAUCCCCAUCAGCAAUUGCUAGCCCAGAUCUGGUAAGAUCCUCGAAUUGUGUUAUUUCCGGGUUUCUACCCACCAGUUUCGCAAACACAAUCCUUUCAUGCUCUGACAUCUUACGCACUGGACGAUCAUCAUCGGAGUCGGAAGCGGACUCAUCCAAUUCAUCCUCUGUAUCAUACUCCAACCAGCCUGGGUUCAAUCCACUGCGUAUCAUAGCCUCCUCACACUCCUCUCGGGUAUAGAAUUUCAGCCUAGCCAACUCCCUUAGGCCCAUACUUACAUUCUUAGCAUUCGCUUCUUCCUCAGGCAACUCCACAUCAUCUCCUACCUCCCGACCAUCCUCAACAUCUCCUUCCUCUCUUACCGGCACAUUCUCCUCCACAUUAACUUCCUCCCUUAACGGCACAUUGUCCUCUGCAUGUACUUCUUCCCUUAACGGCACAUUCUCCUCUGCAUGUACUUCCUCCCUUACCGGGUCAUUCUCUUCCCUGACCUCCACAUCCGCCAUAUCAUUUACUCCCUCGCCCCCCUCCACGUCUUCCUCAAUCAAUUCUUCCUUCCUACUACACCUCUCUGACAGUUCGUGACAGCUAAUGGGUGAUUCUAUGAGUGGACUUUCAUUAAGGUCUAUAAGUUCUUUCUUCCCUAUCCUAACAUCUUUCUUCCAUGCAAACACCUCAAGAGAUUUGAAAUGUGACCCCAAUACUAUAUCUAUAUAUGUUUGCCAUUCGAUCUCUCCAUUCAAGUCUAACAUAAAUUUAUGUGACAUGACACCGCCGCCCACAUCGUAUCUCCCUUGCAUACCAACCGACUCAUCAUUCCAAUCCAAUUCAUGCUUGAUGCGAGACAUUAACUCCUCAAAGGUAGGCUUCGCAAAAAACACUAAUUGUCUAACUGUCAUUCCCUCAAAUUGGCUUCCAUGUGUACUUUCAUCUACCACACAACCACCAUAAUGAAGCCGGACCAAUCUAUCCAUCUACAAUUUUUAACCCAUGCAUAAACAUUAAUUACUUGAAAAUAAUAUGUAAUUACCAUUGCAAUACCAAUACUUCAAAAGCUAACAACAUGUCUAAUUUUUCCAAUAAAUAAGUACAUUACUCAAAUACUACACAUUAUUGAUAAAAAAAAACUCUACUCCUACAAAUUACCUACCCUUCACCACACAUCAACCCCUUUCAAACCCUCUCAAUCACCACAAAUCCAUCCCACAUCCUAGGCCAUCACCACACAUCCAUCUCCCAUCAAACCCUAGCGCAUCACCAAACAUCCAUCCCAAAUAUAUUUUGUCAAAUGUAUCAAUAACAACCAAAUGGAUAAAGAUAUGCCACCUCCACACUUCAUCCCCACCCAUAUUAUCCAUCUAAUAAUCCAUCCUUAGCCAACUAUUAUCAAACCACGUCUACAACCAAAACAAUGCAAAAUAUCCAAUAAAACUUUGGGGAACUUAGGGUUUAUAGAAGGGUUUACCUUCUCUUCCGAUCCCAAACUCAAUGCCGCACAAAUCACCUUCGAUUAGAGAGGUUUUUGGGGGAGAUUGGGCGAGGAGAACGCGGUGGCGACCGAACCCUAGGCGGGCGGCUGGGGAAAAAACGGAGGAAGAACUGGCUGGGGCGGCCUCGGCCGGGCUCUAAGUAGCCAAGGUCAGCGCCAACUUACUUGGCGCUGAGGUUGGGCACCUCAGCGCCGAAGCGGUUGGCGCUGAGGUAGCUGCCACGUCAGCUAGGGGAUCGGCCCGGCCGCCACGGUGGCACAAUGUCAGCGCCAGUCCCGUUGGCGCUGACACGGCCAACCUCAGCGCCAAUGCGCUUGGCGCUGAGCCGACGGCCUAGUUUUGGUUGAAGUUUUUGGCAGGGGUUAGUUUCGAAAUAAGUUUUUGAAAAGGGUCAAUUUGUCAAAAAAAACGGCUCAAUUUGCACCCAAAAAAAUUGUUAAUGCAAGACGAUAAAUUAAUAGAUACUUCCACCAUUUUAUAAUGUAAGACUUUCUAGUAUUUCUCGUAUUCAUUAGCAUCUAUAUGAAUGGGGAAAAUACUAGAAAGUCUUACAUUAUGAAACGGAGGUAGUAGCAACAAGACAACAAAUUUAAGUAGCAGAGAGUGGCUACAUCCAUUUUUAACUUGAUAUAUCUGAAUCACCGGUAGCAAGAUAUAAGGUGCAAGAUUACAUCAUAAUGAUGAGCAGAACUAGUAUAAUAUAUAACUAGUAUAAUGAUGAGCAGAAACUUGCAAAUUACAAAGCCACAGCAAGCAGAUUGUUAAAUAAAUUAAGCUUCCUCCUUAAGCUUGGUCCUCCAGUUCCUCCUGUUCCUCCUCGACCAUCCUCUUCCUCAUCUCCUCCGGUGUCCUCCAGUUUAUCCAGCCCCUCAUAUCGAUGAGCUCGUCGUCGUCGUGGUGGUCAUGGUCAUCGGAGGUGGUGAUGGGGUCCAUCUGGAGCUCGACGGGGCCGUUGGUGAGGCGGUGUUGCUUGAGGAUGUUGGCGGAGAAUUCUACAUCCUUCUCGACAGGAGCGAGGUGCCUGGGGUCGACGAAGGGGCAGUUCAUGGACUUGAGGUGAAGGAUCGGGCAUAGCAACGCGCCCGUCAUGUAGGCGACGAGCUCGCCCACCAGAUAGUGGUCGAUGAGAUCCAGCUCCAUCGUCACCGUCGUCUCCGUCCCAGGCGGAUGGGUGGCAGCCUCCUCGUACUUGGAUCCGGCGGCGUCCGCCGCCACCACGACCUCGUCGUCGACGUCGUGCAGCUUCGCCUUCUUCUUCUUCGAUCCCUUCCCCUUCCUCUUCCAACCCUUGUCAGGCAUCGGCUUGGCGCGCUUCUUCUUCUUCCAGACGGAAGACCUCGCCAUCGCCUGCCCCUCGAUCUCUAACGGCAUCGCGCCCGCGCCGUCGCCCUGAACCCUCCCUCUCAAAAAUGUCGAAACCCUAACUCAUGUGUUGCGCCGGCGGCCGGUGCGAGGAAGAGGAGAAGAUAUGUGUUCGCUGUCCCUACUUCCCAAACUGAACCCUCCGCACAGGGAAAAAGUAGCGCUCCAUUAGUAUAUAAUUAAUUAAGUAUUAACUAUUUUUUUUAAAAAAAUGGAUUAAUUUAAUUUUUUUAAGCAACUUUCAUAUAGAAAUUAUUUGCAAAAAAUAAUUUGAAAAAUGUGCGCGCGGAAAACGAGGGGUAGAAAAAGAGGCACCCGAAAACACCCAUAAAUAUAUUGCUCCCUAAACCCUAGGCGCUAAAUGGGCUAGACCUAACAUCUGGCCCAACUAAUUACUCAGGCCUAAUAUCUUAUAUCUUACGCUCAGAAGUUGAACAUUACUCCUAGUCGAGGUUCAACUUUGAAGAAGCACAAUGGCCGGGGACUUUUUAGGCCAUUCACAGUGCACACACGUGGCGUGUGGCAAUGUUUGUCUACCUAGAUAAAGUGUAUGCAUGGAGGAGAGAGGGGAGUGGGGACCGCUCCUUCUCCAGGUUCGUGUGACCAACAUUGGCUCCGAGGACCUCGUCAGAGAAAUCAACUUUUUGCCAGGAAAAUCGCAUCCGCCCAUUUGGAGAAAACCGGAGAGAGAGAGGGGGGAUAGGGAGCCACAUCUGCGCCGGAGAAGCUCGCCGGAGACGGGAUAGGAGGGGCGUCCGAGCCAUAUCCACCCUGAGGUCGCCAGAGAAGCCGCAUCCGCGCCGGAGAGGGCCCGAGGCUAGAUCUAGCGAGCCCCGGGCUGGGCCUCCGCUCCGGCCGGCGCUGUCGCCGGUUCAGUCGCCUCUCCGCCCGGGCGCCGUCGCCUCUCCGCCAGGCUUCCGCCGCCUCUCUUGCGUAGUCUCCGCGGUCCACGCCACAGAGCUUGUCCGCUCGCCGGCCACGGGAGGGGCGCUGGUCGGGGGAGGAGAUGAGGGGCGCCGGCCGGAGCCCGGAAGAAGCGGGAAGCUGGGGAAGAAGCUAGCGGCGGCGCGUAGAUUGGAGAUGGAGCGAUGCCGAUGCGGCCUAUCCAAAGCUACACGCGCAUUGUGGAGAUGAAAGCCUCGUUUUGCUUUUUGCCUACGUGGAGGCUUUGGCUCCUUGUUGAGGGCGGACGAAUUGCUAAUGCCCUUAGAAUCUAGCCUAUGUGACUUCAAUGAAGCCUCGUCCUCUCUUUUACUCUGCUACUGCUUGUCCUGCUACUUUCUUUGCUUGAUUGCAGCAAUGUGCAGAUGGGAGGAAGAUGAGGUCGUCGCGGCACACCAGGCAGAGCUUCACGUGCGAGACGAGCUGCUUGGACGUGACGACACGGGCAGACGACAGCGAGGUGACGAGGUCGAUGAGGCGGGCGGCGUGCGAGCGCGACACGAAGAAGUCGAGCCCGCCGUGGCCGCGCGCCGCGCCGACGUGGAGGGCGUCGCCGACAGCGCCGUGGGUGACGACCUGCUGCUCGACUUGUGCCCGCGCUCUCGCCGGGAUGGGGUUGGAGAAGGCACCGGCCGCCGGUGCCGGGAAGGAAGUGGAAGAAGAAAGGGGAGAGAAAGAGAGGGAAGGGAGAGAGGGAGGAGAAAGAAGGAAGGUGAAAGAGAGGACUGACAUGUGGGCCUCACAUGUCAAUGGGUCCACAUUUCUUUUUGUGUGAAUGAGUAAUGGGUCACGCACAUUUUUUUAUCGGAAUCGCUAGUGCUCUCGCACAUUUUUUUAUCGGAAUCGCUAGUGCUCUGUUGACAAAAAAAAAAAUAGGGUGCUAAAUCUUUCACUUUUUUGACCAUUCAUCUCUGUUUACAAUUAGUGCUGCAUUUGGAUUGAGCAAAGUCAUACACGGCUGUGGACUUUGAGAUGGACCGAGCUUUUGUUGUUGCAUUAUGUGGACUUUGUUGUUGCGUUCUGUGGGUCUCACAUAUUUACCGUUCAAUUUCGAAACACACGCCUGCUUUUUUUCCUUGCAUUUGAGCAGUGUUUUCUACUGCUACUUUGCUUAUGAUCCACGCUUACUAAUUACAUCGUGCUUACAUUAUAAUUACAUAUGUAAUUUUGUGACUUACAUCGUAAAUAUACUAAAAUUACAUAUGUAAUUUUAUGACUUACAUCAUAAAUACACUAAAAUUACAUAUGUAAUUACAUAUGUAAUUUUAGGAACUUACAAUGUAAAUACAUGCCAACUUUUUUUUUAAUAGUUACUCCCUAAAUUUAAAUAGAUGAGAUUAAAUUUAUCCUAUGGCUUGAAAAAUUUGCAUGAUAGGGGGCUAGAAAAUCUAUCGCAUGAUGUAUAGGCAGUCCCUUUUUUUAUUUCUAAUGCCACGUUAACGCCACGUGGAAAGAAGACCGAGUCAAUACUGUCACGUAGGCGUCACGUCAGCGAAACCACUCUUCAAAAUCGUCCAGGGAGUCAAAUUGCACCGGUUUUAAGAGUUUGGGAGUCGAGAUAUCCGGUUUUAUGGUUUUUAUGGUUUAGGGAUACGAAUUAGAUUUCGAUCACUUUUAAGGGUCAUGAAGUGAACUUAUUCCUUGCAGGGGCUGUAUCAAGCAGCUGAACAGGCCCAUAUCUCAUCCGUUCCCAGAUACUGGUCCUUCAACCGCGAUCCACGGCGAGACCAAACAAAACCGGCCCAUCCAUCCACGCACAACUCACUCGAACCAUCUCGAUCGACCCCAACCGAAACAGCGACCAACAUACACCCAAAAAAAAAAAUCAGCGCACAUAGAGGAGAUAAAAACGACGAGAAACAAUAAUAAUAAAAAAUAAAUAUCCCGUUGAGGGGAAAUCCAGCCCGCGAAACCCCAUUGGCCGGGCCAUCGCCAGCUCGGCGCCACGUGGCACUCCUCCCCCUAUCGCCUUAUCGCCACCUGGUAUAAAACGCCCGCCUAAUCUCCUUCGCUCUCUUCUUCUUCUAGCUUAGAACCCCAACCCCCCAAAGCCUCACUCACUUCGCUGCAGAGGAAAAAAAAGAGAGAAAAAUCUCCGAUGGCUCUCCAGGCGGCCACCACCACCUCCUUCCUCCCCUCCGCGCUCUCCGCCCGCAAGGAGGUGAGAGCUCUAAGCUCGGGGAUUCAGCCAUGGAGGCAUUUCAGAGUUCAGACUAGUUCAGAGUUUUGCUUCGUGUUCAUGGCGGCGAUUGGUUAAAUGGUUUUUUUUUUGUUUUUGGGUUGGUUUUUGGGGGUGUAGGGAGCGGUGAAGGACUCGGCGUUCUUGGGCGUUCGUCUCGGCGACGGGCUCAAGCUGGAGACCAGUGCUCUCGGCCUUCGCACCAAGGUAGUAACUGUAAUAAUGUUGUUACAGCACUCUGCUUGCUCUGUGCUGAUGCUCUGUUUGUUAGUGCUAAUAUUAGUACUUACUACUAACUGGCGAGUAGUACAAGUAAUUGGCUAGUUCGUUCAGUGAAUUGCCAGGUUUUCGUUUCUAGACUUCACGAUUAUUAGUUUCAGACUUUCAGUUAUGUUGGAGGAGCUUACCACUGUGGCUCUGUGGUUUGCUCUGUCAGAUUAGGAGCACCCGUGGCGUUGCAAAUGGUUAUGCCUGUGUUUGGCAUUAAUCAACUGGCUAAUGAGAUUAUAUCAUGAUGAUUCUCUCAUCGUUUUAGCUAUGACAAUGUCAGGGGCUUGUUUUGUUUUCACAGGUGUGCAGCUUUGCUAAUUGCUAGUAACAUCAGUGUGUGCCGCCAUUGUUAGUGCAACCAAGUAGCCUUUGUGUCUGGUUAAUUUGCAACUUCAGGUUGACAUUUGGACUUGCUGAGUGAGUGUAUCUAGCAUUGCAAACUGAUGUGAAUUUUGACGAACUUUUAGUGCAAGAUUGCAAGGUUUGCUUGAUGUACUUAGAAAUGGUAGUUGCUCACAACUCUGACAGCGCCACAAAAAUUGUAUUAUACUUGAUUAGCCUGGCAUUUUGACUUCCUAUUGAUCUGGAUUUUAUGUCAGUGUUAGUUUGAGUAUAUAUAGCAUUGCAAAGUGAUGCGAAUUUGGGUAACUUUUAGUGCAAGAUUGCAAGGUUUACUUGCUGUACUUAGAAAUAGUUGCUCAAAACUCUGACAUCGCCACACCCCCAAAAAAUUGUACUACUACUUAAUUAGCUUUGGCAUUUCAAGUUCAUAUUGAUGUGGAUCGAUUUCAUAAACUUGAUUUUACUGCAAGACUGUCAAGUUUGCUCCCUGUAAUUUCAUAAACUUGGUUCCGCAUGUAAACUAGACGAAUUUAUUAAGCCUAAUUAAUCCAUCAUUAGUAAAUAUUUAUUGUAGCAUCACAUUAUUAAAUCAUAGCAUAAUUAGAUUCAAAAGAUUUGUCUCACAAUUUACAUAUAAACUGUGCAAUUAUUUUUUUCCCCACAUUUAAUAUUCUUGCAUGUUCAAACAUUUGAUGUGAUGUUUUUGGCCAAAAAAUUUUUUAUAUAAAAACAAAGGCCUAGUUUGUUCAUAUAUCUUGACAUUGUUGCCACGAAAACUGAAACUCUCCUGCAGAGGGUGAGCACGUCGUCGGUGGCCAUCCGCGCGCAGGCGUCGGCGGCGGUGUCGUCCCCGACGGUGACGCCGGCGUCGCCGUCGGGCAAGCAGACGCUGCGCAAGGGCACGGCGGUCAUCACCGGCGCGUCGUCCGGGCUUGGCCUCGCGACGGCGAAGGCGCUGGCGGAGACGGGCAGGUGGCACGUCGUCAUGGGGUGCCGCGACUUCCUCAAGGCGUCGCGCGCCGCCAAGGCCGCCGGCAUGGAGAAGGGCAGCUACACCAUCGUCCACCUCGACCUGGCGUCGCUCGACAGCGUCAGGCAGUUCGUCGCCAACGUCCGGCGGCUGGAGAUGCCCGUCGACGUGGUGGUGUGCAACGCCGCCGUGUACCAGCCCACCGCCAAGCAGCCGAGCUUCACCGCCGACGGCUUCGAGAUGAGCGUCGGCGUCAACCACCUCGGGCACUUCCUCCUCGCCCGCGAGCUCCUCGCCGACCUCACCUCCUCCGACUACCCCUCCAAGCGCCUCAUCAUCGUCGGCUCCAUCACCGGUAAUGACAACCUUUCUUCCUCACCAGAAUUAGGCUGUUGUGUUCUAAUGUCAAAGCUUCCAACUUCUACUAUUUUGUAGUUCUCCACGUACACAAUUACUACAAUUACUGAACUGCUAAAAAUUGCAUGUUUUAUAAAAAAAAUUAUAGGAAGUUGUUGUGAUUAAUCCAAUUUUUAAGUUUUUCUUUUUCAUCGGGAAGAUUGAAAGAGACCUUCUGAAUGUAUUAAGAAUGAGAAAAAGUUACAAGAAAAACAUAAUAGGAAGUUGUCGAGGAUGAUGCGCACCAGCGUGUGCGUUCAAGAACCACGAGCUAACCACACAAGCACAAACCUCUAAAAGUGAAAACUUCUUCUUAGAUAAUACUUAAUUAAUGGAUUAUUUUUCUGUGCAUGGAGGGCACAACCUUAUACUGCUUUCUAAAAUGGGUAUGAUAAUUAUUUGAUAGUAUAAACGAAUGAAUCAAGUAUUACAAAGUCGAUAAGCUGAUUUUUUUUUAAAAAAAAACUUUAUAAGUGCAGUUGUAACUUUUUUUUAAAAAAAAUAUCAUAUCAUUUGAAAGCAUAUCGGCAACAUUCUAUUGUAACAUGUUACUAUAAGAACAUCGUUCUAAUUUCGAUACGAUGAAUGCAGGGAACACGAACACGCUGGCGGGGAACGUGCCGCCGAAGGCGAACCUGGGGGACCUCCGGGGGCUCGCCUCGGGCCUCGACGGCGUGUCGAGCUCCGCCAUGAUCGACGGCGGCGAGUUCGACGGCGCCAAGGCCUACAAGGACAGCAAGGUGUGCAACAUGCUGACGAUGCAGGAGUUCCACCGCCGGUACCACGGCGAGACCGGGGUGACGUUCGCGUCGCUCUACCCCGGGUGCAUCGCCACCACGGGCCUCUUCCGGGAGCACGUCCCGCUGUUCCGCCUCCUCUUCCCGCCCUUCCAGAAGUACAUCACCAAGGGCUACGUCUCCGAGGAGGAGGCCGGCAAGCGGCUGGCCCAGGUCGUCAGUGACCCCAGCCUCACCAAGUCCGGGGUGUACUGGAGCUGGAACAACAACUCGGCCUCGUUCGAGAACCAGCUCUCCGAGGAGGCCUCCGAUCCGGAGAAGGCCAAGAAGGUCUGGGAGCUCAGCGAGAAGCUCGUCGGCUUGGCCGAUCACGAUCAGUGAGUGAGAGUGAUGUGCUAUUGAUUUUCGUCUAGGAUUUUGCUGUGCUCUUCUUCUUCUUCUCCUCUCUACCAAGAAAGAUCGAUGGAGGAGAAUUUGUAGGACGCGUUUCUCACGAAUUACUUAGCUGUUAAUGAUCAGCUUGAUGUGUACGAUAUGAUGGUGCAGAGUGAAAGUUGUGUUGUUCACUGGUGGAUCAUGGGAUGGGAAUAUGGGAUUGUUGUAAGAUGUAACUCAAGUGUUUUCUUUUUUGGGAUUACUUUUGGUAAUAAGAGCUUGGGUGAUCGAAAACUACAGAUGGUUUUUCUUUUAAGUUGUAUGAUCUCUGUAGAGUUUUUGAGUAAUUUGUAGUUUUGUACCCUAUCAAAGAUCAUCUCUAGCUGCCUCUGAGCUCUCCAACUCUAUAUGUCCAUCUCUAGUAUAUAUGUCCCAUAUUUCUGACUGAAAAUUUUCAAGUCGGUUGGUUCCCUCCGCCUGGAUAUUCUUUCAGCUAAUUAGAUUUUUUUUAAAUGAUAAAUUUGCUAAAAGCUUGUUCAAAUUCAGCUAAGAUCUAUUCAAACUUCAAUUUCUCUAUCGAAAUUCCCGGAAAUUUCAAUUCAAUCAUUCCCCAAUACAUGCCGAUUUCCGUAAUAUUGAACCAUGACAUGUAAACAACGAAGGAAUCAAGGGCAUAUUUAGUUUCAUCUCACAUCGAAUAUACGGACACACAUUUGAAGUAUUAAAUGCACUCUAAUAACAAAACAAAUUACAGAUUCCGCCAGAAAACUACGAGACGAAUCUAUUAAGCCUAAUUAAUACAUCAUUAGCAAAUGUUUACUAUAGCACCACAUUGUCAACUCAUGACGCAAUUAGGCUUAAAAGAUUCGUCUCGCAGUUUCCUGACGAACCGUGUAAUUAUUAUUUUUUCUACGUUUAAUACUUUAUGUAUGUGCCCAAAUAUUCAAUGUGACAACGUGAAAAUUUUUAUUUGGAACUAAAUAGGCCCUAAUAUUCUUUCAAGAUAUUAGAAUAGUUAUCCCUCUCCACCUCCCUGCACAAACAGUGAACUUCUUUCUCCUUGGGCACAGGAGUAGUAGCAGCUCCCGGAAACAGAAAGCAAUCAAGCAAAGUCCUGAACCUGAAGCAUCCUGAAACCAGCAGACGGCAGAAACCAGUGGGCGCAGGCGAUAGCAGUUUUUCGUGGUCCGGCGUACAGCCAAAAUACUGGCCAUCGGGUGCCUACAUAGAAUGAGUCCACUGGACGCAGCUACCACCGUGUGUGCUACACUGACCGCCGCUGCUCGUCGACCAGUUGUACGGGGCUGACUUAUUCUGAAUUUCUAAUGGUUUAUUUGGGGGUUUAGAACACUGAGGGGUGCUUUAGAUCCAAAGAUGUGAAGUUUGGGCGUGUCACAUCGGGUAUUAUAUAUAGUGUCGCACAGGGUGUUUGGGCACUAAUAAAAAUACUAAUUAUUGAUCCUAUACGAUAAGCUAUAUAAUACUCGAUGUGACACGCCAAAACUUUACAUCCCUGAAUCUAAACACCCUUUUAAAUAGAGUAUUUGGUGUGAAAUAUAAUUUUGAUUUGGGAAGAAGGUGAGUGAGAUUUGGAAAAAAAAAGCAUUUCAAUUAAAAAAUUUGCCAGCAGUAAAUAAAGAAACUACUCGGUUUUGUAAUUAAAGUGAGGUUUUGGCACUUCUUUGCCCUAAACUGGCCUCCAUUUUAUAAAGUGAGAACCGUGCAGCAAAAGCCUGAAAAGGCAAAAAGAAAGAAAUUGUAGAGGUUUUUCAGGAGGAUACAACUAGGUGGGUCUCUAACUCUCUAUGCAGCUGUGGUCUGUGGAGCAAAACGAUGAAAUGGAAGACGGGACGUUGACGAGGGUGAAGAAAACGAGCGUUUGACCAGCGUCAACCAUGGCGUGAACAGUAGCACCACUAACCUGACCGAGAGGUUGAAGAAGAUGCAAUCAACGGGGUACUAUAGUUCCCACGAAUUUCCCAGCAACAACGGGUUGGUUCUCACUACUCACGAAUUCCCUGUGGCUCAACAACUACUAGUACAUCCUUUUGUCCAUUAUGAUAAAAGUUCUAUCUUAAUUUUUAUUUACACGUUUUUCAAACUGUUUUUUAAUUUUCUAUAUAAAAAAUACUUAAAAUAUCAAAUAAAAUCUAUUUUUGGAGUUUUAAAAAACUCAAUUAAUCAUAUAUAUUAUUGACUUAUUUUAUUUUACGUGGACUAAAAUAUCUUCAUCUUCAUUUAGGUUAUGUUCUUUUCUCAUCAAGAUACAUGAUACAUUAGCAUGUUUUUCAAACUGUUUUUUAAUUUUGUAUAUAAACUUACUCUAAAAUAUCAAAUAAAAUUUACUUUUAGGGUUUAUAAAAGUAAAACUCAAUUAAUCAUUACUAACUUGUUUCAUUUUACGUGGACUAAAAUAUCUUCAUCUUCAUCUAAGGUGGUGUUUGGAUCCAAGGACUAAAUUUUAAUCCCUAUCACAUCGGAUAUUUGACACUAAUUAGAAGUAUUAAACAUAGAUUAAUGAUGAAACCCAUUCCAUAACCCUGGACUAAUUCGCGAGACGAAUAUAUUGAGCAUAAUUAAUCCAUGAUUAGCCUAUGUGAUGCUGUAGUAAACAUGUACUAAUUACGGAUUAAUUAAGCUUAAAAAAUUUAUCUUACGAAUUAGCUCUCAUUUAUACAAUUAAUUUUAUUGUUAGUUUACGUUUAAUACUUUUAAUUAGUAUACAUCCGACGUAACACUGAUCGAUACAAACACCAACUAAAUCGAAAAUCACCGAAUGGCUCGUCAUCCUCCCACAUGAGAUGCCAAGAUGGAACACCAACAAUCCAACGGCUAGGAAGCGCCCCAUCCCACCCACCGCCUAACCGCCUUCCUAUGCAAGUGGGUCCCACCCCUUCCUUCCUUUUUUUUUUCUUUUUACAAAUCCCCUUCCCUUUCUUGGCUAGCUAGCUAGCUUGGCCCAACGCCACGAGCCGAGCCGAGCACAUCCGGAGCCAAGCCGAGCUCAGCGCCUCAGCUCCCCCUCCUCCUCGUCCCAUUCCCGGUUUCCUCCUCCGAUUUCCCCCAAAUCCGCACGCCUCUCCCCUCCGCCUCCAUUUUUCCCGAUUCCCAAUUCCCAAAUCCGGAUCAGCCGCAGCCGCAGCAGCAAAAAAUUUCGAAAUCCAAAUCCAAACCCAUCCCCCCCACGACGACGUCACCCACAUCCCCACCCCCGCGAGACGAGACGAGACGACUCCCAAAUCUCUCUCUCCUCUCUCCUAUGCGCGCCGCCGCCGCCGCCGCAGCAGCAGCAGCUAGGAGGCGGAGCAGCAGCAGCAGCAGCAGCUGAGAUGAUCGUGCGCACCUACGGCCGCAGAUCCCGCUCCUUCUCCGACGGGGGAGGAGGGGAGCGCGGCGGCGGCGGUGGGUUCUCGUCGUCGCAAGACGCGUUCGAAUUCGACGGGGAGGAGGAGGACGACCUCGUCCUGCUGGGGUCGUCGUCGCAGUCGUCGCACCCGCCCGCGCCGUCGCAGGAGUCGUCGUCGAUGUGGGACUUCGACGAGGACCCGCCGCCGCCGCCCCGGCGGCGGCGGGGGAGGGGUGGGGGUGGGGACUACGCGGAGCCCGCCACGGCGGCGGCGGCGGCGGCGGCGGCCACCUCGCUCAUGGAGGCGGAGGAGUACGGCGAGAUGAUGGAGAGCGUGGACGAGGCGAACUUCGCGCUCGACGGGCUGCGCGCCACCGCGCCGAGGCGGGUGCGCCGGGCCAGCUUCCUCGCGCUGCUCGGGAUCUGCGCCUCCGCGCCGCGCCGCCGCGUCCUCCGGGCCCAGGGGUCGGUACACCAAAGAACCCUCCUUUUUUUUUUCUUACUUGUCUGCGCUGUAAGUAAAGAAUAACAAUUCGCGUUCUUGCUCUUGCUUCGCGGGCAAUCUUGGUGAGGAAUCUUGUUAGGGUUAUGAAAUUGGGCAGCCAGUUCUUGUUUCUUCUGCGUAAUCUUGGCGGAAACAGUGGGAUUUUGUACGAUUAUGGCUCCGUAAUCGGCAUUUCUGUGGGAAAUGAACCACCUUUAGGGCAUUUGACCUUCGAACAGCAUGCUUGGUGUUGCAAUCCGUAGCUAUUGCCUUCAUCUUAGGCACAAGAACUUGUUCUGAAUUAUGAUUUACCAACUUGUGUUUGUUUUCUUGUUCUGAGUUUUCUUGCUUGGUUAGGGUUAGGGUUAUCACCGUGGUGGUGCAGAAUUAGAUGUUCGCUACUUGUCUUAACCUCUGCCUUGCCCAAUUUGGUACCGAGUGUUACAGCUGGGUUUAGGAAGUGUGAUCUUUGAGCAUUUCUAGCAUGUUGGUCUCUUUAUUUUGCUAAUCUCACAUGGUUGUAGAGGAAGGAAGCAUAGUGACUGAUGAUGAAUGCCUAGAUACUAGAAAUACAUCUUUAUUAACUGAAUUAGGAUUGCUUGGGUAUCUAUGUAGAUAUGACUGUAGAAUGUUACUGCUGGAAAUGCUAUCCAAUAUCCAUUGAUCUCUAGCCUAAUAUAUCUCUCGAGGCCAAGAGAUCAGUCAAUUUUGAACUUUCAGGAGAGUUUCUAUUUGGUACUUAAUCUCUUUUAUUUGUUACUUUUGGUGCCUGGCUCUCUUUUCAUGAUUGCUAAGUAGACAGGUAAAGUUCUACCUAAAAUUAUUCUUAAAAGUUCAAAAUCGCUUUAGAUUAAGGAGUGCCAGCCAGAGCCUUAGGCAGAGUCUUAUAAACCAAAAGCACAAUGCUACAAUGUUCACAAAACUUUUGUGGAAUUUCCACUUGAGCUGUAUAAACAUCGCAAUCUACUGUGAAUAAAAGAAGCACUUGAUGGAAGUUCAUGUUAGCAAAUGACAUGUUUUCUGUGAGGAGGUUGAUUGCUUGAACUGUUAUGGACUCUUGCAACUUUUUAUUUUACUUCGUACCCAUUUAUGCUAAUGUGCACAAAUAAAAUUGCUGAGAGUAAAAAUGUACAACUUGUUACGCACCAGCACACUUCCUAUUUGUAUCCAUUUUCCUGUUGAAUUUCAAAUGUAUUCAAUUGCUGAAAUUGUUCCAUUCAACAAACACAUAUUCCGUUAAUGAAAUUAUUAUACAUUGCGUUUUGUUUUCUUACUCACAAGUGUCCUCUUUUCUUAUAUCCUAUAGAUUGGUGCAACAAAUUAUUGAUGCAAUUUUGGUUUUGAACAUUGAUGAUCCUCCCUGCACUAUUGGUGCAGCUGCUCUUCUAUUCGUUUUGGCAAGUGAUGUGAGUACCUCUCAAUCCCAUCCUUGUGCUUCUGUGCAUGCUUCAUUCUAUUUUUUACGCAUAUCGAUUGUUUUCUUUUAUAUAACAGCCCAUAAAAAUAAUCACAUCAUGGCAAAGUUAUUUAUUUCUCCAGUACAGUUAUAUAAGUAUUCACCACUUUUCCAUGAAUAUCUUGGCAUGUGAUUACAAAGAAGAUUAUUUAAGAAAGUCCAUGCUUUUAUUUCAUCAUUUUGUUUGAAGUUGAACUUUAAUUUAUGGUGUAAAUUUCAGUUAAUAUUGCUAGCAGCUCGUAUUCUUUAAUGGCAUAACUUCACUUGUGCUUAUUCUCCAAUAUCUCCCUUCUUGUUGUUCAGGUUCAAGAAAAUCAUUUGUUGGAUUCAGAAUCUUGUGUCCAUUUUCUUCUUAAAUUAUUAAAUCCUCCAGUGAAUCUUGUUGAUUCCAAAGCACCAUCGAUAGGUUCCAAACUUCUUGGAAUCAGUAAAGUUCAAAUGCUUAAUGGAUCAAAUAAGGAUUCUGACUGCAUUUCAGAGGAAAUCCUUUCAAAAGUUGAAGAGAUUCUCUUAAGCUGUCAAGAGAUCAAGUCGCUCGACAAAGAUGACAAGAAAACAACAAGGCCAGAACUGUGUCCAAAGUGGCUUGCUUUGUUGACAAUGGAAAAGGCAUGCUUGUCUGCUGUUUCAGUGGAGGGUAAGUUUUAAUCAAAUUUCUUGGUCAUGAUUUCCCUUUAUGACCAUUAUAAUUAUUUUUAUGAGCCAAAUAAGCAGUUGCCAUAAGUUACAUAGCACCUGUUUACAAUAUUCAUGGGUGGUUUGCUUAGCCCUUUGCUUCACCUGCCUUUGAUUGAUGACUUCCAUCCGUGUUGCACAACUGAAUUGGAGUAAUUGACUGCACUAGAAGCACCUAUGGCCAUUGUCAUACUAGGAAGGUUUUCCCUUAUCAAAUAUUUGAUUGUUACAGAGACUUCUGACACUGUGUCCAGAGUCGGAGGAAAUUUUAAAGAGACAUUAAGGGAGUUGGGCGGUCUUGAUAGUAUUUUUGACGUUAUGAUGGAUUGCCAUUCAACAUUGGAGGUGAGAUCUCGCUAACAUCGCAUAUUUUACACUUCCUUUGUUCAACUCUAAAGGAUGGUGCAAGUUUUGUUCCUUUUUGCCAUUUUAGCUUUAAUGUGCUUGAAGCCACAUGAAAGCAAUGCUUGUCCAGAUACAUAGCCAAAGGUUGUUAUAUUUUGGGACAUGGAAAAUGCUUGAGGUAGUAACUAUUUUCAUCAGGACAUGGAAAAUUGGCUGCAUCACAAAUUAUGUUGUUUCAUGUUGCAAAAUAGUUUUUUAAUACUUUUUUAUUCUGCAUGUGGUGUUAGUGUCUUACAGUGAUUCCUCUGAUGAUUAUAUCCCCCACGAUAAUAAUACUUGACAUAUCUACACCAAGUGGACAUUAUUCAUUUGGAUGUUACUUUUCCAGCUAUACUUGCUGUUCUUGCAUAAACUUUGGAGUAAAUUGCGUAUCCCUUUAAGAGAUAAACUGCUUGGUGCUCCUAUCUGUGUACUUUUUAUGCCCCCAACUAAUAAUGCAAUCAUAUUACGCUGAUAAACUGAAUAAAUAAAUUAACAAUAUACUUCUGGUGGAAACCUUGUGUAUCAGAAUCUCAUAAAGGAUACCUCAACUUCAGCUUUGGACCUAAAUGAAGGAACAUCUUUGCAAAGUGCCGCUCUCCUCUUGAAAUGUUUGAAAAUAUUGGAAAAUGCCACAUUUCUAAGCGAUGAUAACAAGGUAAUGUUCCUUAUAUAUUCUGUUUCAGUUUAGUACCCAUUUUCUUCUUCUGUACCAUCUUCUCCCCUCAUUUGUUCUGUGCAAAAUGUGCAAACAGUGUGACUUUGUAUUUCUGCUUAACAUUUUUCUUUUUUUCCUGAAAAGCAGUAUAAACUCUUACACUCAUUUUGCUUCUUGCAGACCCAUUUGCUUAAUAUGAGUAGAAAAUUGUACCCGAAACGCUCCUCGCUUUCUUUUGUUGGUGUCAUUAUCAGUAUUAUUGAGUUAUUAUCAGGUAUUUUUCUUAAUAAUACAAUAUGUCCGCUAACACAAUAAAAUGUUUUAAACAUCCAGUAUGUUAAAGUUGCAGUCUGACGCCUAUUUUGUUUUGCUGCAGCUCUUUCAAUACUGCAGAAUUCUUCUGUUGUUUCCAGCUCUACAUAUCCGAAAUCGUCUAAAGUCUCUCAACAGAGUUGCUCUGGUAAUAACAAACACCAAAUUUGUUUGAUCAACUCGUUGGCUUUUCUGUGCACUGUUUCAAUAUAGUUUGGUCGCCAUUCAAGUCUCACUACAGAUGUUGAACUUGACCUGACACGGUGGCACCAAUAUUUAUAAAACGCUACCUGAUAUUUUUAAUAUUUCAUGUUUCCUGACCCAGAUUAUCUUGUUGGUUCCUCAUAUAAGUUUAAUUAGUGUCGUUCUUGAAACUUUGUUAUGCAGCAGAUGUCAUGGGGGGAACUUCAUUUAAUGAUGGAAAGCGCAAGAACUCGAAGAAAAAAAACCUUUUGUCGAACCAGACACGCCAUAGUUGCUUAUCUUCAAAAUCAGAAGUUUCUCAUAUUACUAUAUCUUCUGGUAGUGAUGCUGGUCUGUCACAGAAGGCAUUCAAUUGUUCUCCAUCUAUAUCAAGCAAUGGGGCAUCAAGUGGUUCAUUAGGCGAGAGACAUAGCAAUGGUGGUGCUUUGAAGUUGAAUAUAAAAAAGGAUCGUGGCAAUGCAAAUCCAAUUAGAGGCUCAAGUGGGUGGAUUUCAAUAAGAGCGCACAGUUCUGAUGGGAACUCCAGAGAAAUGGCAAAAAGACGCCGUCUAUCUGAAAAUGUAAUCACCGACAGUGGUGGCGGUGAUGACCCUUUUGCUUUUGAUGAUGUUGAUCAGGAGCCUUCAAAUUGGGAACUGCUUGGUCCAAAAAAGAAAUCGCCUCAGAAACAUCAAGACAAAUCAGGAAAUGGAGUGCUAGUUGCAAGUCAUGAACCAGACCAACCUGAAGAUCUUAAUCAGUCGGGUACAACAUCUCUUUUUAGUGCUAAAGAUGAAUCCAGUCUUUUGGAAGACUGCCUCUUGGCAUCAGUUAAGGUAAUUAAAUAUGUUUCCUUCUGAUCUUUCUUGUUUCUUCUUCAAGAGAAUAUACAUUCUUGGGUCACAGUUUCUCGGUUUGUCUUUGUGACUUUGUUGAGUGACAUAUUUUGAAUUCACAAAAUUUCCUUUUCAAUAUGGCUCCUCAAUCUAUAGCAUCUGUCGUGUAUGUAUUCUGUACAAAAUAGUAUUGUAACAUCUCCUAGAAGAAAUUGGCACCAUCCAUAUCAUACAGUAGCAAUUUAUGAGACGUGAUCCUGAUUGGAGGUUUAGGACAGAGCCUCGAGCUAAAUUGCUAUUGUAUUGUAUCUACUAUCUUUUAGUACAUGAUAUGUGCUGGGCACUCUGUGUCUGAGUGUAGUGAGUGCUUAAGUUUACAUAGUUCAGCUAACAUGCAUAUGUAAGACAGUUUAUGAUUAAAUUUAAGUGUAGAAAGAAGGUACUUUCAAAAGAUUUUUAAGGACAAUAUAAUUGUUUCACCGGGACUCAUGCUUGUUCUGACUGUGAGCCUAAUGUUACCUUUACAUGCCCUUACAUUGUCUAUUUUUUAUCGUUUUAUGAGAUCUUCCAAACAACUUGAUCUGUCUUAAUGUUUUUUUGCUAGCUCCUUUCUUGGAUAUCUGGUAAAUGGUUAGGCCGAAGUAUGAACUUUGCCUUAUUGUUUCAAAGAAAAUGUAACAACUCCUGGAAAAGUCUAAUUUUGGUUGCCCUUUAUUUUGCUGACCGUAUUGGCACACAUCUAAUUCUGCUGUUCCUUUCUGGCAGGUUCUUAUGAACUUAGCAAAUGACAACCCAUCUGGUUGUGAAUUGAUUGCGUCAUGUGGUGGACUUAACACCAUGGCCUCCUUGAUCAUGAAGCAUUUCCCCUCAUUUUGUUUUGUCGUGGACAACAACUAUAACACGAGAGAUGUCAAUCUUGAUCAUGAGUUAUCAUCUUCUCAAAACAGCAAGGCACACCAGGUCAAAAUUAAGCAAUUGCGAGAUCAUGAACUUGAUUUUCUGGUUGCCAUAUUGGGCUUGCUUGUUAACCUUGUAGAGAAGGAUAGCCUUAAUAGGUAAGUCCCUCACAUGCUUCCUUCCAUUUGCUCAAUUCAUAUCAGUGUUACUGUUCUGGCAGUUCCUUGGGGUCAGGACUCAGAAACAUCCAAUUAAUGUUCAUGUUCUCUUAACGACUCAGAAAUACUUUAUAACCUCUCCACAGGGUACGGCUUUCAUCUGCCCGUGUUCCUGUUGAUCUAUCUCAGAAUCCACAGAGUGAAGAGACACAGAGAGAUGUCAUAGCACUCCUCUGUUCUGUAUUCUUAGCAAGUCAAGGUGCUAGUGAAGCUUCUGGAACUAUAUCACCGGUAAUUCAAAAUUCUUCAAGUUCCUUUUGUAUGUAGAUUAUAUCUUUGUAAAACUCGGCAUUUAUUACCUGCUCUUUGUUUCAAAAAGCAGUAUUUUAUUUUGCUCCUUAGCAUAGGUCAGCAGAACAGUUGAUCUUAUUCAGAAAACAAUAUUUUGCAUGUAACAUACUGUUAUCUAUGAGAUGAAAAUUAAUGCAUGUGUAAUAAUGUCAAUGAUAAAUAUUUGCUAUCUGAAUCCAGUCUACCAACUCUAGUUAGACCGAAAUUACUGAGGUUCUAUUUCAAAGAAUAAUUUAGUGCACCAUUUGUUCAACUACUAUGAAGUAAAAUGGUAUUCCCUUCUAUUGACAUCGGGUUAGAAGUGAAAGGCCAUCUUAAUGCAAUGUUCUCAAUGCCACAAACCCACAAAUUUCAUUAACACAUACAGAUUAUUAUUAACAUAGCUAUAAAUUGGAUUUCCAGAAGCUUGAGUUGAAUUUAUUUUGUUACAAUUGAAAGCACUGGGAACAUUAGCAUUUUUUUUUAGUUCUUGGUUAUUGCAAUUUAUAAUGUUAUACAGAACUGUGUACCUCACAAUGCAUUCAUUAUGACAUUCUAUGAACCAUUUGAUUGACUGUUGCUUGUAAACAACAGGAUGAUGAGGAGUCUUUGAUGCAAGGAGCACGGGAAGCUGAAAUGAUGAUCGUAGAGGCCUAUGCAGCCCUUCUUCUUGCGUUUCUUUCAACUGAAAGGUUUGCAAUCUGUAGUUGAUGGAUUGUUUUAUUAAUGUCUAACUACUUGCAUAAUGUCAGCACUAUGGCAUUUAACUUAUACUGUCUGUUAACUGCAACAGCAUGAAGGUUCGUGGAGCCAUUUCCAGCUGCCUUCCAAAUAACAGCUUAAAAAUCCUUGUGCCUGCGCUAGAGAAAUUUGUGGUAUGUCUCCAUAAUUCUUGAACUACUGUUUGUAUAAAAAAGUAUGGAUGAUCUUUGAAUUUACUCCAUUUUGGAAAUCAUUAAUUUUUCAUGUCUGAGGUGUGAGGUGUCACCAUAAUUGUACUUCCCAUCCAGGAAGCCUGUUUGCAAAAUUUCACAUAAAUAAGGAAAAUUUGAACUUGUUUCAAGUUUGAAUAGUAACAGGAUGUUUUAUUUCUCAACUGGAGAAAACAUUCCGGCUGGGACUUUUAACCCUUAAAAUGCUAGUGUGCUCCCACUGUAAGAUUGUCUGCUGUCACAUUUGAAACUUUGUGUAAUACCUUUAUCACUACCCUUGAGAUGAGAGACACAAUCUGGUACCGAGUUAAGUUAUUGAUAACUCCCAGUUGAAGUACAGCACCAAAUCAAGCCAACAUGUUGGCUACGUAAUUAAAUGUUCUCUUACAACAGAUAGAGGUAAAAAGGGAGUUUCUAAGUAUCUAACCUCUUACCCUCUUGGCUUAGCACUCCAGGCACAACUCUUUCUUAACUUGCGAUUUAGGACUUGACUCUGAGAAUAUUGUGUGCCCACACUGGUUGAGUGCAUGCCUAUCUAAGCUGCUAGUUUUUGUUCAUUUUGAUUAACUCUGAAGCUGCCUGAGCUUAUUCUGCUUCCAUCAUUUAUUAAUCCAUCAUGUUUCUCUUUCAGUCGUUCCAUCUGCAGCUCAAUAUGAUCACAGAGGAAACGCACUCAGCUGUCACAGAAGUUAUCGAGAAAUGCAAACUUUCAUAGAAAGAGUGAAGAGGGGCCUGUACAGAUCAACUAACAACCUCUUUGCAGCAAAAAAGCAUACACACAAGUGUUUGUCUUGGCCUGGGGCUCUGCAGAUGGACUGAUACUCUGACCUGCAGUGGGCUUGGGAGCUAACAAUGGUUUCAUUCUUUUUUUUUUUAUGUUUUCCCCUGUUGUUUUUGCUCAUGUUUUGUGUAAUUUUUUCUUCUCAUCUAGCGAUGUUAUUUUUCUUAGCAUGAUGGGAGUAGCCCUCCUUUUUUUUUUCUCUAAUUAAGUGUAAAGUAGCAACAGCAUAGGGAUGAAUGUUCAGUGUAGUGUGUGGUGUUUCAGUUAUUCAGAGACGUCCAUACAGUUUGUACCUUGUGACCACACGUCUUAAUCUGAUGAAGCUUAGAAUAAAUCACAUGUUAGCAAUGCAAUAUCAUCUGCGUCUUCUCUCACUUUGGUGGCCAUCAAAUUCUGUGUAGAAGUGUAUGGUUGGUGUGCUGUUGCAAAUGCCGUAUUCCGCUCUGUUUUGUGGAAGUUAAGAAGUCCCUAGUUGAAAUACCGAUUUUUCAUGAUCUCGGAGAUUGAUGCAACUCUGAUUGCAGCAUUUCUUUUUAUUAGAAUGUACACUCCAUGCUAUCAUGAUGUUUAUUGUUUAGUACUACAAGAUUUGGUUAACCAUUAUUUUAAUAUCAUAAUAAUUUUAUAAAAUCUUGGAGUAACAAGUUCAUAAUACAUGAUAGCAUAACUUUUUGAGGCUAGUCUAUGUAUAUUGUCUCCUUUGUUUUUAAACUAAGCACUCAAUAAAUUAUUGAUGGCUGUAAUUUUCUGAAGGUUUCACCGGUUUCGGCCCGUGCUUUAUAAAUAGCUUCGGCACAAAAGACAAAACGGUCCCUCCAACACAUAAAUGGUUGAGUUUACGUUUUCAUUAUCUUUGGUAAAAUCAAGUCCACCACGUAGACACUCAUAACAAAAGUUUGAAUAUCCUCAGAAAUUUUGACUUGAGUCUAUCUUACCUUUGAUAUCGGACAUCCAACCCUCCCUCCCUCCCUGAACUUUAUAUUAUUCAUAUUACACCUGAACUUUAUAUUAUUCAUAUUACACCCUGAAGUGGUUUUCAUUUAAUUGCAUACAUGCUGAAAUAGUUUGACAACGUGAGAUGCACAAAAUCUACACGUUCGUCUUAAGUUGCAAUUCAUUUUAUCCCUUUUCUUUUUCUCUCUUACAUAGGAAUAUCAAUAGUACUAAUUCACAUUACAAUAUAGUAUAAAUUGGUGAUCGAUUAUUGGCAAUAUACUAUAUUAAAUAUUCAAAACUAGUCAUUUAAGCUGCCAAAUAAGUAAACCACUAUCGAAAACCACAAUAUAAAUGGCAUUACAAAACUUAGGGGGUUGAAUAUCCAAUUUUAAAGUUCAUGAUGCUAGAGGAAUUUCUAUCAAAAGUUUAUGGGUACAUAUGGACUUUUUCCUUUUUAAAAGAAGCUAUUCUUAUCGUAAACGUUAAAUAUUUUUUGUACUUUAUUUUUUAUGAUUGAAAAAAAAACUUAGUUUUCAAAAUGAUUGGUCUGUAUACAAGCAUCAAUUAGACUUAAUAAAUUCAUCUAACAGUUUCCUGGCAGAAACUGUAAUUUGUUUUUGUUAUUAGACUACGUUUAUUAUUUCAAAUGUGUGUACGUAUAUCCGAUGUGACAACCAAACCCAAAAAUUUUCCCUAACUCCAUGAGGCCUUACAGAUAUAUUUGAUGGGUGUAAAGUUUUUUAAGUUCUUUGGGUGCAAAGUUUUUAAAGUAUACGGACACACAUUUGAAGUAUUAAAUAUAGACAAAUAACAAAACAUAUUACAUAUUCUGCCUGUAAACAACGAGACAAAUUUAUUAAGCCUAAUUAAUCUGUCAUUAGCAAACGUUUACUGCAGCAUCACAUUGUCAAAUCAUAGCGUAAUUAGGCUCAAAAAUAUUCGUCUCGUAAUUUACAUGCAAACUGUGUAAUUGGUUUUUUUUUUCGUCAACAUUUAAUACUCCAUGCAUGUCCAAAUAUUUGAUGCGAUCUUUUUGGCCAAAUUUUGUUGGAAUCUAAACAAGGAUCAAAUUUGCUGAAUUUUUCCAGACGUCACGGCUUGUUCAUCCAUCGUUCGCAUCGCGAUUCGCCACCGACGCCUUGGUUUCCAACGAAUUUUAUCAUCCGCUUAAAUACAUCCAAAGCUCUCCAUCGCCAUCGGCGGCCAACGGCGACCGCUCCGCUCUACCCAAUCCACCCAUCCACUCGCCGCCGCCCCCUGAUCCAAAGCCUCCGCCGCGCCGCCGUCGAGAGGAGGAGGAGGAGGAGGAGGAGGAGGAGGAGGCGUGAGCCCCUAUGGGGACCCUCCUCCGGCCGCGUCCGCUCGCCCACGCCGCCGGCGCCGGCGACGCCACGCCGUCGACCGCGCACGGUAGCCACGCGCCUCUCGAGAGGCCCCCCCCCCGCCGCUCGCUGAUCUCUCUUCUCAUCCUGUUUGGGUUUGGGUUUGUGAUUUGGGUGUUUUUUUUUUUCCGCAGCGGUGGUGGUGAGCGGUGGCCGCGGCCGUGGCGUGGAGUGCCAGCCGCAUCGGGUGCGCCGCCGCCCGGGUCCGCAGGUUGCGGUGGCGACGGCGAGCUGGAGGAGGCGGAGGGAGACCGUGGUGAGAUCGGAUUUCGCCGCUGGUGGUGCCGCUACCAUGGGGGAUUCGCCGCAGGCGCUCUCAGGUUUGCAGCCUCCUCCACUCUCUUCUCGCAAAAUGUGUUGCUAUGUUCCUCUCGCUGGGCUGGCCUCAUAGCCAUUAAUGUAGUUUGCUGGAACAUUACAUUCGGAACGUUGUUGGCAAUUGCUUGACAAAAUGUGGAAUUGUGGAGGGGAGAAAAAUCGUUUGAACCUGCAGUGACAAAAUUGCCAUCUAUAAUUUUAAAACUGAAGGUGUGGAAAUCAAACAUAAUCAUUGCCAGCACAUCAUUCUUGUUAACCACCUUGACAUAUUGUUGGCUUAUAACAGUUAGCUCCACACCAACUUGGAAGGUGUCAAUGGAAUGUAAGUAUAAAUUGAGGAUAACUGGCAGUUGUUAAGACUUUCUACAGAACUUGUAGCAGCUAAAACUAGCUAUUGUGCAUUUAUGUUUCAUGGAAUUUGAGCGGCAAUGGAUAUUUCUUACUAAGACGUAUAAUGCAAAACAAAAAAAAAAAAAACUAUGUCUAUGCAGUUUACAUGUAAUGUGCGGAUGCAAAUAAAAUCAUGUUCAUGGACAAACUAAUGGGAUUCAUACCAAAUUCCAGAAUUGCAUUUCUUAUGUGGUUACUUUUGUUUGUUGAUUUGGUUACCAGACAUCGAUGUGGUUUCAAGGGUCAGAGGGGUUUGCUUCUACGCGGUGACUGCAGUUGCAGCAAUCUUUUUGUUUGUCGCCAUGGUUGUGGUUCAUCCACUUGUGCUCCUAUUUGACCGAUACCGGAGGAGAGCUCAGCACUACAUUGCAAAGAUUUGGGCAACUCUGACAAUUUCCAUGUUCUACAAGCUUGACGUCGAGGGAAUGGAGAACCUGCCACCGAAUAGUAGCCCUGCUGUCUAUGUUGCGAACCAUCAGAGUUUCUUGGAUAUCUAUACCCUUCUAACUCUAGGAAGGUGUUUCAAGUUUAUAAGCAAGACAAGUAUAUUUAUGUUCCCAAUUAUUGGAUGGGCAAUGUAUCUCUUAGGAGUAAUUCCUUUGCGGCGUAUGGACAGCAGGAGCCAGCUGGUAUGGCUGUAGUCUCAUCCCUGCUUUCUUAAGUAGACAUAUAUACAUUUACAGUAUUUGGUAAAUAAACAAGAUUUUAUGAAUCAUAUAUGAUUUUGGGGAAAACACAAAACUCUCUUUGUUGGCUGCCUUGAACAUAGUUCUGUUCACACAGUUAUAGCACCUUCUUUAAAAUGAAGAACUUUGUUGCAUACACAUAAGGCCAAACCACAUAAUGAAUUUUGUUUAUUUCUAUCUUUGAAUGUUAGCAUCGUUUUUGUUUAAUGCAUGAUCGCCUUCCUAUAUAUUUGUAGUAUGUCAACAUUGUAUUCCAUGCUGAGCAUAACAAAUGGUUUGUUAAAAUUCAGGACUGUCUUAAACGGUGUGUGGAUUUGGUGAAAAAAGGAGCAUCUGUAUUUUUCUUUCCAGAGGGGACUAGAAGCAAAGAUGGAAAGCUAGGUGCAUUUAAGGUUCAGUAACCAAACUUAGGUUACAUUACAUCUAAUGAGAUUUUUAUAUUCAGUAUAUAAUGUUAACCUUCUCAUGGUGUACUGACGUGGUUAUAAAUGUCCCCAGAGAGGUGCAUUCAGUGUGGCUACAAAGACCGGUGCUCCUGUGAUACCUAUUACUCUUCUCGGGACAGGGAAACUGAUGCCUUCUGGAAUGGAAGGCAUCCUUAAUUCAGGUUCAGUAAAGCUCAUUAUUCACCAUCCAAUUGAAGGGAAUGAUGCUGAGAAAUUAUGUUCUGAAGCAAGGAAGGUGAUAGCUGACACUCUUAUUCUAAACGGUUAUGGAGUGCACUAAAGAAAGAUGGUGUUUUUUUUUAUUAUAUGGAACCUAUUCAAAGGCACAGACAGGCUUUCAAGGCUAAGCUUGUUACAGGUACUGAUACUAGUUACUAAUUACUUUCGUAAUCAGUAUAAAUAAGCUUGUGUAGUGUAAUGGCAUUGUACAUUUCUGCACUUGGUAAAUUUACAGAAGAGGCAAGUAAUAUUUUAGAGGAUUGAGUUUAUUCACCCAGUCAUAUAGUUGAAGAGGCAAGUAACCUGUAAGAGAGGACUGAACAUUAACACCUCUUGUUCGAUUAAAAAUGACCAAAGAGCAUCAAACAUGUAUUCGAGGCUGUUACUUUAGAUAUGGCCCAUUAAUUUGUUUAGUUGUCUAUGUACAUCCUAGUUGGUGUAAAUGCCAGUUACCAUUUCUAUGAUCUAAAACAAUCAACUCUUUUAGUAUAUUUUCAAAAACGAAAAUUCAGUACACAUGUAUGAAUCUUAAUAUUCUUCUCUAGCUCGUUACAAAAGCAACAAAGGCACCGUGUCAGCUGGUUCACAUUAGCUAGUUUGUACUUAGCAUUAUCCACUAGCACCUUAUUUUCAUGCAUAUCAUGCUAAUUUGCUUGCCCACGUUGAGUGGGAAUUUUUUUCAUGUUUUAUAAUUUAUAUAUGUUUUAGACUUCUAGUCCACAAUUUAUGUACUUCAUGUUCCUGAGCCUCUAGUAUGGCUGAUAGCAGACUAGGUGCUGAGUGCUGUCCUUUUUUGCAGACUGAAGAGAGAAGAAAUACAAGACUGUCCAUUGUUAGUCAGAUUUGUAAAAAUAGACUCUGAUGUAGUUUACUUUUGCCCCUAUUUUAUUUUUAACAAUACAAAUAUAUAACAGAUCCUAAGAACUUAUCUUAAUUUAGGAGAAGUUGCUCGUUUCAUUAAAUUAAAUUGUGAAGUAAAAAUGUGUGCUCGAGUCUGUCAAUGCAAUCCUGUGUUCUUGUUUGAAGAUAUGGUGUAGGGCAGGCCAGGAUUGAACACUGAAUGGUAAGACUGCUUCUGCCUUCAGACGUUAUUGCUAAAUUUUUAGCUACUUGCAGUUAGUGCUGCCACGCCGAUUAAGCAGUAGAACAAAGUAGUUUUGUCGUGCACAAAUGAGUUAUAUUUCAUUGGAAAUCGAAGCGAAAACGAAUCAAAAGUUAGAAGAAAAGGGGAAACUUGGUAAUUACUCCAUAAAGAGAGUGCAUUUUAUUGGUAAGAUGGUAUCCGGAAGCUGUGAGCUCCGGGCUGUAUGUAUUCUGGCAAAUUUGAUAUGAGAUGCUCGAUUAUUGGCUUAAGUUAGCGAUAUCAAAUUUGGGGAAGCACCAAAGGAAUUAUUGUGAAGGAGUUAUGGGUGCGUGACGUUAUCUGCUAGGUUCAAAUCCUUGUGGCUAUGAAUAUUUAUCUGCUAGGUUCAAAUCCUAGUGACUAUGAAUAUUAAUGGGUAAGGUAAGGGAUUUAUUGUUAAUUUUAGUUUCUUUAAGAUUGUGCCAUCGGACGCCAUUCGGUAACUGUAAUAAUGCUUUGUAUUGGAUUCACUUGUGUUACAUGCACGCACUAAACAUGUGCUUUACCUUUUCAUCUGUUUUUGCGUUCUGGGCUAGAAACUCAAACGUUGAAUUUUCCAUGGUCUGCUCAACUUGACAAUUACUGCGUGUCAAGCGAUCUUAUACGCAUACUAUGCGCACAAGUGAUUGUAUACGGAUAUGAUGACAGUAUAACGUGUGAUAUUGAUUUUUUUAAUAAAAAAAUGAUGUUCCUUUCCUUGAUGAAGGAACAAAGACUUUUUUUAAAAGAAGGGUAUUACUAAAAACAAAAAUGACAAAAACAAAAUAUCAGUGCACAUGGCAAGUGUGCUCGGCAAUUUUUUCUCUGUACUUUAAACAAAAAUACUUCUAUAUGUUCUUUUUUAUAAGGGUGGCACAAAUCUUUUAAAUGAGCCAAAUAUCUACAUUGGAUUUAUUAAAAACUGUAUAAAUUAUAAUUUAUACUCUGAAAGGUUGUGUGCAUCUCUCUUGGAGAAAAUGUAUAAGUUGCAAACAAACAUUAAUCCACGUUAUGUAACUUUUUUUCGCCGGAAAGGCCGAAGGAGGCCUGACGGAGCGUGGGGCUCCUCACCGGGAGACCGCGCAGGCCCCCCUUUGCCGGUUCGGCCGGGGACUCAGGGUGAAAUUCUAAGCUCUCUGUAUGUGGAAGGUUCGCGACCGUCGAAAGAGCAUAAGACACGGGCGAUGUAUACAGGUUCGGGCCGCUGAGAAGCGUAAUACCCUACUCCUGUGUUUUGGGGGGAUCUGUGUAUGAAGGAGCUACAAAGUAUGAGCCAGCCUCUCCCUUGUUCUGGGUUCCGAAUCUGGAAAAGUCCAGUCCAGUCCCCCCCUCUAAGUGGGCAAGGUCCUCCUUUUAUAUCUUAAGGGGAUACCACAUGCACCAUCUCCCUCCUUUCUGUGGGGACUUACCCUACCUUUUCAUAAAUGGACGGAGAUUUGUAUAGUUGCCGUCCGAAUGACCUUCUGAUAGGACGGCCCAUACCUACCUCCACUUCCGCCGAAAGCAGGUGCGACGUGGGAUUAUGGCUGUCUGCUGACGACAUGACCAGUGUCAGACUGGUCACAAAUUGCUCAUUCCUGUCCACCACGCGUCAGUUUAGCAAUCUACAUGUUGGCCCUUCUUCACACAACAUCUUGCCUGUAAUGGUUAGGAUGAAGCCUGGCAUAUAUCUAACCAGGACUAACGUGCCAUCUCUAGGAGGUAACACGCUAGCUCCAGCUGGGGACGAGCGCCUAGAAGCCCUCGUCCUGACGGGAUGGGGCGAGGCGUGCGUCAGAUCGCCUGUCGCCACCUAACCCGCGAUCUGACCGGUCUGUGACUGGUCACAGACCGGAUAAACGAGUGCACUGCACUUCGUUACAUGCCGCGUGACACGCUCAGCCAAACCGCAAUAAAUGUGGUUAGGUGAGCCCCGCUGUGCUCACCUAACCCAUACACGCGGAGCAAAAACCCACGAGGGGUCGGGGCGCCUCGGCCCUCGGGGCCGAGGCGGGUGCGGUCCGACCCCCUCGGGGGGACUAAGAGGAGGGCGAACACAUCACCCUCGGGCCCGACGUCCCCCGAGGGUGCCAGGCCACGUGGGCGAUUGUGUCUGCCUCAAACCUCUAGUCAUGAUACUCCUGAUCCCAUGUCACCGACAGUAGCCCCCGGCGUUAUGCCAGGGCGAUCGCCCUCUUUAAGGGAAGCGGUCGGGCGUGACGCCACUCCUAAGGCCUGGUGACAGGUGGGACCGGUCUCCACAAUUGGGCAGAAACCCAACGGUCACAAAUCACGCACAUCGGCAAUGGUAACUCUACUAUCAAUAAUGAGCGGUCUCUUCAAGACUGCCACAUUACUCGAGUAGCACACGAAUCUGGACAUGGCGAUUCGUUUCGUCUGGAGAUAUGGUAACGUCGCUUUGGUCGGCGAGCGUAAUUAACGCGCGCACGAUAUGAUCUAUCUCGACUGCCACAACCGCAUAUCCACCUCAUGCGCCGCAAGCGGGCGAAUGGGAUUAGUGGAAGCGUGGGCGCGAGAAACGAGGGGGCGAAAUAGUGGGCGCGAGAAGCGAGGAGCCGGGCACAGCGUUGGCAAGAGUAUAAAGGCACUGAGGAAAGGAUCUGUUUCCUUCCUUUCGCCAUCAUUUCCCUUGUCUUCGCCGCUUGCGCCCUAACUCCUUCUUUCCUGUGCUCUACUUUCGCCACACGCGCUCGCUCUCAAUCUUCUCUUCCUCCGGCGCCAUGGCACGGGGCUCCGCUCUGCUCGAUGGUAGCGUGCUGCCGCCUUCCCGCAUCGUGAGCGAGAGGCAGGCUGGGCUGCCGCGCCGCUUCAUGCCGGAAUCUGCCACCGGCCGGGAGAUAGUCACGCUGGGUGAGGGACGCCCGGCGCCAGACUACCCGGGGCGGUCCGUCUUCUUUCUCCCCUUUGCAAUGGCAGGGCUGGUUCCGCCAUUUUCUUCUUUCUUCAUGGAUGUUCUGAAGUUCUACGAUCUCCAGAUGGCGCACCUCACCCCCAACGCGGUGAUGACAUUGGCCAUCUUCGCGCAUCUGUGCGAGAUGUUCAUUGGGGUGCGCCCAUCUCUUCGGCUGUUCCGGUGGUUCUUCACCGUGCAGUCGGUGUCGCCGCCAUCGGUAGUUGGUGGCUGCUACUUCCAGCCAUGGGGGCCGGUGCUGAAUCGCUACAUCCCCUGCGCCCUCCGCAAGAAGUGGGACGACUGGAAGAGCGACUGGUUCUACACCCCCCUCGCCGACGAAGCGCGCCUCUGACUUCCGAGCCAGCCCCCGGCGCAGGCCUCCAGCUGGCGGGCGCCGGUAGAUCUGGGGGAUGGCUAUGACGCCGUCCUCGACCGCCUGGCGGGCCUACGAUCCCAGGGGCUCACAGGGGCCAUGGUGUACGGCGACUACCUCCGUCGUCGGAUUGCGCCGCUCCAGCGGCGCGCUCGGGGCGCCUGGGAGUACACCGGGUCCGAAGACUACAUGAGGACCCACCAGGGAGUCAGAUGGGACUGGGCUCCUGAGGAUUUCAAGAUAGUGGUCCAACGGGUGCUGAAUCUCAACUCCAUGGAGGCGUCCCUCAUUCCCCAAGGAAUCCUCCCUCUCUGCAGCGAUCCAGACCGCGCCUCCAUCCUGACCAUUAUGACGGCGGUCGGGGCCUCAGAGGAGUGAGCUCCAAAGGGCCACGACGGCGCAGGCGGGAGCCGUAGGGGGGAUCAAUCUACCCCGGGAGGGGGUCGUGCUUCUGGGUCUCGCGACGGAGGCCCGAGGAGCAGCCGCCCUGCCGACGCCCGGGGGAAGAGGAAGCAGGGAGGAACACCUCCCCCAUCUCCUCCCCGAGGGGGCGGGGCGGUGCGUGCCAACAGCAGGCGCCCGGAGGGGGCCGCGCCGACAUCGCAGCCCGAGGGGGAGCGCAAGAAGAAGCGGCUCCGCAAGAUGGGGGAGACAGAACCAUCUCGGGGAAACCUUAUUUCCCCUCCAAAGUGGUCGUUUAACCGACCCCCUCGCAGGUUCGUCUCUCACCCAUCGUGGCUGUAUUCAUUCUCUCAACGCGAGUUUUCACUCACCCAUCUUGUUCGUCUUCUGGUCUUUUCUUCUGUUUCAGCGAGAUCCCGUCGCGUCCCUCCCGCCAUUCCAAGUCCGGCCAGUCUGAGGCCGAGGAUCCGGCGGCCGCAGAGGCCCGGAGGCGGGAAUCUGACCGGCGAGAGGCCGCGGAUCGCCUACGGGAAGCCGAGGAGGCCGCCCAGGAGGCCGCCCGGGCUCGCCAGGGCGAGGAAACCGCUCGGGAGGAGGCCGCCCGGGCCCGCCAGGCCGAGGAAGCCGCUCGGGAGGAGGCCGCCCGAGCCCACCAGGCCGAGGAAGCCGCUCGGGAGAAAGCCGGAUUUCGCCAGGACGAGGCAAUGGCGACUUCCGAGGCAGCUCGCGAUGAGGUCGCGGGCGCGUCGCUUGAGCCCGCUUCCUCGGGCGACGCUCAGGCGACAACUUCCGGGGCAGCUGGCGACGAGGCUGCGGGCGCGUCGCUUGGGCCCACUCCCUCAGGCGACGCCCAGGACCAACCAGGUCUGAGGGACAUCCCCGAGUCCGGCACUUCCAUCGGCGGCCCGAGCCGCGUGGCAUCCUCUCCAAGGCGGCUCUUCCCCACGCCUUCUAUCGCCCCGCUGAGCGCAGAGCCCCUUCUGCAGGCCUUGGCCGCCGCAAACAUCGCGGUGUUGGACGGGCUUAGUGCCCAGGUGGAGGCCCUGCAAGCAGAGUGGGCGGAGCUCGACGCCGCGUGGGCGCGUGUCGAGGAGGGGCGGCGCUCAGUGGAGGCCAUGGUGGAGGUGGGCCGCAAGGCACACCGCCGGCAUGUCUCGGAGCUUGAAGCCCGUAAGAAGGUGUUGGCGGAAAUCGCCAAGGAAGUGGAGGAGGAGCGGGGGGCUGCCCUCAUUGCCACCAGCGUGAUGAACGAGGCGCAGGACACCCUCCGCCUUCAAUACGGGAGCUGGGAGGCGGAGCUAGGGAAAAAGCUCGACGCCGCCCAGGGGGUGCUUGACGUUGCCGCUGCCCGAGAACAGCGGGCGGGGGAGACCGAAGCGGCGUCCCGACGGCGCGAAGAGACCCUUGAGGCGCGCGCCAUGGCGCUGGAAGAGCGCGCCUGCGUCGUGGAGAGGGAUCUGGCGGACCGCGAGGCCGCCGUCACUAUCCGGGAGGCAACACUGGCGGCGCACGAGUCCGCCUGUGCCGAAGAGGAGUCCGCACUCCGCCUCCACGAGGACGCGCUCACCGAGCGGGAGCGAGCUCUCGAGGAGGCCGAGGCCGCGGCGCAACGGCUGGCGGACAGCCUGUCCCUCCGCGAGGCAGCGCAGGAGGAGCAGGCGCGCCGCACUCUGGAAUGUGUCCGCGCCGAGAGGACCGCACUAAACCAGCGGGCCGCUGACCUCGAGGCGCGGGAGAAGGAGCUGGACGCGAGGGCGCGCAGCGGCGGGGCGGCUGCGGGCGAAAACGACUUAGCCGCCCGCCUCGCUGCUGCCGAACAUACCAUCGCCGAUCUGCAGGGCACGCUAAACUCGUCCGCCGGGGAGGUCGAGGCCCUCCGCUUGGCAGGCGAGGUAGGGCCCGGCAUGCUUUGGGACGCCGUCUCCCGCCUAGAUCGCGCCGGUCGGCAGGUGGGCCUCUGGAGAGGGCGGACCGUAAAGUACGCCGCCAACCAUGGAGGCCUCGCCCAGCGCCUCUCGAAGAUGGCCGGGGCUCUCCAACGGCUCCCCGAGGAGCUCGAGAAGACAAUUAAGUCAUCCUCGAGGGACCUCGCCCAAGGAGCGGUGGAGCUCGUACUGGCGAGUUACCAGGCCAGGGACCCCAAUUUCUCCAUGGAUGGCGCUGGAUGAGUUCCCUCCUGGGACCGAGGACAGCGCGCGCGCAGGUCCGGGAUGCCGCCGACCAUAUCGUCCACAGCUUCGAGGGCUCAGCCCCUCGGCUCGCGUUCGCCCCCAACUCCGACGAGGAGGACAAUGCCGGUGGUGCAGACGACAGUGACGAUGAGGCCGGCGACCCGGGCGUAUCGGAUUGAUCCCCCAAGCCCCCGCCAUUCUUCAGUUUUUUCUUCUUUUCCUUCUUCUAAGGCCUUCGGGCCUCUUUUUUGUAUAGAUCAACUUAAUCUGUAAUCAAAAAUGAAGAAAUUUUUGUGUCAAUUUCAUCUUGCUGUGUGUAUGAGAUGAGGAUGAUCUGUGACGUGGUCCUUUUGCGUCUUAGCUUGAUUAAGGGCUCGUGCCCAGGUCCCAGUCCUCAAAAGGCGUGGGUCGGGGCUAGUGCCUGGGGAGAUCCACAUGUCGAGACUGGCCAGGCCGGGAACGUGGUGACCGAGGGUUAUGGGUGACCCGAUUGUGGGUUUUUGCCGAUUCCCCCCCGGAGUUCACCACGCCCCGGGGCACGGCUCGGUUCUGGGCCCCGUUUGGCGAUUUUAGCCGACCCGAGCCCCCGAGGGCAGGAUUGAGCACGAGUGACCUAUUUCAAGUCAAGAUUCUUCAAAAGGAAAAAAAAACACAGAUACAGCCUUUAGGAAAUUGAAACUGCUUUUAUUGAAAUACUGAAAUAAGAGAAAUAAGAAUGUGCAUGUGUGGCAGCCCCCGGCCAACCCUGCACGCCCGAGGGGGUGCGGGGUUGGCCCGAGCCCGAAACCUGACACCCGACCCCCCCCUCAGGGGUAGAAGCGACGAAGGUGUUCGAUGUUCCACGGGUUAGGCAGCUCAAUGCCGUCGCCCGUGGCCAGCCGUAUGGAGCCCGGCCGGGGGACGCCGACCACUCGAUACGGACCCUCCCACAUUGGUGAGAGCUUGCUCAAUCCAGCACGCGUUUGGACGCGGCGUAGGACGAGGUCGUCGACGCAGAGUGAUCGGGCCCGGACGUGACGCUGAUGGUAGCGCCGCAGGCUCUGCUGGUAGCGCGCGGCUCUGAGGGCCGCGCGUCGCCUUCGCUCUUCCAAGUAGUCGAGGUCAUCUCUGCGAAGCUGAUCUUGAUCAGCCUCGCAGUACAUGGUGGCCCGAGGAGACCUCAGGGUGAGCUCGGAUGGGAGAACCGCUUCCGCGCCGUAGACGAGGAAGAAAGGCGUUUCCCCGGUUGCUCGGCUUGGUGUAGUUCGGUUUGCCCAGAGCACCGCUGGCAACUCCUCGAUCCAUGAAUCGCCGUGCUUCUUGAGUAUGUUGAAGGUCUUGGUUUUAAGGCCUUUGAGGAUUUCUGAAUUGGCGCGCUCCACUUGGCCAUUGCUUCUGGGGUGGGCAGGUGAGGCGAAGCAGAGCUUGAUGCCCAUGUCUUCGCAGUAGUCGCCGAAGAGUUCACUAGUGAAUUGGGUGCCAUUAUCCGUAAUAAUACGGUUAGGCACUCCAAACCGGGCCGUGAUGCCCUUAAUGAAUUUAAGUGCGGAGUGCUUAUCGAUCUUGACGACCGGAUAAGCCUCGGGCCACUUAGUGAACUUGUCGAUCGCGACAUACAGAUACUCAAACCCGCCCGGGGCCCGCCUAAACGGUCCCAGGAUAUCGAGCCCCCAGACAGCAAAUGGCCACGAAAGUGGUAUGGUCUGCAGGGCCUGGGCCGGCUGAUGGAUUUGCUUGGCGUGGAAUUGACACGCUCUACAUCGCCGGACCAGGUCGACCGCAUCAUUGAGAGCUGUCGGCCAAUAGAAACCCUGGCGAAAAGCUUUACCAACCAAGGUGCGCGAGGCGGAGUGGGCUCCGCAUUCGCCUUCAUGGAUAUCGGCAAGAAGCACAACGCCUUGUUCCCGAGGAAUGCACUUCAGGAGGAUUCCAUUAGCCGCGCGCCGAUAGAGGGUCCCUUCUACCAGCACGUAGCGUUUGGAGAUGCGAUGGACGCGUUCACUCCCUUCGCGGUCCUCGGGUAAAGUCUUAUCUGUGAGGUAUGCUUGGAUCUCGGCAAUCCAAGCAAUCAAUCUAAGGGAGCUGGGAGCGCUCCCCUCGGGUCCCGAGGCCUGGACUUCAACGGGCCUCGGGGGCCGGUCAGGCGCGUCCGUCUCCCCUAAGGGGUCGGGUCGCGCCGACGGCUGGGCAAGCCUUUCUUCAAAGGCGCCCGGUGGGGUCUGGGCUCGCGUGGACGCGAGCCGUGAGAGUUCGUCGGCAAUCAUGUUAUCCCGUCUGGGCACAUGCCGAAGCUCAAUCCCGUCAAAAUGGCGCUCCAUACGCCGUACUUGGCGCACGUAGGCGUCCAUCUGCGGGUCAGAGCACCGGUACUCCUUACAGACUUGGUUAACGACCAGCUGGGAGUCGCCUAACACCAGGAGGCGGCGGAUCCCCAGUCCAGCUGCCACUCUGAGUCCGGCAAGGAGUCCCUCGUACUCUGCCAUAUUGUUGGUCGCUCGAAAGUCGAGGCGGACCAAGUAUCUGAGGACGUCUCCGCUCGGAGAGGUCAACGUGACCCCCGCACCGGCGCCCUGAAGAGACAGGGAGCCGUCGAACUGCAUUACCCAGUGGGCGGUGUGAGGCAGCUGCGAGGGGUCCGUGCUGGCCUCGGGGAUUGAGACGGGCUCGGGAGCCGGGGUCCACUCUGCCACAAAAUCGGCGAGAGCCUGGCUCUUGAUAGCGUGGCGUGGUUCAAAGUGCAAAUCGAACUCAGAAAGUUCGAUUGCCCAUUUCACCACCCGUCCUGUACCGUCUCGAUUAUGCAAGAUUUGACCGAGGGGGUAAGACGUAACCACAGUGACCCGAUGCGCCUGGAAAUAAUGGCGCAGUUUCCUCGAGGCCAUCAGAAUAGCGUAAAGCAUCUUCUGGGCCUGAGGGUAUCGGGUUUUGGCGUCCCGGAGGGCCUCACUAACAAAGUAGACGGGCCGCUGCACCUUUCGGUGGGGCCGAUCCUCUUCGCUAGGGGCCGCAUCCCUGGGGCACUCUUCGUCCAAGCAGCCUCGCGGGGCGCACUUGUCUUCUGUGCUGAUGACCUCGGGGUCGGAGGAUAACAGGGGCGGCCUUCCCACAGUGGCUUUGGGGCCGUCCUGGGGGUCAGGGGCUCCUGGCGUCGUCGGACAAGCGGGCAAAGGGCCAACUCCGGUCGUCAGGGGCCUUAGGCCUCCGUUCGGCUCGGGGGCCUCUUCUCCCUGCUCUUUCCCGGGUCGAGUCAGCACAGGGUUAGCCUCGGGGUCAAAGGGCGAUAGGUGCGGCCUUCCCACAGUGGCCUCAGGGCCUUCCUGGGGGUCGGGGGCUCCUAGCACCGUCUGACAAGCGGGCAGAGGGCCAACUCCGGUCGUCGGGGGCCUCGGGCCACCGUUCGGCUCGGGGGCCUCUCCUCCCUGCUCUCUCCCGGGCCAAGUCGGCACAGGGUGGGGAAGCGCGAAAUGAGAAUUGUCCUCAUCGCGCUCCACAACCAAUGCCGCACUAACUACUUGCGGGGUCGCCGCUAAGUAGAGUAGCAAGGGCUCGUCUGGCUCCGGGGCGACCAGAACUGGGGGAGAGCUUAGAUACGCCUUCAACUGGGUGAGGGCAUUUUCAGCUUCCUUCGUCCAGGUAAACGGUCCGGAGCGUUUGAGAAGCUUAAAUAAGGGUAACGCCUUCUCUCCCAGCCUCGAUAUGAACCGACUUAGGGCGGCCAUGCAACCGGUGACGUAUUGCACAUCCCUAAGUUUGCUGGGGGGGCGCAUCCGCUCUAUAGCCCGUAUCUUCUCGGGGUUGGCCUCAAUGCCCCGGGCAGAGACCAAGAACCCGAGAAGCUUGCCCGCAGGUACACCGAACACACACUUAUCGGGGUUUAAUUUUAUGCGGGCGGAGCGGAGACUCUCAAAAGUUUCCGCUAGAUCUAUGAGUAACGUUUCCUGGUUGCGCGUCUUUACAACCAAGUCAUCGACAUAAGCUUCAAUAUUACGUCCUAAUUGGCUACCCAAAGAAAUUCGAGUAGUACGUUGAAAAGUAGGACCUGCAUUCUUUAACCCGAAGGGCAUUGUCGUAUAACAAUAGGUUCCUAUGGGGGUAAUGAACGCAGUUUUUUCCUCAUCCUCCCUAGCCAUGCGAAUCUGAUGGUAACCAGAGUAUGCAUCUAGAAAACACAAAAGGUCGCACCCCGCAGUGGAGUCGACAAUCUGAUCUAUGCGAGGCAGGGGGUAAGGAUCCUUAGGACAUGCCUUGUUAAGGUCGGUGUAGUCGAUGCACAUCCGAAGCUUGCCGUUCGCCUUGGGAACGACCACCGGGUUCGCUAGCCACUCGGCGGGGUUGACGCUGCCAUCAUAUUUUUCGGCGAUGGUGGGCCGGAACCUUGGGGGCCAACGGACAUUCCGAAGACUCGCCACAAAGGCUCUACAGCCGACACCACCAACCGGGGGCACGGAGGGCUGAUUCCCGCGUCCGUGUUGAGGUGACACUCUGGACGAGGAAGCGCCCUCCGUUGCGUGGGCAGCACUUCGGUCAUUACGCCGGCGCUCGAUGCUGGUGCGGGCGUCCGGCCCCCCACGCAGAUCUUUCUGGGUCGAAGGAGUCGACGAAGGAGUGGCGGCCGAAUGGCGAACAGCGGCUGCCGCUCGUCGUGCCCUCCGUCUUGACGACGCGGAGCCGGUGGUAGCAGCACCAGAGGCCUUGGUGGCGGAGGACCGCCCACCAGCAUCUAGGCGCUGCCGUACCGUCAUGACUAAUUUGGCCACGUCGUCCAGCCAUCGUUGGGCUGGAGACUCCGGGUCAGGGACGACAGGCGGGUGACGUAAGAGCGCGCCCGCAGCUUGGAGCGCGCCCUGGGGCGUGCUGCCGUCGCCGUAGACGAGGAGGCGACGCUCCCCAUCUCGCCGUUCUUCUCCAUCGCCCGCGAUCGGUGAAGUCGCGGAUCUUUCGACCCUCUCGAGCGCCUCCCCCCGCUUAGGACUUUGGCGUGGAGGGAGCGGUGGAGUACGAGCUCGACGGCGUGGGUUCGGCUCCCCGUCGUCGCCACUCACACUCGGAGAGAGGUCGUGCGCCUUUGCUUGCUCGGCCAUCAGGCUGAACAGGAAAAGCUUGGCGCACACGGAAGAGUACGAGAGCUCAGAAAAACACACACUGAGUCCCCUACCUGGCGCGCCAGAUGACGGAGCGUGGGGCUCCUCACCGGGAGACCGCGCAGGCCCCCCUUUGCCGGUUCGGCCGGGGACUCAGGGUGAAAUUCUAAGCUCUCUGUAUGUGGAAGGUUCGCGACCGUCGAAAGAGCAUAAGACACGGGCGAUGUAUACAGGUUCGGGCCGCUGAGAAGCGUAAUACCCUACUCCUGUGUUUUGGGGGGAUCUGUGUAUGAAGGAGCUACAAAGUAUGAGCCAGCCUCUCCCUUGUUCUGGGUUCCGAAUCUGGAAAAGUCCAGUCCAGUCCCCCCCUCUAAGUGGGCAAGGUCCUCCUUUUAUAUCUUAAGGGGAUACCACAUGCACCAUCUCCCUCCUUUCUGUGGGGACUUACCCUACCUUUUCAUAAAUGGACGGAGAUUUGUAUAGUUGCCGUCCGAAUGACCUUCUGAUAGGACGGCCCAUACCUACCUCCACUUCCGCCGAAAGCAGGUGCGACGUGGGAUUAUGGCUGUCUGCUGACGACAUGACCAGUGUCAGACUGGUCACAAAUUGCUCAUUCCUGUCCACCACGCGUCAGUUUAGCAAUCUACAUGUUGGCCCUUCUUCACACAACAUCUUGCCUGUAAUGGUUAGGAUGAAGCCUGGCAUAUAUCUAACCAGGACUAACGUGCCAUCUCUAGGAGGUAACACGCUAGCUCCAGCUGGGGACGAGCGCCUAGAAGCCCUCGUCCUGACGGGAUGGGGCGAGGCGUGCGUCAGAUCGCCUGUCGCCACCUAACCCGCGAUCUGACCGGUCUGUGACUGGUCACAGACCGGAUAAACGAGUGCACUGCACUUCGUUACAUGCGGCGUGACACGCUCAGCCAAACCGCAAUAAAUGUGGUUAGGUGAGCCCCGCUGUGCUCACCUAACCCAUACACGCGGAGCAAAAACCCACGAGGGGUCGGGGCGCCUCGGCCCUCGGGGCCGAGGCGGGUGCGGUCCGACCCCCUCGGGGGGACUAAGAGGAGGGCGAACACAUCACCCUCGGGCCCGACGUCCCCCGAGGGUGCCAGGCCACGUGGGCGAUUGUGUCUGCCUCAAACCUCUAGUCAUGAUACUCCUGAUCCCAUGUCAUCGACAAGGCCAUCCGAAUGUAUUAAGGAGUAAAAGUUACAAGAAAAAACACCACAAUGCACCAAGGUGCAUGACCACACACCAUACACUACCCCCAAGCACAAACCACUGAGGGUGAAGCCUAGCACCAAACGACCGCCACUAAGUGUGACCAAACGCCGCUAGGCCUACGGCAGCAACACAUAGAUGAGACUUCGAAAACGAUGCCACCAAGGUGGUCACGACAUGUAGGAUGCUGCCAUCGUCCAUCUAAAAAGAUGUGGUUUUCACCCAGAGAAACUCAUCAAGAAGGGGAGAGGGUAACCCUUGACAGCGCCCCAAGGAGGUUACGACGCCCGAAGGCGUAGCCGCUGCCGGUCCGGUGAACCACCGGACUAGGCUUCCGCCUAGGACCCUAUAGCCUUGAUCGCAGAUCACCGUCCACCACUCAGAACCACCACACAGACAAAAGGUAGCACGUAGCUUCCACCGCACCGCACCGACGCCCCUUCGUCGGCCGACUCCAUCGAACCACCAUCCCUGAGAGCUGGCCCAGGACCCCUCCGUUCCACCACCCGCCGGCCGCCUUGCCAGUUUUGGCCAAAGGAGAACCCGGGACUGGGUGACAUUGCUUCGGCAGCCUGAGCUUCCCCCGCUGGCGAGCUGCUGUCUCAAUCCAACCUAGAAACUCCCCGCAAAAGAAGGGGAUGAGCUCUAGGAAGGGCGAGGGUGCCGACCGGCAACGAGGAAGACAACCCAUCGACUCCAGCUCCCUUUGCACUACCAUCUGGGCCUGCGCCAAUGCCGGAUACGCUGUCGCUCCGGCUCCGGCGCCACCCACCUGCACCCCCUUUGCCUGGUCUCCGCGCCCCUCCUGGCUGCGUCGCGCCGCCCAGCUGGCCGCUAAGGGCACCACGACGGCCGCCCGGCUACCGAGGCCUGGCCGCGCCAUGGGACAGCUCGCGCUGGCACCAGCGAGCCACGGCCGUCGCGCUGUUGCCGGCGCCAGCGAGCACAACCGCCAGCUCCAAGGGCCGAGCAUGCCACUGAGCCGCCGCCGCUGCCGCCCGGGCCGGCUGCACGUCACCGGCGCACACGACCGCACGCCGCCACGCUCCGCCUCCGCGCCCGAGGCAGCCCCAUGCCAUUGCCGCGCACCUCGCCCGCCCGCUGCCGAGCCGCCACCGCGCACCUUGCUGAGCCGCCACCGCCGUCCCUAGCCGCCUCGUGCCGCCGCCACGCCAGAUCCAGGCGCGGGAUGGCCGGAUCCGGCCUUGGGGGCGCCGGAUCCGCCGCCUCCCCACACCGCCACGGCGUCACCACCUCCGACCGCAGUGAGGGCUUCGUCGUUUGCCCCAUCCUCAUCGCGUCGAGGAGGAAGACGCCAAGAAAAAAGGGCCUCGCCGCUGCCUUCCUUGCUCGCUGCCGGCUUCGCCGCCGGCGAGCUCCGGCGGCGGCGAGGUGGGGGAGAAGAAGUGGGGAGUGGGCAGCUAGGGUUUUUUCGCCCCCCAAGCCGCCCGUGCGAGAGCGACGGUGGGGGGGGGGGGGGGGACUUUCCAACCUCUUCCAGUGUUCUAGUUCUCCACGUUAUGUAACUCAAUUUGUUUAACCAUAGAAAGUAAGAAACCUACCAGCGUGUUAAGCUCUCUUUCAUUCCCUUUCUUCUUCCUGGUUUUGCUUCCAUCACAUGUCAAGUGAAGGGUUCUUAACUACCAUUACUCCUACACAUCUAAUUUUUUUCUCAGAUCUUUCGCAGGUAUAUAUUGAUGCUACAUUUUAUGAUCUUAAGAUAAUCUCCUUCACAUUACCCUCUGCUGAAACUUUAGCUUGAACCGUCAUCUUCACCACAAUUUGAGCCCAAUUUGCACAGAGCACAACGAGCAAUAGCUUGCCCUUACGUUCAUUAUUUAGCAUGAACUACUACUAACUACCCAAGAAUCAAUACACCGGUUUAAUAACGCCAUUUUAUCACGUUAAUAUAUGUUUCAUUCAACACACCGGUUUUGGCACAGUUGCAAACUUGCAAUAAAUUCUUUCCUACUUCUCCAUCCCAUAAUAUAACAAAUUGGUAUGUCUCGUCUGGUACUAAGUUGCUAUAUUAUGAGAUGGAGGGAGCACUUCUUUUCUUCCAAAAUAUAAGAAUAUAGUAUUGGAUUAGAUAUUAUCUAGAUUCACGAAUUCGAUUAGGUUGUCUAGAUUUAUAGUUGUAUGUAAUGUAUAAUUCGGUAAUAGGUUAUUACCUCUCGGGAUGGAGGGAGUAGUUUUGACUUUUUUUUUCUUAUAAAUCGCUUUGAUUUUUAUAUUAGUCAAAUUUUAUCGAGUUUAACUAAGUUUAUAGAAAAAAAUUAGCAACAUUUAAGCACCACACUAGUUUCAUUAAAUUUAGCAUGGAAUAUAUUUUGAUAAUAUAUUUGUUCUGUGUUAAAAAUGCUGCUAUAUUUUUCUAUAAACGUAGUCAAAUUUAAAUAAGUUAGACUAAAAAAAAUCAAAACGACUUAUAAUAUGAAAUGGAGGAAGUAGUAGACUAUAACAAAUUUAAACCGUGCUUUGAUUUUAGAGCAUCACUAAUAUGUUAGCAAUAAUCUAUCCCUAAAAUUUAUUUUUUUUCCUAAACUGAAAAUAGGAAGUGGAAAUACUCCUCCAUCUAAGAGAGAGCCUAAAUUCAAUAAAAAACUAAAAAACUAAAGGUGGAUCCCUCUAUUAAACUACCGCAAAAAAUUUAUGUUUUUUUUCUCUUCCACGCGCGCAGAACAGAUAUCUCGAUCAAGUUAGCAUGUAAAAUUUUUAAAGAGAUACCUUAUACGACUCCUUCCGUAUUUCCAAAAGCAAACGGAUUUAAAAUCUGACUCAAAUAAAGAUCUAUAUAUCCAAUUUACAUGACACAUGUUUCGCCGAAUUUUUAUAUUAAUAAUAAUUAAUAUUUUUAAAAUUAAAUUAUUAGCAAUUUGUUUGGAGGAUUUAUCAAAACAGGAUGGACGUUGUUUAUAACAGCGUCUAGACCUAGACGCGCUUGCAAACUGCGGCCACCCUUUUAUCACACAAAUUUUUGACAAUUUGACACUUUCCAAAAAUUAAUUUUAUAAAUUAACCGUGACCAAAACUUAUUUAAAAAUAAUCUUUUUGUUGAGCGCAAAAUCGUAUACUUCAGCGCCAAAUAGCACGGCGCCGACCUCCCCCUUCCCCUCCCCUCUAUCCUCCACUGCUGCCGCCCACCUCUCCGUAUCAGCUGCGUCGCGUUGGUUUCCGCCGGCGCUGCUGCUGCUGCACCAGUCCGCUAGGGCGGGCGGGCAUGGCGCGCCGCGCCGCUUCCCGCGUCCGCGCCGGCGCUGUUGGCGCCCUUCGCUCGGAGGGCUCGACCCAAGGGCGAGGGGGCCGCACGGGGGGCAGUGGCGCCGAGGACGCACGCCACGUGUUCGACGAAUUGCUCCGGCGUGGCAGGGGCGCCUCGAUCUACGGCUUGAACUGCGCCCUCGCCGACGUCGCGCGUCACAGCCCCGCGGCCGCCGUGUCCCGCUACAACCGCAUGGCCCGAGCCGGCGCCGACGAGGUAACUCCCAACUUGUGCACCUACGGCAUUCUCAUCGGUUCCUGCUGCUGCGCGGGCCGCUUGGACCUCGGUUUCGCGGCCUUGGGCAAUGUCAUUAAGAAGGGAUUUAGAGUGGACGCCAUCGCCUUCACUCCUCUGCUCAAGGGCCUCUGUGCUGACAAGAGGACGAGCGACGCAAUGGACAUAGUGCUCCGCAGAAUGACCCAGCUUGGCUGCAUACCAAAUGUCUUCUCCUACAAUAUUCUUCUCAAGGGGCUGUGUGAUGAGAACAGAAGCCAAGAAGCUCUCGAGCUGCUCCAAAUGAUGCCUGAUGAUGGAGGUGACUGCCCACCUGAUGUGGUGUCGUAUACCACUGUCAUCAAUGGCUUCUUCAAGGAGGGGGAUCUGGACAAAGCUUACGGUACAUACCAUGAAAUGCUGGACCGGGGGAUUUUACCAAAUGUUGUUACCUACAGCUCUAUUAUUGCUGCGUUAUGCAAGGCUCAAGCUAUGGACAAAGCCAUGGAGGUACUUACCAGCAUGGUUAAGAAUGGUGUCAUGCCUAAUUGCAGGACGUAUAAUAGUAUCGUGCAUGGGUAUUGCUCUUCAGGGCAGCCGAAAGAGGCUAUUGGAUUUCUCAAAAAGAUGCACAGUGAUGGUGUCGAACCAGAUGUUGUUACUUAUAACUCGCUCAUGGAUUAUCUUUGCAAGAACGGAAGAUGCACGGAAGCUAGAAAGAUGUUCGAUUCUAUGACCAAGAGGGGCCUAAAGCCUGAAAUUACUACCUAUGGUACCCUGCUUCAGGGGUAUGCUACCAAAGGAGCCCUUGUUGAGAUGCAUGGUCUCUUGGAUUUGAUGGUACGAAACGGUAUCCACCCUAAUCAUUAUGUUUUCAGCAUUCUAAUAUGUGCAUACGCUAAACAAGGGAAAGUAGAUCAGGCAAUGCUUGUGUUCAGCAAAAUGAGGCAGCAAGGAUUGAAUCCGGAUACAGUGACCUAUGGAACAGUUAUAGGCAUACUUUGCAAGUCAGGCAGAGUAGAAGAUGCUAUGCGUUAUUUUGAGCAGAUGAUCGAUGAAAGACUAAGCCCUGGCAACAUUGUUUAUAACUCCCUAAUUCAUAGUCUCUGUAUCUUUGACAAAUGGGACAAGGCUAAAGAGUUAAUUCUUGAAAUGUUGGAUCGAGGCAUCUGUCUGGACACUAUUUUCUUUAAUUCAAUAAUUGACAGUCAUUGCAAAGAAGGGAGGGUUAUAGAAUCUGAAAAACUCUUUGACCUGAUGGUACGUAUUGGUGUGAAGCCCGAUAUCAUUACGUACAGUACUCUCAUCGAUGGAUAUUGCUUGGCAGGUAAGAUGGAUGAAGCAACGAAGUUACUUGCCAGCAUGGUCUCAGUUGGAAUGAAACCUGAUUGUGUUACAUAUAAUACUUUGAUUAAUGGCUACUGUAAAAUUAGCAGGAUGGAAGAUGCGUUAGUUCUUUUUAGGGAGAUGGAGAGCAGUGGUGUUAGUCCUGAUAUUAUUACGUAUAAUAUAAUUCUGCAAGGUUUAUUUCAAACCAGAAGAACUGCUGCUGCAAAAGAACUCUAUGUCGGGAUUACCGAAAGUGGAACGCAGCUUGAACUUAGCACAUACAACAUAAUCCUUCAUGGGCUUUGCAAAAACAAUCUCACUGACGAGGCACUUCGAAUGUUUCAGAACCUAUGUUUGACGGAUUUACAGCUGGAGACUAGGACUUUUAACAUUAUGAUUGGUGCAUUGCUUAAAGUUGGCAGAAAUGAUGAAGCCAAGGAUUUGUUUGCAGCUCUCUCGGCUAACGGUUUAGUGCCAGAUGUUAGGACCUACAGUUUAAUGGCAGAAAAUCUUAUAGAGCAGGGGUUGCUAGAAGAAUUGGAUGAUCUAUUUCUUUCAAUGGAGGAGAAUGGCUGUACUGCCAACUCCCGCAUGCUAAAUUCCAUUGUUAGGAAACUGUUACAGAGGGGUGAUAUAACCAGGGCUGGCACUUACCUGUUCAUGAUUGAUGAGAAGCACUUCUCCCUCGAAGCAUCCACUGCUUCCUUGUUUUUAGAUCUUUUGUCUGGGGGAAAAUAUCAAGAAUAUCAUAGGUUUCUCCCUGAAAAAUAUAAGUCCUUUAUAGAAUCUUUGAGCUGCUGAAGCCUUUUGCAGCUUUGAAAUUCUGUGUUGGAGUUCUUUUCUCCUACAGUUGUAUUAGAGGAGGGAUCUUCUCUUUAUGUGUAAAUAGCGAGGUAUGUAUGUCACCUCUCCGAAUUAUUUUUACUCUGGUUCCUAGACGGUAAACAAGCAAUUAUGUUCUGCCUUUGAUGCCAGAAAAAACACAAAAGUUUGUCGUUAUCUCUACUAACGGAUCAUAAAGGAAUUUGUAACUGGAGUUUCAAACUUAAUUUGUCUAGGCAGUAGUUUUGGCAUUAGAUCCAACAUUGUGUAGGAUUCAUUUGUGUGUAUCAAUCUAUAGGGUUUCAUUAAAUUUCGUUAAUGUGUACUGUUUAGGUGUUGAAUAGUUUGACUUGUUUUUUAACUGAACAAAAGAUACUGAAAUCGUUCCAUUCAACAAACACAUGUUCCGUUAAUGAAAUUAUUGUACGUUACCUUUUGUUUUCUUACUCACAAGUGUCCUCUUUUCUUAUAUCCUAUAGAUUGGUACAACAAAUUAUUGAUUCAAUUUUGGUUUUGAACAUUGAUGAUCCUCCCUGCACUAUUGGUGCAGCUGCUCUUCUAUUCAUUUUGUGAAGUGAUGUGAGUACCUCUCAAUCCCAUCCUUAUGCUUCUGUGCAUGCUUCAUUCCAAUUUUUUACGCAUAUCGAUUGUUUUCUUUUAUAUAACAGUCCAUAAAGAUAAUCACAUCAUGACAAAGUUAUUUAUUUCUACAGUAUAGUUAUAUAAGUAUUCACCAGUUUUCCAUGAAUAUUUUGGCAUGUGAUUACAAAGAAGAUUAUUUGAGAAAAUCCAUGCUUUUAUUUCAUCAUUUUGUUUGAAGUUGAACUUUAAUUUAUGGUGUAAAUUUCAGUUAUUAUUGCUAGCAGCUCGUACUCUUUAAUGGUAUAACUUCACUUGUGCUUAUUCUCCAAUAUCUCCCUUCUUGUUGUUCAGGUUCAAGAAAAUCAUUUGUUGGAUUCAGAAUCUGGUGUCCAUUUUCUUCUUAAAUUAUUAAAUCCUCCAGUGAAUCUUGUUGAUUCCAAAGCACCAUCGAUAGGUUCCAAACUUCUUGGAAUCAGUAAAGUUCAAAUGCUUAAUGGAUCAAAUAAGGAUUCUGACUGCAUUUCAGAGGAAAUCCUUUCAAAAGUUGAAGAGAUUCUCUUAAGCUGUCAAGUGAUCAAGUCGCUCGACAAAGAUGACAAGAAAACAACAAGGCCAGAACUGUGUCCAAAGUGGCUUGCUUUGUUGACAAUGGAAAAUGCAUGCUUGUCUGCUGUUUCAGUAGAGGGUAAGUUUUAAUCAAAUUUCUUGGUCAUGAUUUCCCUUUAUGACCAUUAUAUUUAUUUAUAUGAGCCAAAUAAGCAGUUGUCAACUUGUCAUAAGUUACAUAGCACCUAUUUGCAAUAUUCAUGGGUGGUUUGCUUAGCCCUUUUCUUCACCUGCUUUUGAUUGAUGACUUCCAUCUGUGUUGCAGAAUUGAAUUGGAGUAGUGGACUGCACUAGAAGCACCUAUGGCCAUUGUCAUACUAGGAAGGUUUUCCCUUAUCAAAUAUUUGAUUGUUACAGAGACUUCUGACACAGUGUCCAGAGUUGGAGGAAAUUUUAAAGAGACAUUAAGGGAGAUGGGAGGUCUUGAUAGUAUUUUUGACGUUAUGGUGGAUUUUCAUUCAACAUUGGAGGUGAGAUCUCGCUAACAUCGCAUAUUUUACAUUUCCUUUGUUCAACUCUAAUGGAUUGUGCAGGCUUGUUCCUUUUCGCCAUUUUAGCUUUAAUGUGCUUGAAGCCACAUGAAAGUAAUGCUUGUCCAGAUACAUAGCCAAAGGUUGUUAUAUUUUGGGGCAUGGAAAAUGCUUGAGGUAGUAACUAUUUUCAUCAGGACAUGGAAAAUUGGCUGCAACACAAAUUAUGUUGUUUUAUGUUGCAAAAAUAGUUUUUUAAUACUUUUUUAUUCUGCAUGUGGUGUUAGUAUCUUACAGUUCCUCUGAUGAUUAUAUCCCCCACGAUAAUAACACUUGAAACGAUAAUAACACUUGACAUAUCUACACCAAGUGAACAUUAUUCAUUUGGAUGUUACUUUUCCAGCUAUACUUGCUGUUCUUGCAUGUGUAAGCAAGUUUGGAGUAAAUUGCGCAUUAAUUUAAAUGCUUGGUGUUCCUAUCUGUGUACUUUUUAUUCCCCAACUAAUAAUGCAAUCAUAUUACGCUGAUAAACUGAAUAAAUAAAUUAACAAUAUACUUCUGGUGGCAAACCUUGUGUAUCAGAAUCUCAUAAAGGAUACAUCCACUUCAGCUUUGGACCGAAAUGAAGGAACAUCUUUGCAAAGUGCUGCUCUCCUCUUGAAAUGUUUGAAAAUAUUGGAAAAUGCCAUAUUUCUAAGCGAUGAUAACAAGGUAAUGCUCCUUAUAUGUUCUGUUUCAGUUUAGUACCCAUUUCCUUCUUCUGUACUAUCUUCUCUCCUGAUUUGUUCUGUGCAAAAUGUGCAAACAGUGCGACUUUGUAUGUCUGCUUAACAAUUUUCUUUUCUUCCUGAAAAAGCAAUAUGAACUCUUACAUUCAUUUUGCUUCUUGCAGACCCAUUUGCUUAAUAUGAGUAGAAAAUUGAACCCGAAACGCUCCUUGCUUUCUUUUGUUGGUGUCAUUAUCAAUACUAUUGAGUUAUUAUCAGGUAUUUUUCUUAAUAAUACAAUGUGUUCGCUAACACAAUAAAAUGUUUUAAACAUCCAGUAUGUUAAAGUUGCAGUCUGACGCCUAUUUUGUUUUGCUGCAGCUCUUUCAAUACUUCAGAAUUCUUCUGUUGUUUCCAGCUCUACAUAUCCGAAAUCGUCUAAAGUCUCUCAACAGAGUUACUCUGGUAAUAACAAACACCAAUUUUGUUUGAUCAGUUGAUCUCGUUGGCUUUUCUAUGCACUGUCUCAAUAUAGUUUGGUCGCCAUUCAAGUCUCACUACAGAUGUUGAACUUGGCCUGACACCAAAUAUUUAUAAAAUGCUACCUGAUAUUUUUAAUAUUUCAUGUUUCCUGACCCAGAUUAUCUUGUUGGUUCCUCGUAUAAGUUUAAUUAGUGACAUUCUUGAAGCUUUGUUAUGCAGCAGAUGUCAUGGGGGGAACUUCAUUUAAUGAUGGAAAGAGCAAGAACUCGAAAAAAAAAAACUUUUGUCGAACCAGACACGUCAUUGUUGCUUAUCUUCAAAAUCAGAAGUUUCUCAUAUUACUAUAUCUUCUGGUAGUGAUGCUGGUCUGUCACAGAAGGCAUUCAAUUGUUCUCCAUUUAUAUCAAGCAAUGGGGCAUCAAGUGGUUCAUUAGGCGAGAGGCACAGCAAUGGUAGUGGUUUGAAGUUGAAUAUAAAAAAGGAUCGUGGCAAUGCAAAUCCAAUUAGAGGCUCAACUGGAUGGAUUUCAAUAAGAGCGCACAGUUCUGAUGGGAACUCCAGAGAAAUGGCAAAAAGACUCCGUCUAUCUUAAAAUGUAAUCACCGACAGUGGUGGUGGUGAUGACCCUUUUGCAUUUGACCGCCGCGUCGGCGUCGCCACCACGUAAUCGCCCACGUCGCUGCCCCCGCUGCCACGUCGUCGACCGCGCACGGUAAUCACACGCAUCUCGAGGCCGCCGCUAGCUGAUAUCUUCUCAUCCGGUUGAUUUGUGAUUUUGGCGUUUUUGCAGUGGUGAUGGCGGGGGGCGACCGUGGCCGAGGCGUGGAGUGCCAUCCGCAUCAGGGUGUAUCGGCCGCGCUGCUCCGCCCUGGUCCGCAGGCUUUGGCGGCGAGCUGGCGGCGGAGGGAGACUGUGGUGAGAUCGGAUUUCGCCGCUGGUGGUGUCGCUACCAUGGGGGAUUCGCCGCAGGCGCUCUCAGGUUUGCAGCCUCCUCCACUCUCUUCCCUUUUUUAUUUUUUUUUCUCGCAAAAUGUGUUGUGAUGUUCGUCUCGCUGGGCAGGCCUCAUAGCCAUUAAUGUAGUUUGCUGGAACAUUUACAUUUGGAACGUUGUUGGCAAUUGCUUGACAAAAUGUGGAAUUGUGGAGGGGAGAAAAAUCAUUUGAACCUGCAGUGACAAAAUUGCCAUCUCUAAUUUUAAAACUGAAGGUGUGGAAAUCAAACAUAAUCAUUGCCAGCGCAUCAUUCUUGUUAACCACCAUGAUAUAUUGUUGGUUAUAACAGUUAGCUCCACACCAACCUUGAAGGUGUCAAUAGAAUGUUUAGUAUAAAUUGAGGAGAACAGGCAGUUGUUAAGACUUUCUAAAGAACUUGUAGCAGCUAAUACUAGCUAUUGUGCAUUUGUGUUUCAUGGAAUUUGAGCAGCAAUGGAUAUUUCUUACUAAGAUGUAUGAUGCAAAACAAAAAACUAUGUCUAUACAGUUUACAUGUAAUGUGCGGAUGCAAAUAAAAUCAUGUACAUGGACAAACUCAUGGGAUUCAUACCGAAUUCCAGAAUUGCAUUUCUUAUGUGGUUACUUUUGUUGUUGAUUUGGUUACCAGACAUCGAUGUGAUUUCAAGGGUCAGAGGGGUUUGCUUCUACGCGGUGGCUGCAGUUGCAGCAAUCUUUUUGUUUGUCGCCAUGGUUGUGGUUCAUCCACUUGUGCUCCUAUUUGACCGAUACCGGAGGAGAGUUCAGGAAAAAAAUUUGAAAAUACCCAUUUUUUGAAAAAGAUUUACGUUUAUAUACACUAGUAUGAAGAAUUUGCGAAAAUAUAACUAAUCCGCAGAUCGGUUAUGCGGGAGCGCAACAAAAGUAUGGCGUGGCGGCGCGGAGUGGACGGCCGAGGCGUUCGCGCGGAAUGGGGCUGCGGGACCGAGCCAGUCUCGCUUGCCGGUAACGCGGAACCGGUACGCUCCCGCAGCGCCAGUGUGCGGAACCGCGGCGCCAACAUUUUUUUACUGCAUGGCACUGUGUUUAAUACUGUUUGACACUGUUUCUGGUACUGUUUUACACAGUUCCCGGGUCAGUUCCGCACAAUGGAGGCGCGGCACCGACCAUGAACAAUGUGUGAACAGUGCUGCACAGGGUUAAAACAGUGUAUAAACUGCGCUGCACAGUGCUGGAGUCGCUGGCCACUGCGGUUCCGCGUUUUGGAACCGCGGGACCGUCGCGAUUCCGCGUUUUGGAGCUGCCGGACCAUGACGGUUCCGCGCAGGAUCGUCGGUCCCGUAUUUUGAAUCUGCGGAACCGUCGCUGUCCCGCGUUUCCGUUUCGCGGGAUGCGUAUAUUUUUAUAAAACCUCUCCAUGCAUGUAUAUAAACAUAAAUUAUUGAAAAAAUAAGUAUAUUUGCAAAUUUUUUUCGAGAGCUCAGCACUACAUUGCAAAGAUUUGGGCAACUCUGACAAUUUCCAUGUUCUACAAGCUUGACGUCGAGGGAAUGGAGAACCUGCCACCGAAUAGUAGCCCUGCUAUCUAUGUUGCGAACCAUCAGAGUUUUUUGGAUAUCUAUACCCUUCUAACUCUAGGAAGGUGUUUCAAGUUUAUAAGCAAGACAAGUAUAUUUAUGUUCCGAAUUAUUUGAUGGGCAAUGUAUCUCUUAGGAGUAAUUCCUUUGCGGCGUAUGGACAGCAGGAGCCAGCUGGUAUGGCUGUAGUCUCAUCCCUGCUUUCUUAAGUAGACAUAUAUGCAAUUACAGAAUUUGGUAAACAAACAAGAUUUUAUGAAUCAUAUAUGAUUUUGGGGAAAACACCAAACUCUCUUUGGUGGCUGCCUUGAACAUAGUUCUAUUCACACAGUUAUAGCACCUUCUUUAAAAUGAAGAACUUUGUUGCAUACACAUAUGGCCAAACCACAUAAUGAAUUUUGUUUAUUUCUAUCUUUGAAUGUUAGCACCUUAUUUUCAUGCAUAUCAUGCUAAUUUGCUUGCCCACGUUGAGUGGGAAUUUUUUUCCAUGUUUUAUAAUUUAUAUAUGUUCUAGACUUCUAGUCCACAAUUUAUCUACUUCAUGUUCCUGAGCCUCUAGUAUGGCUGGUAGCAGACUAGGUGCUGAGUGCUGUCCAUUUUUGCAGACUGAAGAGAGGAGAAAUACAGGACUGUCCGUUGUUAGUCAGAUUUGUAAAAAUAGACUCUGAUGUAGUUUAUUUUAGCCCCUAUUUUAUAUUUAACAAUACAAAUAUAUAACGUAUCCUAAGAACUUAUCGUAAUUUAGGAGAAGUUGCUCGUUUCAUUAAAUUAAACUGUGAAGUAAAAAUGUGUGCUCGAGUCUGUCAAUGCAAUCCUGUGUUCUUGUUUGAAGAUAUGGUGUAGGGCAGGCUAGGAUCGAACACUGAAUGGUAAGACUGCUUCUGCCUUCAUUUGUGCACUUGGUGCUGCCACGCCGAUUAAGCAGUAGAACAAAGUAAUUUUGUCGUGCACAAAUGAGUUAUAUUUCAUUGAAAAUCGAAGUGAAAAUGAACCAAAAGAUAGAAGAAAAGGGGAAACUUGGUAAUUAUAUACUCCACAAAUUUAUUGGUAAGAUUUGAUAUUAGACGCUCGAUUACUUGGCUUAAGUUAAGGAUAUCAAAUUUGGGGAAGCACCAAAGGAAUUAUUGUGAAGGAGUUGUGGGUGCAUAACGUUAUCUACUAGGUUCAAAUCCUAGUGACUAUGAAUAUUAAUGAGUAAGGUAAGGGAUUUAUUGUUAAUUUUAGUUUCUUUAAGAUUGUGUCCGGGUACACCAUUCGGUAAGUGUAAUAAUGUUUUGUAUUGGAUUCACUUGUGUUACGUGCAUGUGAUUUACCUUUUCAUUUGUUUCUGCGUUCUGGGUAUGAAUUUGACGAGAUUCCAUGGUCAGCUCAACAUAUCAGUUACUGCGUGUCAAGCGAUCUUAUAUGGUAUGCGCACAAGCGAUUGUAUACGGAUAUGACAGUAUAACGUGUGAUAUUGAUACGAUGUUCCUUUCCUUUAUAAAGGAACAAAGACUUUUUUAAAAAAAAGAAGGGGUAUUACUAAAAACCAAAAUGUCAAAAACAAAAUAUCAGUGCACAUGGCAAGUGUGCACGAGCAAUAGCUUGCCCUUACGUUCAUUAUUUAGCAUGUACUACUACUAACUACGCAAAAAUCAAUUCACCGAUUAUUAAACUGUUAACAUCAUUUUAGCACGUUAACAUAUGUUUCAUUCAACACACCGGUUUUGGCACAUUUACAAACUUGCAAAGUUGCAAUACUCCCUUCGUUACAUAGCAUAAGAGAUUUUAGGUGAAUGUGACACAUCUAUCCAAAUUCAUUAUACUAGAAUGUAUCACCGCCUCCACGCCGGGAGGGAGAGCGCCGCCGGUGGAGAAAGGGGGAGGGAGUGGUCGAGGGGAACCAGUAGGGUGCCCUCCCCGUCGCCGCCUCCCCGUGGCCGCGCCGGCGAGACAGGAGGAAGAGGGGGAUAUGGAGCGGCGCCGCCGGUGAGGGCGCGCGCGCGGGGGGGAGCGGCGACGCCGGUGAGGAAGGGAAGGGGAGUGGUGGCUUUGAGAGAGAUAGGGGGGAGGAAAAAUGAUUUUAGAGUUAGGGUUUGGGCUGCUGAGUUUUUAUAUAGAUCGGGAUCAAUCAGGACCGUCCAUCAGAUCGGACAACUACGGCUUCUCCCGCGUUGGGCCGGGUGCCACUCCUAGGUUGCCCACACUAUUGGGCCACAUGUACGCUCCGCGUGAAAUAAGUUCACUUUAGGUCCUUUAAGUUGCCUCUGAAUUGUUCCCAGGCCGGCCGCACUAUUGGGCCACCCCAUAGGCCAUGUGUACGCUCCGCACAGAAUAAUUUCGCUUUAGCUCCCUUAAUUUGUCCCCUCAAACUCCUAAAACCAGUGCAAAUCUUUAAUUUUUAGUUCACCCAUUGCAACUCACGGGCAUAUUUGCUAGUGACAUAUAAUAUGAAACGAAGGAUGUAGCAGACUAUAGAAUUUAAACUGUGCUUUCAUUUUAGAGCAUCACUAACUGUUAUUUAGAUUUUUAUUUAAAUAAAUGCUGAAAUGAUGUUUUUAUUAUGAAAAUUAGCAAUAAAGCUCCCAAAAUUUCAAAAAAAAAUUAAAAGAGAUUUAUUAAUCAUGGUUAAUUUAAUUAAAAAUUAAAUCUAACCAUAUCAUAUUAUUUCACGGUCCGUGAUGAGGAAAUGGCAGCUGCUAUCACUUACGGUGGGAGAGAAGGGGCAUUGUUUAUUUUUAUAACUAUCUCUUAUAACUCCCAUGAAACUAUAAAAUAAAUAUAAUCAUUAUCAUAACAUUAGUUUUUUUUCCAUUGCAACGCAAGGGUAAUUUUUCAGUACAAUAAAAAAAAUAAAAGUGGGCCAUUCUGAACGGAAAUUUCUGGUUUUUUUUCCCAAGAGCGCCGCACACAACUGCGCAAGAGAUCGAUCGCGAUCACCCUGCUCGUCGCCGAUCUCCUACACCAUCCCUGCCAUCUCCUUCCCCUCCACUGGCUGCUGCUGCACCUGUCAGCUAGGGCGGGCAUGGCGCGCCGCGCCGCUUCCCGCGCUGCUGGCGCCCUUCGCUCGGAGGGCUCGAUCCAAGGGCGAGGGGGCCGCGCGGGGGGCAGUGGCGGUGGCGCGGAGGACGCACGCCACGUGUUCGACGAAUUGCUCCGUCGUGGCAUACCAGAUGUCUUCUCCUACAAUAUUCUUCUCAACGGGCUGUGUGAUGAGAACAGAAGCCAAGAAGCUCUCGAGUUACUGCACAUAAUGGCUGAUGAUGGAGGUGACUGCCCACCUGAUGUGGUGUCGUACAGCACCGUCAUCAAUGGCUUCUUCAAGGAGGGGGAUCUGGACAAAAUGCUUGACCAGAGGAUUUCGCCAAAUGUUGUGACCUACAACUCUAUUAUUGCUGCGCUAUGCAAGGCUCAAACUGUGGACAAGGCCAUGGAGGUACUUACCACCAUGGUUAAGAGUGGUGUCAUGCCUGAUUGCAUGACAUAUAAUAGUAUUGUGCAUGGGUUUUGCUCUUCAGGGCAGCCGAAAGAGGCUAUUGUAUUUCUCAAAAAGAUGCGCAGUGAUGGUGUCGAACCAGAUGUUGUUACUUAUAACUCGCUCAUGGAUUAUCUUUGCAAGAACGGAAGAUGCACGGAAGCAAGAAAGAUUUUUGAUUCUAUGACCAAGAGGGGCCUAAAGCCUGAUAUUACUACCUAUGGUACCCUGCUUCAGGGGUAUGCUACCAAAGGAGCCCUUGUUGAGAUGCAUGGUCUCUUGGAUUUGAUGGUACGAAACGGUAUCCACCCUAAUCAUUAUGUUUUCAGCAUUCUAGUAUGUGCAUACGCUAAACAAGAGAAAGUAGAAGAGGCAAUGCUUGUAUUCAGCAAAAUGAGGCAGCAAGGAUUGAAUCCGAAUGCAGUGACCUAUGGAACAGUUAUAGAUGUACUUUGCAAGUCAGGUAGAGUAGAAGAUGCUAUGCUUUAUUUUGAGCAGAUGAUCGAUGAAGGACUAAGACCUGACAGCAUUGUUUAUAACUCCCUAAUUCAUAGUCUCUGUAUCUUUGACAAAUGGGAGAAGGCUGAAGAGUUAUUUCUUGAAAUGUUGGAUCGAGGCAUCUGUCUUAGCACUAUUUUCUUUAAUUCAAUAAUUGACAGUCAUUGCAAAGAAGGGAGGGUUAUAGAAUCUGGAAAACUCUUUGACUUGAUGGUACGAAUUGGUGUGAAGCCCGAUAUCAUUACCCUUGGCAGGUAAGAUGGAUGAAGCAAUGAAGUUACUUUCUGGCAUGGUCUCAGUUGGGUUGAAACCUAAUACUGUUACUUAUAGCACUUUGAUUAAUGGCUACUGCAAAAUUAGUAGGAUGGAAGACGCGUUAGUUCUUUUUAAGGAGAUGGAGAGCAGUGGUGUUAGUCCUGAUAUUAUUACGUAUAACAUAAUUCUGCAAGGUUUAUUUCAAACCAGAAGAACUGCUGCUGCAAAAGAACUCUAUGUCAGGAUUACCGAAAGUGGAAUGCAGAUUGAACUUUGUUAGAUUUAAUUGGAUAAUUAAUCCAUUUAAAUCAAUUAAAUCAAAUAAAUUCCAAGGCUCAUUAUGCUAGGAAUUCAUGUGAAUUCAUUCUUCUAUGGGAUAUCAAUGGGAUGAAGAGUUUUGAGAAUUAAUCCAUUUGAUUAAGGAAUUGGUAACUUAUAUCAAUUAAUCCUAAUUGAUGGAUGGUUGAUGGUUGUGUAGUGGAGGAUGGUUCAUGGCUAGUUGAUGACAAUUAGUUGCUCUAUUCCUCUUCCUAUUCCAUUGGUAACUUACAUCAAUUACUCUUAAUUGAUUGUUGGUUGAUGGUUGUGUAGUGGAGGAUGGUUCAUGGCUAGUUGAUGACAAUUAGUUGCUCCAUUCCUCUUCCUAUUCCAUGACUCUUACUCUUCAUCUUCCAUUCCUCUUAUAAAAUGAGAAUGGAUUUGAUCUCCCGCGAGAAGAAGAAGACACACUUUCAUCCAUUUUCAAAAGCUGUUGCUGCUACGGUAAUCCCAUCCCGACGAGUGUGUGCACACGCGUUGGGAGAGUAGGCCUCCGAAACCACGCGUUGCUGCGACGUUUGCACAGACGGGCGGGCGAUCAGGUUUUUGGGGAGCGCAAGGCGCGACUACUCACUGUUCGUCAACAUCUACUUCAUCUUCACCAACAUGUCGAACACUGGAGACAAGGAGAAGGAGACUCCCGUCAACACCAACGGAGGCAAUACUGCCUCAAACUCCAGCGGAGGACCAUUCUUGGGGUAUAACCUUAUUACAUUAUUUCAAUUAGAAGUUUUACUGUUAAUGUUCAUCGCAAUGUCAACAUUGUGUCAUUAUGUGAUUGUUGAUGCUUAUUCAACGUUAAGCAUGCUCAUGUUGAUUACAUUCACCACUAUCACUGGAUCAAAUCCUAUUGUAAAUAUCAUGUUUAUUAUCUUGUUAUUUUGGAUUAAAAUAUGCCGAAUUAUGACCAAAUUUCCAACAAACUUAGCACAUACAACAUAAUCCUUCAUGGACUUUGCAAAAACAAACUCACUGAUGAUGCACUUCGAAUGUUUCAGAACCUAUGUUUGAUGGAUUUGAAGCUUGAGGCUAGGACUUUCAACAUUAUGAUUGAUGCAUUGCUUAAAGUUGGCAGAAAUGAUGAAGCCAAGGAUUUGUUUGUUGCUUUCUCGUCUAACGGUUUAGUGCCGAAUUAUUGGACGUACAGAUUGAUGGCUGAAAAUAUUAUAGGACAGGGGUUGCUAGAAGAAUUGGAUCAACUCUUUCUUUCAAUGGAGGACAAUGGCUGUACUGUUGACUCUGGCAUGCUAAAUUUCAUUGUUAGGGAACUGUUGCAGAGAGGUGAGAUAACCAGGGCUGGCACUUACCUUUCCAUGAUUGAUGAGAAGCACUUUUCCCUCGAAGCAUCCACUGCUUCCUUGUUUAUAGAUCUUUUGUCUGGGGGAAAAUAUCAAGAAUAUCAUAUAUUUCUCCCUGAAAAAUACAAGUCCUUUAUAGAAUCUUUGAGCUGCUGAAGCAUUUUGCAGCUUUGAAAUUCUGUGUUGGAAUUCUUUUCUCCUACAGUCCGAUUAGAGGAGGGAUCUUCUCUGUAUGUGUAAAUAGCGAGGUAUGUAUGUCACCUCUCCGAAUUAUUUUGACUGUGGUUCCUGGACUGUAAACAAGCUAUUAUCUUCUGGUGUUGAUGCCAGAAAAAACACAAAAGUUUGUCGUUAUCUCUACUAACGGAUCAUAAAGGGGUUUGUAACUGGAGUUUCAAACUUAAGGUAUCUAGGCAGUAGGUAUAUAUUGAUCCUACAUCUUAUGAUCUUAAGAUGAUAUCCUUCUCAUUAUCCUCUGCUGAAACUUUAGCUUGAACCGUCAUCUACACCACAAUUUGAGCCCCUUAGCACAGAGCACAACGAGCAAUAGCUUGCCCUUACGUUCAUUAUUUAGCAUGCACUACUACUAACUACCCAAUAAUCAAUACAUCGGUUAUUAAACUGUUUGUACAGUUUAAUAAUGUCAUUUUAUCACGUUAACAUAUGUUUCAUUCAACACCACACCGGUUUUGGCACAGUUGCAAACUUGCAAUAACAUUUUUACUACUUCUCCGCCCCAUAAUAUAACAAUCUCGUUCCAUACUAUAUUGCUAUAUUACGGGACGGAUGAAGUACUUCUUUCCUUCCAAAAUAUAAGAAUCUAGUACUAGAUUAGAUAUUAUUUGGAUUCACGAAUUUGAUUAGGCUAUCUAGAUUUGUAGUCGUAUGUAAUGUCUAAUUCGGUAAUAGGUUAUUACCUCUUUGGAUGGAGGGAGUAGUUUUUAUUUCGUACUCCCUCUGUUUCAUAUUAUAAGUUGUUUUGACUUUUUUCUUAGUCAAAUUUUAUUGAGUUUGACUAAAUUUAUAGAAAAAAAAUUAGCAACAUUUAAGCACCACAUUAGUUUCAUUAAAUGUAGCAUGGAAUAUAUUUUUAUAAUAUGUUUGUUUUUUUAUUAAAAUGCUACUAUAUUUUUCUAUAAAUGUAGCCAAAUUUAAAGAAGUUUGAUUACGAAAAAAAAUCAAAAUGACAUAUAAUAUGAAACUGAGGAUGUAGCAGACUAUAGCAAAUUUAAACUAUGCUUUUAUUUUAGAGCAUCACCAAAAGAGAUAGCCUAAAUCUUAUCUUAACUAAUUAAAAUAUUCAUAAUUUUCCUUUCGUCACAUUAAAUUUUCGUCCGUAAAUCCGAUUGAAAUCCAACUAGACAAUCCAAAAAAUAGAGAAAAAGAACAGAAAAAAUAAUAAAAAGCACACAAAUCUUAUCUCAAUCCCGCGGGAAGCUGCCGAUGCCGCCGAAUCCGCUCGAGCGCCGCCGCCGCCGCUCACGGGGAACGAUGUCGCUGCUAUCGCACGUGGUAUGGGAGGGCGCCGCCGCCGCUGCUUGGGAGAUAGGAUAUGGAGAGAGAAGGAAAUGUGAGGGAGGGUUAGGUUUUUCCCCAUUCGUAUCUUCAGCGACACGGAGGCGAUCCAAGCUGUCCAUCAGAUCAGACGGCUCAGAACGCCUCCAUCUUCAGGCCGCGCAUGCUUGAUGGGCCGAGGGAAGGCCGGAGGGUCGAACAAACGUAGUCAGAGGAGGAGUUGGAGGAGGUAAAGUAGAAUUUAUUUGCGGGCUGAGAUAGUAAAUGGACUGAAAAUGGCCCAUAGAGAAAUUGGGAAUUUUAUUUAAAUAAAUGUUGAAAAGGUGUUUAUAUUAUCAAAAUUAGAAAUUAAGCUCCGAAAAUUUUAAAAAAUAUUCAAAGAGCAUUAUUAAUCAUGAUUAAUUUAAUAAAAAUUAAAUCCAACCAUAUCAUAUUAUUUCACGGCGCGCAGUAGGAAAAUGCGCAGCUGUUGUCGCUUACGGUGGGAGAGAAGGGACAUUGUUUAUUUUCAGAACUAUCUUUUAUAACUCCCAUGGAACUUUAAAAUAAAUAUAAUCAUUAUUAUAGCAUUAGUUUUUUUCUGUCUUUUUUUUCCCCAAGAGCGCCGCGCAGAAGAGAUCGAUCGCGAUCUCCCUGCCCCGACGUCGCCGGCCGAUCUCUCAUUCUCUCCACGCCCUGCUCGUCGCCGAUCUCCUACACCAUCCCUGCCAUCUCCUCCUUCCCCUCCCCUCUAUCCUCCACUGGUGCCGCCCACCUCUCCGUAUAAGACAAACUGCGUUGCGGCGUUGGUUUCCGCCGGCGCUGCUGCUGCACCUGUCAGCUAGGGCGGGCAUGGCGCGCCGCGCCGCUUCCCGCGCUGUUGGCGCCCUUCGCUCGGACGGCUCGAUCCAAGGGCGAGGAGGCCGCGCGGGGGGCAGUGGCGCCGAGGACGCACGCCACGUGUUCGACGAAUUGCUCCGGCGUGGCAGGGGCGCCUCGAUCUACGGCUUGAACCGCGCCCUCGCCGACGUCGCGCGUCACAGCCCCGCGGCCGCCGUGUCCCGCUACAACCGCAUGGCCCGAGCUGGCGCCGACGAGGUAACUCCCGACUUGUGCACCUACGGCAUUCUCAUCGGUUGCUGCUGCCGCGCGGGCCGCUUGGACCUCGGUUUCGCGGCCUUGGGCAAUGUCAUUAAGAAGGGAUUUAGAGUGGAAGCCAUCACCUUCACUCCUCUGCUCAAGGGCCUCUGUGCCGACAAGAGGACGAGCGACGCAAUGGACAUAGUGCUCCGCAGAAUGACCGAGCUCGGUUGCAUACCAAAUGUCUUCUCCUACAAUAAUCUUCUCAACGGGCUGUGUGAUGAGAACAGAAGCCAAGAAGCUCUCGAGUUGCUGCACAUGAUGGCUGAUGAUCGAGGAGGAGGUAGCCCACCUGAUGUGGUGUCGUAUACCACUGUCAUCAAUGGCUUCUUCAAAGAGGGGGAUUCAGACAAAGCUUACAGUACAUACCAUGAAAUGCUGGACCGGGGGAUUUUACCUGAUGUUGUGACCUACAGCUCUAUUAUUGCUGCGUUAUGCAAGGGUCAAGCUAUGGACAAGCCAUGGAGGUACUUACCACGAUGGUUAAGAAUGGUGUCAUGCCUGAUUGCAUGACAUAUAAUAGUUAUUUCUUGAAAUGUUGGAUCGAGGCAUUUGUCUGGACACUAUUUUCUUUAAUUCAAUAAUUGACAGUCAUUGCAAAGAAGGGAGGGUUAUAGAAUCUGAAAAACUCUUUGACCUGAUGGUACGUAUUGGUGUGAAGCCUGAUAUCAUUACAUACAGUACACUCAUCGAUGGAUAUUGCUUGGCAGGUAAGAUGGAUGAAGCAAUGAAGUUACUUUCUGGCAUGGUCUCAGUUGGGUUGAAACCUAAUACUGUUACUUAUAGCACUUUGAUUAAUGGCUACUGCAAAAUUAGUAGGAUGGAAGACGCGUUAGUUCUUUUUAAGGAGAUGGAGAGCAGUGGUGUUAGUCCUGAUAUUAUUACGUAUAACAUAAUUCUGCAAGGUUUAUUUCAAACCAGAAGAACUGCUGCUGCAAAAGAACUCUAUGUCAGGAUUACCGAAAGUGGAACGCAGAUUGAACUUAGCACAUACAACAUAAUCCUUCAUGGACUUUGCAAAAACAAACUCACUGAUGAUGCACUUCAGAUGUUUCAGAACCUAUGUUUGAUGGAUUUGAAGCUUGAGGCUAGGACUUUCAACAUUAUGAUUGAUGCAUUGCUUAAAGUUGGCAGAAAUGAUGAAGCCAAGGAUUUGUUUGUUGCUUUCUCGUCUAACGGUUUAGUGCCGAAUUAUUGGACGUACAGGUUGAUGGCUGAAAAUAUUAUAGGACAGGGGUUGCUAGAAGAAUUGGAUCAACUCUUUCUUUCAAUGGAGGACAAUGGCUGUACUGUUGACUCUGGCAUGCUAAAUUUCAUUGUUAGGGAACUGUUGCAGAGAGGUGAGAUAACCAGGGCUGGCACUUACCUUUCCAUGAUUGAUGAGAAGCACUUUUCCCUCGAAGCAUCCACUGCUUCCUUGUUUAUAGAUCUUUUGUCUGGGGGAAAAUAUCAAGAAUAUUAUAGGUUUCUCCCUGAAAAAUACAAGUCCUUUAUAGAAUCUUUGAGCUGCUGAAGCAUUUUGCAGCUUUGAAAUUCUGUGUUGGAAUUCUUUUCUCCUACAGUCCUAUUAGAGGAGGGAUCUUCUCUGUAUGUGUAAAUAGCGAGGUAUGUAUGCCACCUCUCCGAAUUAUUUUUACUGUGGUUCCUAGACUGUAAACAAGCAAUUAUGUUAUGCUGUUGAUGCCAGAAAAAACAUAAAAGUUUGUCGUUAUCUCUACUAACGGAUCAUAAAGGGAUUUGUGACUGGAGUUUCAAACUUAAUGUGUCUAGGCAGUAAUUUUGACAUUAGAUCCAAAACAAUUUAUAGGGUUUCAUUAAAUUUCAUCUAUGUGUACUGUUUAGGUGUUGAAUAGUUUGACUUGUUUUUUAACUGAACAAAAGAUAUGUCUGAAGCUUUGUUCUUUACCAAAUGCAGUACUGAUCAUCACAAUAUAUUUUUUAUGGAACAAGAUUGGAUUGUAUAGAAUGGUUUCCGAUCUGAUUAUCUUAUCUCAACGUAUUAUUAUGCACAUGUACUAAUCAUGAAAUAUCUGAUGGAAUGAUGUUUCUAUUUACCUGUGUGAGGCAGCAAGGAGUGAGAUGGAUAACACCACAUACUCCCUCUAUCCUAGAAUAUAAGAAGUUUUAGAGUUGGACACGAUUAUUAAGAAAGUAGGUAGAAGUGAGUAGUGGAGGGUUGUGAUUGCAUGAGUAGUGGAGGUAGGUGGGAAAAGUGAAUGGUGGAGGGUUGUGAUUGGUUGGGAAGAGAAUGUUGGUAGAGAAGUUGUUAUAUUUUGGGGAGUACAUUAUUAUUCUAGAACAAUACUGUUGUGCUCAAGAAGCGUUCCAAAGAUGUUUCACAACCUGUGCUCGAUGGGUUUUGAGCUUAAUCCUGGGACAUUCAGUAUCAUGAUCUGUCUCAUUCUUAAACAUGGAAUAAAGGAUGACAGCAUGAUUUCUUUGUCUCUAUAAUCUUUUGGCUACCCACAGAUAAUAGCUGUAAAUCUAUACUACUUUAAAAGGAGUAGUGGUGGUGGUGAGUGGUGAAUCUGCCACCACCCCACCACCAACUCUCAAAAUUCUGACAUGUGGGAUCACUGUCAAUCCCUUCUCCAAGACAUGUGGGAUCACUGUCAAUCCCUUCUCCAAACCAAUUGUAUGAUAGAACAGUGGAAAUCACGGACAGACCAUGGAGCUCUCAACCAUAAUCAUCCUUGCGAGUUAAUAACAAAUGGAGCGUAAACUUGGCAAGCAAAAAACUCAAAUUAAUUCUAAAAUUAAGCUCUAGGAUUCAAAAUAGAUUUCCUCUCUGCAUUGUGCUGUUAUGAUUUUUAAUUCCGUAACAACGCAAAUGCAUUUUGCUAGUCUUAUAAAGAAGGGUUAAUGCAAAUAUUCUGAUUAAAUGAUUGUAUCUAUGAAGUUUGAAUGCUAGUGGAAGCUCCUUUGACCAUGUUUUGUUGUGCGAGCAUUUAAGAGAGUGAAGAGAAUGCUUCUUUGGUGCUGUUCUGGUAUGGAAGGAUCCACAGAUAAAAUUCAGGUUCUACUGCUUCUCUGCUUGUAAUUUUCAUGAAGCUGCAGUGAAUACCUUGUUGACCACUUGAUCUGUUGCUUUGAAGGAGAAUAUAGUAGUGGCCAAGGUUGGUGACGGUGAUGGUGGCAUGUGAUCCCCCAGAUCUUCAGUGACCCAGAGAGGAGGGGACGGCGCGUGGUGAGCUACAAGGCAUACUCAGUGGAGGGCAAGAUCAAGGCCUCCCGUCCGUAGGGGACUCCGCUGCAUCAAGGCCAACUGCUCCGAACUGAUCAAUUUCUGGUACGGAUCACUUCUCCUUUCCUUUUUUUUUUCACCUUAAGCACUCUCUUGAUUCUUCGCUGCUACCUCCCUUAAUUUCUUUCAAUAUAUUGUGGCACUUGAUCAUGGCGGAGACCCACCUUCCAGUGUGAAUGGAUUUUGUCAAAGAACUAAAUUUAUUCCAUUAGCUUAUUUUCUGAUUACAUGGAAGACAUUCUUUUCUGGAAUAAAUACAGAACUAAAUCCUGUUUCCUGAAUAAAAGUUGUUAGUGUGUGGCAUGGUGCAUUUCCGCGCUUCUAAAUUUUAUAAAACCUGUUCAUUCAAUUUGAACCUGCAUCCAAUCCAAUAUUUUAGGUGCAGACAGGUGCUUGCGGUCAGGUUAAAGAAGUUGGCAAAAAUGCUUCUGAAGAAAGGUUAAUUGUUGUUUCAUCUCAGGAGGUAAUAUGCAGAUGAUUAUUCCAAUUGGCAUUGCCUUGCCAUUUUUAUCACGAGUCUUUACAAUUUUAUAUCCUCCUACAUAUUCUUUCCAGAUUCCAGAUGAUCCAGUGUCUCCAACAAUUGAGGCGCUUAUUUUGCUCCAUAGUAAAGCAAGUACACUUGCUGAGAACCACCAGUUGACAACACGGCUUGUUGUACCAUCAAACAAAGUUGGUUGUAUUCUUGGGGAAGGUGGAAAGGUAAUUACUGAAAUGAGAAGACGGACUGGGGCUGAAAUCCGAGUCUACUCAAAAGCAGAUAAACCUAAGUACCUGUCUUUUGAUGAGGAGCUUGUGCAGGUAAUUUAUUUGGCCAUACCUACACCAGAGAUCCAUAUAUUACUUUUAUAACUGCAGUUUUUACUUGUUAACAUUUCAUUGUGCUUUUACAUUUGUUCCAAGCUUUCAGGUUGCUGGGCUUCCAGCUAUUGAAAGAGGAGCCCUGACAGAGAUUGCUUCGAGGCUUUGAACUAGGACACUCAGAGAUGGAAGUUCUUCCAAUAAUCCGACACCUUUUGCCCCUGUUGAUGGUCCUCCUGUUGAUAUCUUGCCUAACAAGGAAUUCAUGCUAUAUGGACGAUCUGCUAAUAGUCCCCCAUAUGGAGGGCCUGCUAAUGAUCCACCAUAUGGAAGACCUGCCAUUGAUCCACCAUAUGGAAGACCAAUAUCCACAAUAUGGAAGACCUGCCAAUGAUCCACCAUAUAGAAGACCUGUCAAUGAUACAUCAUAUUGAGGGUUGGACAAUGAUGGGCCUCGUGAUCAGGCCCGGUCCUGAGGGGGGUCGAAUGGGGCGAUCGCUCCGGGCCCCCGAUUCCCAGGGCCCCCACCUAUCUGUGCAACGAGUAGUAGCGAUCUUCCAGCGCGCAACGUGAGGCGAUGUUUCUCCGUGAUUUCGCCGGCCUGCAACUGCGAGAUCGCGAGUAUAACGAUCAGCCGAUCGAUCUCAUCUGCCGACUGCCAUGCUGAUGCCACACGCAAGCGCAGCAUAUCAGCCUUAUCUUGGUUGAUCGGCAUGCUGGACGAGCACAUCUGUUGUCGCAUCAACUGCUGACUGCUAUAUAUGUGCUGGUGCUGAAUCGAUCGAUUGUCGUCGCGGAAGUGAAGAACAACCACGGCACUGCUGCCUGCUGGGCUCUAGCCGCCAUCAGUAAGUACGCUAUACUGCCUAUCUAGAUCUAGAUCGAGAUUACAUAGUGGAAUUAUCUGUUUAUAACAAAAUUACAAGGUAUCAAUUGAUAAUUUAAGGUUAUAACCGUACAAACUUCAGUGAUUUGCUGGUUUCACAUUGGUUAGAUUUGUUUCAACUAAUUUGGUACUUCUGUAGCCUUGUAAUUUACGAAUCUAGUAUUAAUAUUUUCUUAAGUAUUAGCCUGUUCCUUGAUAUUAUGCUGUUGAGAAAGUAUGCAAUAGAUAACAAAAACAAGUAGGUGUGUUGAGGAUGCUCAAGAGUAAUACAGCCACUUCAAUAAUUCUGAUAUUAUCAGGACAUCAUCAAUAAUUCUGCGCCUACAAAUCUUCAAAGAAAAUUUUAAUAUAAUGCGUAUGAUUUUUUAAAUACGAAUAUUGAUUGCUAUUUAAAGAUAUUUAUAUUAUAUGGUAAUUAUUAUUUGAAGGUUUAUAAUAAAGGCCUCCGUUUUUAGUUUCACGCUGGGCCUUCAGAAUCUCAGGACCGGCCCUGCUCAUGAUCCUUACACCGUGUAUCCUGUAGAGUACUUCUCUAAAAGAGAGUACCCUAGUGGAAGUAGCAAAGUUGCACCAUCUGCUUCAUACGAAAGAUAUGCAGCAACUACUCGCUUGCCUAAUGGAGAACUGCCCUCAUCUAUUAGUCCUGGUGCCGAUUAUAUGUCCUGCCGUUCUUAUCUUGACCAAGUACCUACUGAUAGGUACUCUAAUAGGGUUACACUACAAUUAGGCCUCUCGAGAGCCGGGAAUAGUAAUGUGCAACAAUUAGGAAUCACCAGAGCUGGAAAUUCCAAUGCUUAUGAUUAUACUGAGGUACAUUUCCAAUGCGUUAGCUUGCC
rnacentral:lncRNA from 1 species